UAUGUCAUUAGGUGUGAAAAUGUAUUUUUCAAAAGUCAUGCUACCAAUUUCAAUCGGUACGCAUCUUUCCAUUAAUUUUUAAAUGAAUUUCAAUUUUGAAAUACAUGAAAUAAAUUCAUGACUCCACAUAAAUGGGGUAAUUCCUUACCUUGGUGAGCUUAUCCAUGAUUAGAUGAGGUUAAGAAAGUAUGGAUAAUUUUCAUGGACAUUAAUUUGGGAAGUGGUAAAUCCCUACAUUCAAGUUCUUCAAAAACAAAUAUUUUACUCUCUUUGGGUAUUUUGUUGAACCUUUGGAUGAAAAAUUAAAUUCAGAUUAUUUAAGUCCUUCCUAAAAUUUUUCUAAUAACUAAAUGAUGUUAUAGACUUUCUAAAUGUGCUAAUAUAAUUUUUUUUGAGUUCAAAAUUGUUUUCAAUUUAUAGAUAUAAAUCAAUCUUUCCACAUAUUCAUUUUCACUAUGUUAUGGACACUAGGAAUUUUUUUCUAAAAUUAAAUUAUUUAAUGACUUCCUUAAUUCCUUUUGAUAUUUUUCCUUUAAUCUAGACUUCUUGAAUUUAAUCUUAGGUACCUAAAACACUCAAAACGGAUUUCCCAAGUAGGAGAUAUAAUUUUUUUUUUCUCCUAAUGGUUCUUUUCAAGAGUUAAGGGGGUGUUUAUUUAAUUUAAAUAUGUUAUGUGUGUGAUCAUACUUUAUGCCUAUUUUUCAUGAAAAUUAGACAUAUUGAAUAGGUUGUACAAAAUUGUUUAGGAUUUUCAAGCAUCUCUGAGUCAGUAAAAUAAUUUAACUUUUGCAUGUCAUGGAAAUACGCUUUGUUCUGGACCAAUUGGGAGUUUAUAAAAACUAGUAUUAAAAAAAACAUAAUUAAAUAAUUUUACCUUUUAGGUUGUAAUCUAGACACAUAGAAGAGAUUGCCUAAUUUUUUUCAUAAUGAAAUUACACUUCUAGAUAAUUAGUAGAGACCUAUUUUAGGACUUAGAGGGUUGCUACUUUAUAGUACCUUCUUGAUAUGUAACCAAACCCCUAGACUUGGAUUCAAUUUUUAAAGACAUGUUUUUCCAAAUAAGGAGUCAUUUUUAGUAUUUUAUUUCUUAUUUUGUUUUUCCUUUAAAAUAUAGAAAAAAAUAAGUGGUAACUCCAAUUUUUACAAAAUAAGUUUUGCAUUAAAAAGCAAAUCUCACCAUUGAACAAGAAUGUACGUGACAAAUGCAAGUCUGCACUAUGGUAUACCAUUAGAUUAGUUUUGGUUCCACCCACAAAUAUGUAAGGAACAUCUAAGGCUACCUGCUUCCGUAAGUUUCACUAUGUUGGGCAUUGUAUUAACAAUGUAACAAUUUUUAUUUAUUUAUAAUAUAUGCACAUUUAUUGAAAAAUAUAUAUGCUUUAAGACUUUAUGAAAAAUAACACAUGUGAUACAAGUUUAUUCACUCCUUUUAUUAAAUAUUUUUAGGUAUACUUAGAUUUUGGGAAUAAGUGACAUGUGUAUGAAAGGUGCAAAAGCCUCUUUAUUUCUUUAGCUAAGAGACUAAUUUAAUUAGAUAUUUUUUGUAUUAAUGGUUCACUUUACUACGUACUACUUUUUAGGGGAUUUGUCAUAAUUUAAUUUAUGGAUUUUUGUAUGAAAAGAUAAAUUGCAAUUAAGUUAGAACUUUUUUGUUAGCUUAAUUACUACUUCUCAUGUCAAACCACACAUGUGAAAUGAUUGUGGCGUCCUAACCUCCGGGAUGGGUCACAUCAUUGGCUUACAUUUCCAUGAGAAGGGUUAUGAUAAAUUAGCAAUGAUGCUUCAUGCUAACGUGCCUUCAAAUUUUUAGGUUGAUGUUUUCCUUGUUGCACCAUAUCUCAUCAACAAGAUACCUUCCACAACUUUGAACUUCGACACCUACAUUAAAAGUAAAUAUUUCUCAAAAGGUAUAGCAAACACAAAUUCACCCAGAAGACAUACCCUUUUUGUCUUCCUAGCCUAUUGCUCUGUUCAAAAGAGAUAAAUGCUUGCAUGUAUCCCCAAACAAAUAGAGUUUAUGAAGACAUGUUUCUACUUGCAAACACUAAUGCUGUGCAUGGAAAUCCAUAGCUCAGUUCCUUUCCUAAAAGGAUGAAUGGCUCACACCACCGGGCGAAAUAAGUAUUCAACAGCACUCGAGCCUUCAAGCCAAAUACAGUGUCAUAUUGCCUACUAUUGACAUAACACCUAUCACUAGUAAUCUCCACCCUCCUACAUUUAGGUUGUAAACUUUUUUAAAGAGAUCCUAAACUAAAUUAAAUUGCUUAAUUCUUAAAAUCCAUGUAGAUUCUCUUUAAUUUACAGCAUGGAUGUAAUAAGUCUAACAGGCCCUUCCUCUUUUGUCAUUCUCUUUAGCUCCUGUUCAAACCUUUCCAUGACUGGCGGAGGCAGGCAUAUAGGUAUAACAUUCCCUUCUUCUCCUUUGCUGUUCCUGAACCGCAUACAGAAGCUAAUAUUAGAUAAAGCCCUAGCAACCCCACCAUAGACUGGCUUCCCCCACCCGAAGUCGAUCUCUCCAAUCCCGGCACGUGUGACAUCUGAAAUAAGAUAGUUCCCCGGCUGCGUAAAUGAGGGACGGCCCUUGAUGACCAUAUGAUCUGCCACUGAUUUCACAUACUCUUGGCUCAUUUCCGCCUUGGCUUUCUUCAGUAACCUUAUCGCAUAUUCCAAUGGGUUUUUACAUAGCAUUCCAGCCUUAGUAAUUGAAGCUGGAUACACAAAAGCAUUUCCGUAGUAUCCUGGAGGCAGAUCGAAACCGCGCUUGCCUCGCAUAUUGAUUAAGCAUGAAAUGCGAACAACUUCAUCAGGGUCUACUGCAAAUGCAAUUGUGCGGCAUCUCCAUACAUACGCUAUUAGAACCUCAAACGUCGAGCAGGCACCGAGGCUUGCAGGAAGUCGGUUCCUAAGUGCUCUUAUCUCCUUGGGGCCAAAGAAGAAUGAUCGAUGAACCAAAUUAUUUUCGUCCAUGGUCAUUAGUGUGCCCUUGGUAUUGGUUACCUCCUCGUAUUCAUGAUGUAUACGGGUAAUUCGUGGCGGAUUUCGGGCAUUUAACAGCUCUCUUUGCCAUAUGGGCAGCAGAGAUGGCACAGACAGACCUUGAGCCAUCUCGCUUAUGGCGUCGAGGAAUUGGACCAAGCCAGGACCAUCACUCAUUGUGUGGUUUAGGCGCAAUGCAAAUAUAAAUCCUCCACACCUCAAUCGGGUCACCUACGUUGUACCAAGAUUUAUUUAUAAAUGUAUGCUUUAGCAACAUCCAAUGAUUUGUCUUAUUAAACUUAACAUUUAUUACUUAAUAACUUAAGUUUAUUAAUUUAAAUUGUUAACUUAAAUCUUAUUAUCUAAAUAUUAGGUUAUUUGAUAAAAUUUAUUUCAAAUCAUCAAAUUGACAUAUUUACCCUCCUUAAUUUUGAUUAAUAUUUAUUCUAAUUGACUUUAAUUUAUAUUUAUUUUCAUUAAUUUUAAGUAAUAAAUAUAUUUAUAAAACAUUCAUAUUUAUAUUAUUGUAGAUAUCUAAAAAUAACUAUAAAAUAUUUAUUAUAAAAAGUGGUUUCAAAAAGUUAUUUUUAGUAUUCCAGAAAACUAAAUGUUUUGACUUUUUCUAUUCCAUUAAAAAUUAAAAAAUAAGUAAUAAGUAAAAAAAAAUUAAAAACAAAUCAUCUAAAAUGUGAAAGUAAAUUACAUUUAACAUUAAGUUAAAUAAAUAAAUAAAAACAAAUACCACUUUAGUUAAAUAAGUUAUUUUAUCAAAUAUCAUUGAUGAUGGAGAAUAUUUACCUGAAUUAAGAUAAGAGGAGAACCAAGAAUUCCCCCAGAGCCAGGGACAUCAUACAGAAGCUCCUCGAAGCAGGGACACAUUGGUUGAAUUGCAUCACCAAGAUUCUCAAGUGUGGUAUCGGCAUCGGCUUCAAUGAACAAGACCCCUUCACCGGUGCAGUCCACCAUGAGUUUUCUAUUAUCCCCUUCAAUCAGCCUGCCUGCAAAUGGGUAGUAGUAAACAAGCGCCUUGCCUAGAGCUUCUUUAAUGACCUUUGCAGGGUCUUUUCCUUUCAUUAAAGGAUUGUUCGGGUAAAACAUUAUCACAGGAAUUUGAAAGCGAAGGCCUUCUUGAUCAUCUAAAUCAGAAAGCUGCUUCACCUCUCGUGGGGUAGGGUUUGUAGGCCGAACAAACUCUGGAGCACGCCGUUUAACCGAGAAUACUAGAGGAGACGAUGAUGAUGCCAUGUCCUUCCAGGCUAGGAGUUUGUUGAUAGAAUAUAGAAAAAAUGAUAAAGAGAAAAUUGAAGGAGUUUAUGUGAUGGUCUGCUUUGAGAAGAAGGUAGCUGAUAUUUAUAGCCUAUUGCUGCACUCCAAUAACGCGGCGGAGCAUCUUUCUCAGCCUACGACACGGUUCAGAUAAGAGGUAGACUUUUAGUUGUGUUUCACCUGUUUUUUUUCUCUCCAGGCCCCACUAUCUUAAUGCACCUAAAAUAUCAUUACUACUCUUUUCUUCUGCACCACACCUUUUUUUGUCUUCUUUUCUCAUAUUUUUUUUUCAUCUCUUCAACAAAAGUCUAAAUUCAAAGCUUAUUCUCCCAGGUUUGUUUGUGAUCCAAAAAGUGUUUAAAUUAAGUUCAAAGUACAUUUCAACCUCUUUUGUAGAUUUUAGUUUAUGUUCAUAUACAUUAUAAUAAUGUUUGUUUUAUAUAAAUGUAUUUUAAAGGCUAUUAAUUAUUUAUAAAACUAUUAACAAAUGUUUAUUAUAAAAAUAGUUAGGGAAGAUUUAGGAAUUAUUUAGAAAAUAUUUAUUAUAAGGGCUAUCCAUUGGCUUAAUUAUGUGUUUGUUUCACGACCCCCUUAAAAGCCAUGGUCCUUUCCUCUACGUUAUGUCUCUUUCAAUGUCAGCACGAAAAUAGUUAGGGAAGAUUUAGGAAUUAUUUAGAAAAUAUUUAUUAUAAGGGCUAUCCAUUGGCUUAAUUAUGUGUUUGUUUCACGACCCCCUUAAAAGCCAUGGUCCUUUCCUCUACGUUAUGUCUCUUUCAAUGUCAGCACGGUCCCCUCCUAUCAUAAAAUCACUAGAAAUUAUUGUACUCCAUUGUGCAAUACAUGUCCUUCUCUCUCUCUCUCCCCCUCUCUCUCUCUCUCUUUCUCUUUGUACACAUACAAAAUUUCAGUUAAUUAAAUUAUUAUUAAAUUCCUCUUUAAAAUUUUGAUUUCUUGGUGAAAUUUGAAAGACUACAAAAUUAAAUUUUACAAAACAAAAACAAAUAUGUCAAUUGAAGUUCAAAAGAGAAUUAUAAAUAAAUAUUUUUUUAUAGGUAAAUUUCUUGAACAAAAGAAACAAAUAUUUUUAUUAAAAUAAAAAAAAGAAUUAAAAAUAAAUAAAUAUUCUUUUGUUAGCAAAUCUCUUUAAUAUGGAAGAUAAGUUUCUAAAAUCAAAAUGUCAAAUUCUUUGAAUUAAACAAAUUCAAUCUUGGGAAGUCCAAAUUUAAUUCUCUAACUUCACCAAUAAAUAAUAAUGACUUCCUUCAAUGGAGGGAAUCAAUAAAAUAAUUUCAUACAAGGAAAAAUGUCUUCACAAAAAAAAAAAAUGUUUCAUAAAAUUUCUUUGUAAGUUCGAGAAAUUAUAAAAGCAUUAUAAAUGUGAUCUUGUCUUUUGACAAAGUCAUUUGGGAAUAAGUCAUUUUAAACCCUAAAUUGAUUUUCAAAGCAAAGAAACACUUCAUCAUUGUCUAUUAAAUUAUGAUCAAAGUAAAGGAAUGAGAGAAAAAAAAUAUUCUUUUGUAAAGAAUAUUAUCUAAGAGUUUGUACCCCACAAUUAUUUUAAUAAAAACAAUUGUUAGCAUAUUUUUUCUAUUAUUUUAAUUGUUUCACAAGACUUCAAACAAUUUGUACGUAUAAAUUUAUGGCAAGGAAAGUUGAUAGAAUUUUCUUUUGGUUUAGUUUUUUAGGAAAAUGUUGAGAACUAUAAAAAUUAAAGGCAUGUUUGAUAAGUGUUUUCAAAAACAAUUUUGAAAAAUGGUUUUUGAGAAUGAUUUUUAAAAAUUAUUCUUUGAUUUUUAUAGAACAAAAGUUUAUUUGAAAACUUAAAAUGUUUUCAACCUGUUCUUAAUAUUUUUAAACAUGUUUUAAAAAUAAUUUUUAUAUUUAGUAUUUUAUUUUUAAUCAUUCUACAUAUUUGUAUAAUUAUUUCUUAAAAUAAUCCUUAAAAAACAAGUUAAAACAAUAGAAAACUACAAAAAAAUGUUAUCUAAAAAUACUUUAUUUUCUAUUUUUUUUAAAAAAAAAAUUUGAUUAUCUAAUAUGUUUUCUGUGUUUUUUUUUUAACAACAAAAUACUAUUCUAAAAAAUAUUUCCAAUUAAGCACUAAAUCUUUUAGAAUACCCUGUCCCCAAACUUUCAUCACCCUUUUUAUAAGAAAAAUGGGAAGAAAUUCUUUUAACAUUUUCCUUUAUUCUUACAUUUUUUUCCACGUUAUCCAUAGAUAAUAAAAUCAUUUCCCUUACCAUUUUUAGCUUCUUAAAAGAAUAAAUAGUACAUAUAACAAAUGCUCGCUCAAUGGUUCCCAAUCUUUUCUCACUUUCUUUCAUUGGUAAAUGAGGAAAAUUGGUUAUGCAAUGCAUUAAAUUUAGCAGUUUGCAACAAUAUAUUAAUCUUGUAUAAUAUAUAUUUUUUUUUAUAAAUUGCAAAAAUAUAUAUGUCAAUUUAUUUAUAUUUUUUCUUAGAAACCAAAUGGUGAUUAUUCUUACUUUAUUUAUUUUUAUAUAUUUUUAAUUGGAGUGUUUUCUAUGUCACAUGUUGAUCUUGCAAAUCAUCAGGUUCUCUUAAAAAGCUCCUCAUAUUUGGAAAUCCACACACUGCAAAAAACCAUUAGAUAUCAAAGUUAUACUCUUCAUGACAUUCUUCAUGGUAAGUUAUAUUCAAAUUCAACAACAUAAAGUUUAUACCAAAUUAGAUAUGAAAGUAAAUUACAUUCGGUAUUAAGUUAAAAAUAAAUAAAUACUAUCUAAAUUAAUUAUUUUAACUUGAUAAUUAAAGUCAAAAAUAAUUUUAAGUUAUAAUAGUAAGUUAUUUAAUCAAAUAUCAUUUUUCGGUUAUUUAUUACAAAUGUUUUAAAAUAUUUAUUACGAUUACUAAGACAUUGAAAAGAAAAAAUGGGGGAAGAAAACCAAGAAGAUGAGUAUGCAUUAAUUUGAAAUGGGGUGUUUAGUCUUUCUAAUGGAUAUUUGUAUUAAAAAAAAUGAUACCUAAAGAAAUUAAAUUAGGUGGAUACAAAUAUAAAUUAAAAAAAAAAGGAAAAUCCCAAGAUAUAUGCUGAAAUUAUAACUUGUAAUAAAUGUCAAAAUCACCCUUAUGCUCAUUUUGUUCAAAAGUCUAUAAAGUAAUCUAAUUAUCUAUUUUACCUAAAAUUAGUUAGUGAGUUGUACCCAUCAAAAUUGUAAACAAACCUCGAUUUGUUUCAUGAUAUUCAAGUAUAAAAAUAUCAUUUUCUUUAAUAUUAUUUUUCUUCUUUGAAUAUUUUUUAAAAAAUCAAAAUUAUUUUUUUAUAUUUGAACUUCAUUGAAAAUGUGAAGAAAUAAUAAUAAUAAUAAAAAUGAAGAAAAAUUCUAAAAAUUGUCUUCCUCAUUUUUCUUAUACUCAAACGUGGAAUCCGAGUGUCAUAUCAUAUUGAGUUUGUGGAAGCUAACCCACUUACACAGCCCGAGAACCCAUCAGUAGUUGUCAUACCCAUUAAAAGCCAUGGUCCUUGCCUCUACGUUAUGUCUCUUCCAAUGUCAACAUUGUCCCCUCCUAUCAUAAAAUCACCAGAAAUUAUUGUACUCCAUCGUGCAAUAAAUUCCCUCUUGAUGGUCCAUAUAUAUUCAACAUGUGACAUACAAUUCAAAUGUACACAUACAAAAUUUUAUUUAAUUAAAUUAUUAUUAAAUUCCUCUUUAAAAUUAUGAUUUCUUAAUUCAACAAAAUUCAAGUUUAAUAAGUGAUGGUCCAUAUAUAUUGAACAUGUGACAUAUAAUUCAAAAAAGGAUACUUAGUGAAAUUUGAAAGACUGGAAAAUUAAGUCUUACAAAAAGAAACAAAUAUGUCAAUUGAAGUUCUAAAGAGAAUUAUAAUUAAAUAUUUUCCUGUUGAUAAAUUUUUUGAACAAAUUAAAAGAAACAAAUCUUCUAAUUAAAAUAAAAAGAAUUAAAAAUAAAUAAAUAUUCUCUUAUUAGCAAAUCUCUUUAAUAUAGAUAUCAAGUUUCUAAAAUCAAAAAGUCAAAUUCUUUGAAUUAAACAAAUUAAAUUUUGAGGAGUCUAAAUUUAAUUCUCUAACUUCACCAAUAAAUAAUAAUGACUUUCUUCAAUGAAGGGGAUCGGCAAAACAAUUUCAUACAGGAAAAAAGUCUUCGCAAAAAGAAAAAGGUUUCAUAAAAUUUCUUUGUAAGUUUGAGAAAUUAUAAAAGCACUAUACAUGUGAUCUUUGCCUUUCAACAAAGUAAUUUGGGAAUAAGUCACUCUAAGCCCUUAAUUGAUUUUCAAAACAAAUAAAACACUUCGUCAUUGUCUAUUAGAUUGUGAUGAAAGUAAAGGAAUGAGAAGAAAAAUAUUCUUUUGUAAAUAAUAUUAUCAAUGAGUUUGUACCCCACAACUAUUUUAAUAAAAAUAAUUGUUAGCAUAUUUUUUCCAUUAUUUUACUUGUUUAGCAAGACUUCACACAAUUUGUACUUAUAAAUUUAUGGCAUGCUCGAUGGGACAUCUUUGUCUCUCAUCCCUUUUGCUAAAAAAAUUGAUCAUUAUUAAUGCUAUGACAUCCAAAAAGAUUCAAAUUGUGCAUGUCAAUAAAGAGUAAUGACAAGAUUGUCAUUGCUUAAUCAACACACAACACUACUACAAGCCUUAUGACUCAUAACAAAGCAAAAUCAACUACUGUAGUUUCAGCAAAGUAAGCAAGUGAAAAUAUUUGUUUGUUAAGUACUAAUGCCAUUCAAUAUGUUAUAUAAGUGACCAAGCAUUGGUCUCACUACCUUUAUUAUCAAUUUGUCCCAGUCAAGAUUGGGUUUGCAUUCCCUAGUAGAUCUUCCAUAAACAACUAAUUUCAAUGGGGGUCCCCAUCAAAAUUCCACUUAGUUCUAAACUCUUUCACCUUACAUUUUUUGAAAAAAUUACAUUCAAGCCUUCUAGUGUGGAUAGUUACUCUCAUCAAAACAUGAUGGAUUAUUAAUGUAAGAACCCACCUUUGUUUAUUCCAUACUGGUUUAGCAGGAUUGAGAGAAAAAAAUCAAAAUUGUUAUUUAAUAGCUUACUCUAAUACUAAUUAAAAAACCGCUUAUCUAGUAGGGUAACACUAGAAGAGGGUGAAUGGAUGAUUUCUAAAGAUUGUUGUAUAGGAAUUGAAAUCUUAACCCAAUUUAAAUAAUGAGUGGGAAUUAAGCCAAAUUAAAGCAAUUGAGUCCUGUAGGAGAUUAUGAGUAGGGAAUAGAACAUACACAAAACAGACAAAUGAUUUUACAUGGGAAACGUCUACACCAAUUGUGGAGAUAAAAACCAUAGUGUUGAGGACCUCCAAUCUAACAAUCCACCAUAUGAGAUCAAGAUACAAAAAUUUACCUUGUUACUUAUUCUAAAGACUUACUCUCUAGUACCUAUAUCGUGAUCCAUGUCCCCGGCAUAACACCUCCAAUGCUCUAGUGGAUUCACCUUAGCCUCCUUCCAACAACCCGAAAAAUGAAUCAACUAACCUUGAGAGUUUAGUGCCAAGAAUGAUAGGGCAAUAAUAUAUAUAUAUAUAUAUAUAUAUAGAUUAUGAAACCUAAAGGAUUGAAAUAGGAUUAUUGAUUAAAAAAUAAACCAUGAAUUUCCAACAAGAAACACUACUAAAGCAUGGCAAAAUCAAAACAACAGCUCAAGUGGACCUAACCAUCGCUCAAGCACCUUGAGCAUUCAAGCACUUAUUUAAACAUUUGAGCGGUGGCUCCAGCACUCGAGCAAUUUAGCUAGUGUUUGAGUGGUCCUGUUUUAUCAAAAGUAAAAAAUAAAAAAUUUUAAACCAAUUUUGAGAAACUAAUCCAAUUCAUGCCUUAACCUAACUUGUCUCUAACAAACAUUUUCAAACUUACCUAUGACAGUCUAGUUGAAUGAUCAACAACCUCGAGUCUUCAAUGGAGAGUAAGUCACAUCUAAAAGGAUUCCUAUGCCAUAAUGAAAAGGAAUAAAAUUGUCAAUAUAUAAAACUGUCAUAGCAUACGCAUUAAGAACUUGAGUUUUCAAGUAUAAAAUAGACAAGGGUGAAAUUCUAGUGGACUUGGAUUAUUUCCAAAAUAUCAAAUUUUAGGUACACUAGAGUGCUUCCAACACUAGAAAAAAUUAGAAACUUUACCGAACACAAUUUUGGAAACUCGACCUUGGAACGUUUAAGCAUUGGAUAAGUGCACUUGAGCACUUCCAACACUUGAAUGCCUCUUGCUAAUGUUCAACCACAACAAUUGAGUGCCCAAUGCAUUAAGUGUUACAUCUGAGUGCUCGAGGCAUUGAGUGUCAGAUCUAGCCUAUCUAGGUGCUUGAGCACUCAAUCUCAAGUCCGUUUUUAAUUAACGUUUAAAAGCAUUCAAUCUAUUAUUCCCUAGAGUCUAUUUUAUGUCGGAUGUUAAAAGUCAUCAUCCUUUCAUAGCUCUCUAUACUUACCCUAUGUUAUUCCUUGUUGACUCUAUAGGCUCCUCGAAUCUUCAACGGAAUGUAAGAGGAAAAUAUAAAAAGUCCUAAACUGGAAUGAAUAGAAAAAAAAAUCCCAAUCUAAUGCACUAACAAAAUGCAAAAAUGCUAAGGAAAAACAAUUUUGUUAUAUUGGUUUACUAUAAAAUAAAAUUUAAAAAAAAACAUAAAAGAAAAUUAAAUAUAAUUAAAACGAGUUAAAAACUUUUGCCUUUUUAAAUUAUUUAAUCUUUGUAUAAAAAGAGUAAAAAUAAGUUAAAUGAGUUUAAAGUAGUAUAUAAAAAUAAUAUAUUUAAUUUUAAAUUUAUUUAUUAUUUUCCUUCACUGUUUUUUCUUCUUUUUUUUUUUCCCUCUAUUUUCUUUCUCUUAAAUUUUCUAACAACUAAACAUAGUCUAAUAGUAUCUAUGGAAUUUCUAUACCUUUCUUUUUCUUAAUCACUUAGUAGCACAAUUAUUAUCUCGAUCACAGGAAUAAUGGCAGCCGCUGAUGAGGUCUUUUUAUGUUUUGAAUUUGCAAUCCAUUUUAAUUAUCUUGUUUUCUUCGUUCCUUUGGGGAAGAAAAUUGUAGGAGAAAUAUAAAAACAAGAAGGUAAGGAAAAUUUAUAAAUUUUUCUUUUAUUUGGUUAGAUACGAAAAAGAAAAUUAAAUUAUUGACCGAUAUAUUUACCCUUGAAUUUCAUCUUUUGUUAAAGAAAAAGGCAGGGAGGAAAAUCUUUUAACAUCAUUCCUUCUCUUUUCCUUAACAUUUUUUUCACUUUUUUUUUACCAUAAUUGCUCAAGGAAAAUUAUUUGGCAAAAGUGUGUUUCCAUGCAUUUAAAUUAAAAAAAAAUCAUAAAUAGGAACCCAACUUUAUAAAGUACAAAUUUCAAGCAGUUGUCUAAAAAUAAUUAGCAUUUCAUGGUCUUGGUCAAAGGUACUACCUAUAACCAUUAAAGUAUACUACCUUUUAAUGAUAUAUAUGUAUAUAUAUAUAUAUACACUAUCUUUGACCAUUCAGAUAUACUAAGCUUUAAUGAUAGAUGUACUAUUUGUUGAGAUAUUAGGAAUGUUUAGACAUUAGGAAAGUUGAGAUAUUAGGAAUGUUGAGAUAUUAGGAUAUUAGUUGUUCUUUCCUUAUAUAAUUCAUUCCUUGUAUCAUUCUUUCCCAUUCUUAGAAUGAUGAUUACCCUUUAUAUAUACUCUGUACAUGAACGAAUGAAAUAAUUAAUGAAAAACUAUCAUUCAUCCAUUUGAAGACUAUCUUUUAUCAUCUUAAGCAUUACCUUUGACCAUCUUAGGUACUACCUUUGAUUGGUGAAUAUAUAAAAUUUGAAUUUUUUUUAAAAGGUUCCUAUUUUAUGAUUAUUUUCAUACAAGUGCAUGGAAAUCCAGGAGAUUCCUUCCAUUAGUGGAAACUUAUGGGACAAGUCACUACCUUCUAACAAUUUUAUGGUUGUUGUAUUGUGAAGGCAAGCAAAAUAUGCCCAAGUAGUCUUGGUAUUGGUUGGUUAGAGUUGGUGUAAAAAUAAAAAGAGUUCUUUACUAUCAAUAAAGCUUGUUUUCUCUUUAGGCCCAUCUAAUUCCUUUAUCCCUUUCUUGAAUUGUUUCUCGAUUUGUUUAGAAAAGAAACGAGAGAGUAUUUCCCAUUGUUAAACUAGUACCAUAUAAGAUUAAGUUAGUUCCGCUUUGGUUGUGAAGUGCUGCCUCACUUUUUCCAAAUUUUUUUCCUCAUUUUUUCCUUAAUAUCCUUAAUACUUUAUAGGAAGUAUGAUAGAUAAUUUAAACCACUUAGUGGUAAGUCAAAAGGAAACAAAACAACCGCUCAAGUUCAGGCACAAGUCAAUAACCCUGGAUUAGAAAUAAGAUGUGUAUGAAACACUGUACAAAGUCUGUUGACUUUUUGUUCCUAAUUUCUAUAAAUACAAGAAAUGACUGAAAAAGAUAGCUCAUCUAGGGACUUCUAUGACGGAAGAGUCAAAUUUUAAUAGACUUAUACAAAGUUCUAAUUUUAUAGUAUUUUAUCAUUAUACAAUUAUAAUUGAAAUAGAAUAUUUCUUUUAAAAUUAUUUAAUCUUUAUAUAAAAGCGUUAAAUAAGUGAAAAAACUUUGAAGUAAUAAUUAAAAUAAUUUAUUGACUUUAAAAUUAUUUUUUAUUUUUCUUAACUUUUUCUUUCUUUUACUUUUCCUUAUUAUUUUCUUUUAUUUGCAUAUUUUUUUCUAACUUUUCAAGAAUUAAAUAUGGCCUAAGUUUCCAUAGAUAAAAUGCAUUAAUCAAAUAUAGGUAAAUAAAAAACAAAAAGAUACACUUCACUUGAUUUUUUUAAGACUCAAUUAAGUUGUUGAUUGAAAGGGUGUAUGGUAAAACUUAAUACUUACAACUUAAAGACUUUGAUUUUAAGUUACGUUAUACUUAAGUGGUUGACUUAAAGCUUAUUAUCUAAUUUUUAUUUUAAGUAUUAAAGAUGUUUGAUAAAAUUAAUUUAAAACUUAUUUUAAAGCAUCAAAAUGACAUAUUUUUCAUCAUAAAUUAUAACUAGGGCAUAGGAGGUCGAGUAACAAUGGAGGUCAUGGAAUAGCAAAAGAGAUCAUGAAGGUAUUAAGGACAAAUGGUCGGGAUAAAAAAAAAAAAAAAAAAAAAAGUAAAAUGAAGAUGUGGCCUUCUGAAAAAAUGAAUUAUUUUUAUUUAUUACUUAAAGUUAUUUUUUACUUAAGUCAUAUUAUUAAGUUAUUUUACAACAUAUACUUAAUAUAGUUAACGACUUAAAUUAAGUUAUUAAGUCAUUUUAAAUUAUUAAAUUGAUUUACCAAACACUCAUUAAGUUAAAAUAGUUUUAAAAUAUUUUUUAAUAUUAGUUAGAAAGUUAUCAAUAUUUUAGAUCAUUUUUUAUAUUCAUUUUAUCUUCUUUAUUUUUAUCAAAAAGUACUUUUUGGAAGCCAAACGUAACCUUUAUCUAUCUAUUAACAAACAAUAUUCAAAUGAAAUCUUUAAAUGUGAUGUUUUUUAACCCCUUCUCAAUAAUAUUCACAUGCUGCAUAGUGGUGUAAAGGAGGACAAAAAGUGUACCAGUUGUAUCUUGUGGCCUGAAUCACUUUACUUUCUUAAAAGAACAUGUGAAACACAACAAAAAAUUUGUCCUUCGUCCGGGCUGAAACCAAAUAUUAUACCUAAUCUAAAAGUAGUAUUAUUUGUAGAAUAUUUACAUAAUCACAUAAAGUAAUCAUACAUGAUUAAAGGAUACUAACAUAGAAAAUCACUAUAAAGAACAUACCUGUUUGAGCCAUCAUAAUAAAACAAGUGAUUGAUUGUUGCAACCAAGUCUUCCCCUCUAUGAUCUUGAUAACAACUAUUAUGGCUUUAUGGGAAAACAGAAAGACCCUUUAUCUAGAUUAGAGAGGGGACUUAGCAUAACUCAAUAUUGGGUUCUCAUUGGGCCCUCCCAUAAUGGGCUUCAAUGAGAUCCAUAGCCUACACUUGCCACUCAACUGAGCUUCUACUCAAAAGACGCAAAACCCAAUCCAAAUAUGAUCACUAGUUAAUUGGGCUCAUUAUAUAAUAGACUAUCCAUUAACCCAUUUUUUUCAAAUACAAAUUAUUCAAUUAGUGUUAGCCCAUAUAAAAAUUUUCCAACAUUCUCCCACUUGGGCUACAUUAAUUGUUUUUUGAGGAUUCAUUAAAUUCAUUUUGAAAAUAAGACUCUCGGGUUAGGUACAGAAAAGUUUAUUUUGUGUGGCCAUACUUUUUUUAAAGAAAUGAUAGUCUCUAAGUAACAUCUUGAUAAACUUAUCUAGUCCAACAUGGUCUUAAUAUUUGACUAUGAUGGUCUAUAUGUUAAUCUCAACAAACAUAAUGACCCUUAUAGUCACGAAUAUUUAUAACCAUAUCGACAUGGAUCGUAAACCCAAUAGUGUAGUAAGAAAUCAAUGGCAACAUGUGAUCAUCAUCUAUAUGCAUUGUUUCUUAUCAGUCCUCAUUACAAUUUAUCGGCAAAAUGAAAUUGUAAUUGCAAUUUCUCAACAAAAUGAAAUUGCUGCAAUUUCUAAACAAUAUGAAAUUGCUUGACUUUAACAAGUCAUAUGUCACCAACAGUGCACCACAAGAUCUUAAAAUAGUGGUAUUUGUGACAUCCAAUAGUAUACAACUAUAAUUCUUAAGGUUCAAUAUCUUAAGAUACCAUGUUGUAUGAAAUUCAAUUACGACAUGCUAUAAUAUAAUACUUAAUAAUGAUGAUCAUAAUAAAAAGAUUUUAAUUUUGCAAGUCGCAUAACAAUAAUGAUUAAUGUUUACACAAAACAAUAAUUGAAAUAAGGGAAAUCACAAAAGCUCCCACUAAACCAAAGAAUCAAAAGAUUUAAUGACACCCAUAUUCACAACAUGUUCCUUGAACGUUAUAGGCUUUAAACCUUUGGUUAGAGGAUCAGCUAGCAUGGACUCAGUUCUUAUGUGCUCAAUUACAAUAUCUCCUUUCUUCACUAAGUCCUUAACUGUAAGGUACUUGAUUUCUAUAUCCUUAGAACUCGUAUUGAUCUUAUUGUUCUUGGAGUAGAACACAACUGCAUUAUUGUCUCAAUAAAUCACAAUGGGUCGAAAGAUGGAAUCAACAACUUGCAACUUUGAAAUCAGAUUUCUUAGCCAAACAACUUGAGAUGAUGCACCAUAACAAGCUACAAACUCAGCAUAAAUGAUUGAGGAUGCAAUUAGGCUCUAUUUGACAAUUUUCCAUGAAAUGGCUCUACCAACUAACAUAAAAAUGUAUCCUAAAGUAGAUUUGUGAUCAUCAGAACAACUGCCCAAAUAAGAAUCUGAGCAUACAACUACCUCAAGAUUAUCCACCCUCCUAUACACAAGCAUAAAAUCCUUCGUUCUUUAUAGAUAUCUCAUGACUUUCUUUGCAGCAACCCAAUGAUCAUGUCUAGGGUUCGAUAAAUAUCUACCAAGAACAUUAACAAUGAAGGUGAUAUAAGGUCUCAUACAUACUUGUGCAUACAUCAAGCUACCAACAACACUAGCAUAAGGAAUAGUCUUUAUGGCAUCCUUUUCCAAAUCAAUCUUUGGACACUGUUCAUUACUGAGUUUAUCUUCCUUCACAAUAGGUACAUCACCAAUUUUGCAUGUCUGCAUAUUUAAUCUUUUAAGCACACGAUUGAUAUAGGCUCUCUGAGAUAGCCUAAGAAGGUUUUGAGAUCUAUCACGAUAAAUCUCAAUACCCAACAUAAAAUAUGCUUCUCUGAGAUCUUUCAUGUUAAAAUUAGUAGACAAAAUACGCUUGGUAUCAUUCAAGAGAUUCACAUCGCUACUAGUAAGUAGAAUAUCAUCGAUAUAGAGAACCAUGAAAAUGUACUUGCUCCCACUGACUUUCAUGUAAAGGCCCUAAUCAAACUUGUUCUCUAUAAAACCAAAAGACGUCACAAUUUUGUCAAAUUUCAAGUACCACUAAUGAGAAGCUUGCUUGAGACCAUAAAUUGACCUUUUCAAUCUGCAUACCAUGUUCUCUUUCCCAUUUGCCUUAAAUUCUUUAGGUUGUGACAUGUAGACUUCCUCACUCAAAUCACCAUUGAGAAAAGUUGUCUUAACAUCCAUGUGAUGAAGCUCUAAGUCAAAAUGAGCUACUAACGCCAUAAUUAGCCUAAAGGAAUCUUUGGUAGAGACUAGUGAGAAAGUCUUUGUGAAAUCAAUGCCCUCUCACCGUGUAUACCCUUUAGCAACCAAUCCAGCCUUGUAUCUUUCAACAUUUCCUUUGUUGUCUCUUUUGGUCUUGAAUACCCAUUUGCAUCCAAUGAGUUUAUAUCAUUUGGGAAGAUCAACAAGUUCCCAAACAUCAUUUGUUUGACAUAGACUGCAUCUCAUCUCUCAUGGCAAUCAACCAUUCAUUUGCCUUAUCACUAUUGAGAGCUUCACGAUAAGUAGUAGGGUUCACUUUUUUUCCAAUGUCAUAGUCUCCCUCUUCGAGGCAAACAUAAUAAUCAUUCAAAAAGGCAGACCUUCUAGUUCUUUGCGAUUUCCUCAUUUCCACAGGAGGAAUCUCAUUUACAAUAGGGGUUAUUUCGACAGUGGGGAAAUUGACAAUAGCAACUCCUUGCUGAAUCCCAGAAUCAAAAGCUCCAACAUCAAGGUUGAUGUCUGAGACUGACAAAGGUAAAGAAAUAACAUCCAUGGGUUCCACUCUUUCAUUGGAUUGAGAGGGUAUACUAUCAACAACAUCUAACUCUAAAAACUUUGCCACUUGAGGCUCAACAACUCUAGUGCCAUGAGUUGAACAAUAAAACUUGUAUCCUUUUAAGUGACUAAGAUACGUAAUAAAGUAGUACCUAGUAGUUCUUGAAUUUGUCUUCUUUAAAGAAGGAUAAUAGAUUUUCACCUUAGUUGGACAUCCCCGUACUUUAAAAGGAUUCAAACUAGGUUUUCUGCCUGUCCAUAGUUCAAAUAGUGUUUUAGGCACAGACUUACUAGGAACACGGUUCAGAAUGUAGGUUGUUGUUUUAAUGGCUUCACCCCAUAAGUAUUCUGGCAAAUUUGAUUUACUCAUCAUGCUCAUUUUCAUUUCCAUAAGAGUGCGGUUACACUUUUCUGCCAUGCCAUUUUGUUCAGGACUACCAGGCAUAGUAUACUAAGCAACAAUACCAUUAUCUUGUAAGUACCUUGCAAAAAGUCCCUUUUGUUGUCCAGCGUCACUAUGCUUCCCAUAAUACUCACCACCUUGAUCAGAUCUUACAAUCUUGAUGACUUUUCCUAGUUGUUUCUCAACUUCAGUUCGGAAGACUUUGAACAUUUCAAGAGCAUCUGCCUUUUCUUUUAUCAAAUAUACAUAGUCAUAUCAGGAGAAAUCAUCAAUGAAUGUAAUGAAGUACUUGUUGCCACACAAGGUAGUAGAGUAAGGCCCACUAAUGUCUGUAUGAACAAUCUCCAACAAAUUUUGACUACGAGUUAUACCCUUUUUCUUAGUCUUUGUCAAUUUUCCUUUCACACAAUCAGCACAAAUUUCUAAGUCAUCAGAAUCAAGGCGAGGAAGAAUCCCAUAACUAAUUAAGCGUUCUACUCGUUCUUUAGAUAUGUGCCUCAAACACUUAUGCCAUAACAAUGAAGAUCUUUUCUUAGUCAAAGGUCUUUUAGCAACACUGUUUUCAACAUUGUAAGAACAAGCAGAUAACAACGACAAUCUAUAAAGCCCGUCAGACAAAACACCAUUGCCAAUCACUUUAGAGUCAUAAAUCACCUCAACUCUUUUAUUUGCAAAAGUGAAACUAUAUCCAGCUUUGUCGAGUACUGAAAGGGAAAUUAAAUUCCUUCUAAACCAAGGUACACAAAAAACAUUGUCCAAAACAAGUUGAAAACCAGAAUCUAAUUCUAAAACAACAAUCCGAAUAUGCUCAACAUCAAUCUCGAUGUCACUUCCAACUUUAAACUUUGACUCUUUUUCACUUGGCUUCCUCAAAUUUCUUAUCCCCUAUAAAAAAGUUGCAACAUGAACAAUAGCACCACUGUCAAGCCACCAUGAAUCUAAAGGAAUAUUAACUAAAUUAGAUUCAAAACAGACAUAGGCAGAUAACAUACCCUGUUCCUUCUUUUUCUUCUCUAGCCAAUUCUUAAACUUAAAGCAAUCGACCCUCUUGUGACCUUUUUUGUUGCAGUGAUAACACUUCAGGUUUGUGUUAUUGGCAUUUCCAUUUCCAUUUUUCUGUUUCUCACUCCCACUCUUCUUGAAAUUCUUGCUUUUCUUAUGACUAUGGAAAUUGGGCUUUCUAGCCUUUUCAACUCUCUUAUGAUUAUUUGGUUUUCCAAGAGCAACAAGAUGAGCAUAUUCAUUCUUUUCUCUUUUUAGCUUUUCUUCCUCGGCCACACACUUAGUGAUCAGGUCAUUCACACCCUAAGACUAAUUUAGGGUGUUGUAUGUAGUCUUGAUUUGGCUUAAAGAAGAUGGUAGAGUAUUGAGGGCUUGAUGAAUAAUAAACUUAUGGGGAAUGGGAAUGUCUAGUGCUUUCAAUUUAGUUUGAAGAUGCACCAUUUUUAGGAUAUACUCACGAACCCCUUUCAUAUCAUUAUACCUCAUAUUCAUCAAUUCAUCCAUAAAAUACCCAGCUUCGACAUUGUUAGAUGUCUGGUAUCUAUUUCUCACAUCAACGAGAAAUUCCUUAGCAUUGUUGUUCUCAGGUAUUCCUCCAAGGAGAUGCUUAGCAAUGGACCUCUUGAUUGAAAUGAGACUCAAACGGUUCGAUCUUUCCCAUUUCGUAUAAUGAGCUCUCAUAGCUUCAGUGCUUUCAUUAGUAGGCUUAAGAGGUUCAUCUUCACAGAGAGCCAUGUUCAAGUCCAUCAUUCCUAAAAAAAACUCUAUGUUUGAUCUCGAUCUCUUAUAGUUUGACCCACUUAGAAUUUCAAUUGUAGCAUUAUUGUUGUUCACAACAAAGGAAACUGAUUGACAAAAAUUUGCAACUAGAUCAAUUAUGGGCAAUAGGUAAAAUGCUUAAAUAAGCAUAAGAAAUACAAUAUAAGAAUCAAUUGUAUUAUCAUAAACUCCCCUUUGGGCAGAGUCCAUAAUAAACAACUAUUCUCUAAGUAUGAUGAUCAACAAAUAAUUCAUUAAAGUUUAUUUUCUUUGGGCAAACAAAUUUAUCAAAUUAUUUAUCUCAUUCAAUAUCCUCAUGUUGUUAAAUUAAUUUGCACAAUAACCCCAUUUGGGGAGGCGAUUGUACAAAUUAAUCUAAAAUUUUCCCCAUCAACAAAAUAGGAACUCAUAAACUUGCAAAUUUUGAUGGUUAAAUCACUUUGGUGAAAUAACCUCAACAAUUCACAUGCAACGUUCCAAAAUUGGGUAAAUUUAAAAACAAUAAUGCCUAACAACAAUAGUGCAUAUUAGUGAUAUAUAUGCAUAUGAUCAAACAAGAUGAAGUACGUCACAAAAUGUACUUUCAAUGAUCAAUGAUCAAUUAUAGUUGCAAGAAUUUGAACAACAAUUUUUAUUUUUUUAUUACACUUUAAACUAAUUAUUUAACUAGUUUAUGUGAUUUAGACCAAGUAGGAGAGUAUGCUUGAAAGAGUUUCACUCUAGAGAGAGUGAGUACUACACUCCUAUUCCAUAUAUAUUAGCAUAAUUUCUGAUAAAUUCUCAACAAAAAAUUAUACCAAAGAAUAAAUUUAAGCUAAUUAAAUCACAUAAAUAAAUAAUAAUUAUUUAAUAAAUAUUUUUGACCCCCCAAAAAUAAAAUAAUAUAACCAAAAAAUAGAUGAUAAAAAAACAAGCGCAUAGGAAAAAACGGGGCUCAAAACAGACAUCGGAUGAGGUUACACGCGUCUCACACACUUGACCCGCAAGUGGGGAAUGUGCGGCACAUGUGGCACGUUUGGCAUGUGCUAGAGGUUAUCUUCAACCUCCAGCAGCGGGUCAAAAAACCUGCUCGGGUUAAAUGACCCGGUUGCUACCCAGCUUACAAACAAUUGUAAAAAGAAUGUUUUUCGAUCGGGAUCUCGAGGGGUUUUAAACUUUAGGUUGUUUCUAACACUCUAAGUCAUUUAAUCAUCAGAAAACAACUUAAAGAUCUCCAUAAUUGAUUAACAAAAUUCAGUUUUUAUACCUCCAUAGACAAGAUCGAAAAAUUCUAUUUCAAAACCUAUUUCGACCUCAUUUUACAUGUAUUUUUACCUUAACAAUAUAAGAAAUCUCUCUACAACAAUUAAUUAAACAAAAAACUUCUCAAUCUUGCUCAAUUUAAAAAAAAUAUAAAACGAAUUUUCUAGGGUUCAUACCCAUAUUUUCGAAUUUUCAAUUUUCAUCAAAUUGAGCCAAAAAAACCGAAAUUGAUGCUACAUAUCAACUAUAAUAUAUGUAAACAACAAAAUCCAAGAGUUUAAUUCGAGUAAAACACAAUAAUUUGAACAAAUAAAUUUUUUCUUGAAUCUUUAAACAAGAAAAUUCAGAAAAUUUAAAAACUUAAUUACUGCCAAUUUAAACAACGAAAUUGCAAAUAUAAUAUACCAUAUUGAAGUUUGUGACAAGAGGAACAAAAGGCCUAAAGUUUCACAAUCAAAAUAAACCAAAAAACCAUACACAGUCAUGGAUCACAGAUUCGGCUCCAAAAAUAAAAUAAAAUAAGAAACUAAAAAUUUUAUUUUCAAUUUCCAAUUGUAGAUCCUAAAUCAUGUAAAUCUAGCUUUGAUACCACAUGUAGAAUAUUUACAUAAUCACAUAAAUUAAUCAUACAUGAUUAAAGGAUACUAACAAUAGAAAAUCACUAUAAAGAACAUACCUAUUUGAGCCAUCACAAUAAAACAAGUGAUUGAUUGUUGCAACCAAGUAUUCCUUUCUAUGAUCUUGAUAACAACUAUGGUGGUUUUAUGGGAAAACAAAAAGACCCUUUAUCUAGAUUAGAGAUGGGACUUAGUAUAACUCAAUAUUGGGUUCUCAUUGGGUCCUCCCAUAAUGGGCUUCAAUGAGACCCAUAUGCUACACUUGCCACUCAACUGAGCUUCUACUUAAAAGAAGUAAAACCCAAUCCAAAUAUGAUCACUAGUUAAUUAGGCUCAUUAUAUGAUAGAAUAUCCAUUAACCCAUUUUUUUGCAAAUACAAAUUAUUCAAUCAAUGUUAGCCAAUAUAAAAAUUUUCCAACAUUAUUCACUAGGAACGUGUUGUUCAUUUGUACAUGUAUGUGUGGAUGUCAUGGGAAAUGUGUUGUUCAUCCUAAUAUGUACAGGUGCAUGCAUAUUCAAAAGAUUUAGCAAAGAACAAAUAAUCUUUCAUUUUGCUCAAAAUUAAAAGAGUUUCUACCAUUUAGUUCAUUUUUAUCCAAAUAUUUAAAUCUUUUUGUAAGGAAAAAUGUGAAGAAAAGAAAAUAAGGAGAAAAUUAGAAAAACAAAAAAAUCAAAGUUAAUAAAUUAUUUUUUAUAUACUGAUUGACAUUCAUUUAAUUAUAUAAAGAUUAAAUAAUUUAAAAGCGUAUAAGUUAUCGGGAGCCAAAUUUGACAAAAAUGCAGUAGCUUUUAAAUUAUUGUUUUUUUGUCAAAACCCUUGGCGUGCCCUUAUAUAAACAAUAGGGACUUGUAGCUAGGUCAAUCUUUAUCGUAAAUUAAGCAAUACUUAAUGUUCUAAGAUAAAGGAAAAAAUAAAUAAAUGUGAAAACAAACCCUUCUAACCAUAAAUGUUCCAUAAUAGCAAUUCUCCAUAGCUUGUAAUUGCCAAUUAGAAUCAAAUAACAACUCUCAAUUGCCAAAAAGAUGAAUACAAAUAAACUCAUUACAAGAGUAUAGAUCAUCUCAAGCCUUUUGAUGAUAGAAUAUAUGUGUCAUGCCCCAAGUUCUUUUUAAGGACGUGAUGGUCAUCUUAUAACUAAAAAAAUCACCAAUUACCAAAUUCUUAUUCAGAAUAGUAAAAUAUAUUAUAAUCCUCAAAAUUUAACUUUAAAAAAACUAAUACAUCAACCACUUUGCUAUUGUCCUAACAACUUCAAACCCAAAUGGUUCAAACAGUAAUUAAUUUCUAACAUUUAAACACUUGCCAAAAAUAAAGCUUAAACUAAAAUCCUAAUAAAAAAACAAAUUUCCAAUCUAACCAUCACUCUUUACCCAAACCGAGAGUACCUGGAAAAAAAUAUCAAUGGAAGAGCAUGAGUUCAAGCCCAAUAAGAAAUAUUAAUACAGUUUCAUGAAUCAAACAUUUUUUAUUAUGAUAACAAAUAGGAAAUAUAGUGUACAAUCUUUUUUAUAAAAACUUUGAAUUCAAACAUGCUAAAGCAUCCAAAACUUUUCAAUUAAACAUUUUCAUAUUUAUAUCAAUAGCAAUUUCAUAUCAAAUCCAAAUGAAAUGCAUUCAAAAUAUUUUUACUCUAGUUAUCAAAUAACAAAUAGUAUCUAAUUAGGUAGGACUUUAUUGCCCAAUUAGGUGAAACUUUACAAAUAGGAUACUAUCCUCAAAUUUGUUCUUUUUAAGGUGGAUGGAACCAAACACUACUAGUAACCUCUAACCAAACCCCUAGAGACUAGGGUUUAAAACAAUUACAUUCUCCACCAAGAAAUGUAAAGGUUAAUUAGCAAUUAUAGCUCAUUAACUAAAGUGAAAAAGGUCAACAAUUAUAACUCAUUAACUAGGGCAAAAAAUGUCAACAAUAUAACCCUUUGACUAGGGCAAAAUAAACCAAAGUCAAACACUUUGUUUCAUUUAUUUAAACGUAUAAAAACAUAAUAUCUUCAUUUUUUUAUUAUAAACAAAAGAAAAUAUUCUUACAUAUUUUCAUGCAAAAUAUAAUUGAUCCUUGCAUAAAAACAAAAAUAACAUUUUACAUAAUUCAAAAUAACAUAUAAAAAUAAAUUAUUUUAUUUUAGAAAAUCUAUAUUAAUUUCUCCUACCUCAAAAAGCACUCAAAACCCUUAAAGAAUUUAUUGUUGAAGAAUCUAAUUUUCACCUGAAAAUAACAUAAGAAAUAACAACUAUUACUAUUAGCUAUUUAUCUAAAAUUAAAGGUUUGACAAUCUAUAGACCCCAAAAUUUGUCCAAAUUUUAUUUUUACAUUAAUUUUGAGCUCAAUUUUGUCUUUAGAUUUUAAAUCCUGAUUACAUAUGAUAUUUUUGACCCACUCACUAUCUAAUUAUUAUUAUUAUUAUUAUUAUUAUUAUCAUUUUUCUUUUUCUUUUCUCUCUUCUCUCUCCUCUCUCUUCCUACCUUCCCCCAACUACCCCACCCACUCUCUCUCUCCUCCCAUACCCCUCAUUCCCAUGACCCAUACCUCCUCUCUCAUCUCUUCCCAAUUCUCUCUCCUCUCAUGUUUGUUUUUUCUUUUGAUUUUUGGUUCCCAUUUUAUUUUUUUUUGGCAAUGGUCGGCUCCCCAUCUAGGUUUUUCUCUUCAUCUUCUUUCUGACAUCACUCCACUCACAACCCAACUCCCCCACAUGGUAGUGGUGGGCCCCUUGAUUCUCUCAAUUUCUCUUCUUUUUCCCUUAUUUUCUCCAUUUUUUGCUCCACACGGUCAAUCAGGACCCCCCCCCCCCCUCCCCAGAUUUUUUUCUUCCCCAUUUUUUUUUCUUCUAGGUUUUUCUCCCUCCAAAGACCCAUGACCACUUUCCUCAGGUCCUCCGCUCUCUUCUCUCUUCUUUCUUCUUUUUUCUUUUCCUUUCAUUUUGUUCCACAUUUUUUUUUCUUUUCGAAUUUUUUUCCUUCCAUUUUCUUUUUCUCAUUUUUUUUCCUCCCUCUCUCUCUCCAUCCGCCACCCUCAUUGCCAUUGUUGACCACCACCAGCCUCUGCCGGCUAGCAAUCCAACCAUCCAUAGUUCUUAAAAACAAAAUGGGUAAAUUUCAUUUUUACUUUAUUCUCAUUUUCACUUUUUCAUCUUUAUUUAUUUUAUUUUUUUGGUUUGCAUAGUAAUUGAUUUGGACUUAGGCCUAUUGCUUAUUGGUUAUUUGUUUGGGUUUAUUGGAUUGGGUUUGAGAUAUUAUUUCCUUUGGCCAUGUGUAUUAUUAAUGUGAGUUUGUUAAUUGAUAUGAAUUUUGGGCUCACAAUGUUGGUGAGAUUUGUUGGAUGACUUGAAUAUUUGAUAUGGGCUUGGCCAAUUUGAACUAUUUAAUUUGGACAUGGGACAAUUGUAGGCUUGAAUAUUAAAUUAGGCUUGAAUUAUGGGAUAUUAAGUUUAGGCCUAGUGGAAUUUAUUUUAAUUUAUCAUGUUUUGGAUUUGAUUAAUUGAGCAUAUAUUUUGGCUAUUAAUUUGGAAAUUUUGGAUUAGGGCUUAUGGCAUGUGAGAUAUUUUUGUUGGGCUAUAUUUUCUAAUUUAGGUCCAUUUUUAUUGGCAAAAAUUUAUUGGACCAAUUUGAAGUUUGAAUUUGGGAUUGAAUAAUUAUUUUGGACUCUACAUAUUUUUGGAUAUUUACAUUUGGGUUAUUUUUGUUUUUGCAUGUCUACAAUUUUGUUGGUUGAAUACGAAUUUAUGACAUGUGGAGUACAAAAUUUCAUGGAAGAAAGUGAGACUCGAAAAGUUGUAGGAAGACAUUGAACUUGUUGUAAGCUUGUUUGGGUACACAUUUUAUUUCCCACUUUUAUUUUAUUUUAUUUUUAUUAGUUUUUGUAAAUAUUUAUUAAUAUAUAUUUACUUGUUGUGUACAGAAUUAGAUGUCGAACAAACCAGAAAUUUUGUUUAAAUAAGAUGAAUACUUCAGUAAAUAUGUUUUAAUUAAAUAAUAAUUUUAAAAUAUUUUUCUUAAUAAAAGAAAGUUUUUUUAUUAAUAAAAAUUCAGAAAAAUGCUUUUAGAAAAAUAAAAAUAAAAACUUUAAUAGAAUUUGAAAAUUUAUUUUUAAUAAUAAUUGUCCAAAAAUUUCUUUGUUUAAUAAAAAUUUGCCAAAAAUUAUUUUGUAAAUAAAGUUGUCCCAAAAAUUAUUUUUUAAUAAAAUUGUCCAAAAAAUGUCUUUUUUUAAAUGAAUUAUUUUUCCUUAAUUAAAAUGGGAUUAAAAGUAUUUUUUUAGAAAUAUAGGAUUUAAAUAUUUUUUUCUUUUUAAUUAAAAUUCCUUUUGCAAAUAAAGUUGUCUUUUUAAAUAAUUUUUAUAAAUCACUUUUCUUAAAUGAAAACAAAUUGAAAUAUUUUUGUAAAUAAAAUUGUAAAAAUUCAUUCAUUUUUUUUUUUUUUUGUAAAAGCAAGUAAAAAUAAUUUUUGUUGCCAAAUUGAAAGUUUGUAAUAAAUUCUUUUGAUACAAUAAGUGUAAAUAACAUUUUUUGAAAAUUAAAUACAAAUGAAAUUGAAUCAAAUCACUUGAAGAAAAUGUUUUGUAAAUAAAUAAAUUGAAAUCACUUAUUCAAAAUUGUUUUUAAUAAAAUCCUUUGAAAUUCUUGAAAAUUAUUUUUUUAUAUCUUUUUUUAUUUAGUUCAAUAAAUCAUUUUGCAUAAUUCUCUUAUUAUUUAUUUUGUAUAUUCUUGUGAUUAGAUUUCAUCUUUAUUUGUGUAUAUAUUGAUUUUCAUUAUGACUUGUACAUACUCAUUUGCAUGAUUAUUUUUCUCGAUAUCCAUAAUUAAUUAACUAAUUGCCACAAUUUUCUUAAUUCGUUUAGUAGAGGUCAUACAUAUACGGGCUUAGAGGGAUGCUACGACUCACCACCGUACCUUACCAAUAGGUAACCUAACCCUUGGAUCCAGAUUAUGUUUUUGCAUACAUGUCUUUUCCUAAUAAGGAGUCAUACAUGAUUUUCUUUCUUAUUUUGUUUUCCCUUUAAAAAAAUUAAAUAAGUGGCGACUCCAGGUCUUUUUCUAAAAGUCAAUUUUUUUUCACAAAUAAAUGAAAAGUAAGUUUCGCCAUUCGAGUGGGGACGCACAUGAAAAACAUAGGUUCACAAAAUGGUGACUCUACUAGGGAAUUUGAGGGUCAAACUUAAACUCGAGUUAAGAAAAAUGUGGCAUUUGAUUGGUCGAUCAAUGGAUACCCUUCUCUACAUGUCUUUGUAUGAUUGGGUGUUGAUUACACAUUGAGAGCUUUGAUAUAUUUAUUUGUGAUGCAUGUUUGGUUAUUAUUGUUCAUUGGAGAUGUUCACGUGUUGAUUAUAUCGAUUGAUUCUCUUACCUACUUUUGCAUAGUGACUCUUCUUAUUGUAUGAUUAUCUUACUUUCCUUGACAUGUAUAUUCUCAUUUUUGUAUAUCUCGUUCACAUUGGUGUGAUUGAUUCUCUUUAUUUUAGAUUGAUUACUACUCAAAAAGUGCUAUUUGAUAGCUUGUAAUUAACUCUUUUAAACACUUUUGAGUAGUAGUUAUCACCUUUUAACUCAAUUAACAUAUUAAGGACCCUUGCAAUCAAUUCUAAUCAAAUUGUGUUAAGUUUUGGUGUUUUGAUAGCUUUUUGAUCACCAAAGCAAUCCGAGAUUGAGGAGAGUUCUUUGGAAUCCAUGACAAAAGAUGUCCGGACAGGGCGUCCGGACACACCAUCGGAGGGUGGCGGGAAGUGAGCUGUGGCAGGCUGUCGGAAUGACGUAGUAAGGCUUGUGCACUUUAGCCAAUGAUCCGGACAACAUAUCCAGAUAGGAUAUGCUAUCGUCCGGGGUGUGAUGAUCGCGAGUGCCGUGUGCUUAUCCUUGAGGGAGUCCGGAUAGGGGAGCGCGCCGACAUUCCACUCGGAUGUCUCACAUCUGGAAAUCUGCUCCGCCGACAUUCCACCCGAAUGUCUUACAUCAGGAAAUCUACUCCACCGACAUUCCACCCGGAUGUCUUACAUCCUGAAAUCUGCUCCGCCGACAUUCCACCCGGAUGUCUCACAUCCGGAAAUCUACUCUGCCGACAUUCCACCCGGAUGUCUCACAUCCGGAAUUCUUCUCCGCCGCCAUUCCAUCCGGAUAUUUCGCAUCCGGCGCUUGACGCCGGAUAGGAGAGGAGGGCGUUUCAACUUCCCCGGUCAAACAUAUCCGAAUCCUUUGAUAGCGCUUACCCGGAGAGUUUUGCAGCCAUUUUGCACAGUGCCGCGGUGUUCUCCUGAAGCUUCCCGAUAUGUCUGACCGACAUUUUAAGAUAUUUUUCUGCACAAUGCCGCGGUGUUCUCCUGAAGCUUCCAGAUAUGUGCGACCGACAUUUUGAGAUAUUUUGCUUUAGAUAUUUGAUGUCUAAAUCCCCAAACUCUCAUUGUAACCCACCAAUUAUAGGAUUCCUUAGUCUUUAAGUAAGAACAAAGGGUAAAUAACCCCUUAUAUAUAGUUUGUAAUUUCCUUUACAAAAGACAUCGAUCAUAAAUCGAUCAAAUAGAGAUUAAUCCUUUGUACAGUUUUGGAAGGAAGUAAAAUACAGAGCACUUGCUCUACUUUUCAUAUAUAUUUUUGUUUUCUCGUUCUUUUUAUUUCUAGCCAAUCAAACUCUGAGGAUUUUUCCUCAGAGGACGAGAGGCUAGACUUUUUGUCUCUUGGAGUGAAGAAAGCCAGGUAAGUUUCCAAACACAAGAAUUGGAAGUUUUGUUGUUUUAGUUUUUAAUGAAGAGAAAGUGUAACCCGUUAAUGGUUUUUAUCUUUUUAGUUAACUUAAAACGCCUUUAAAUCACCUGGGUCAACACUUGAUAAGGCAAGUGAUCUCCAUCCAUUGAGAUGCACUAGUUUAUCUCUUGUGAGCCUUUGGGAGGUGGUUUAAAGGUAGGAUUUUCUAGAAUAGACAACACUUGGUAAGCUUUUGGACUCCAAGGAGACAUCCAUUAGUUAUCUCUUGCGAGCUUUUGACGGGUAAUCCAAGGUUAAAGAUCACCUUGAAUGGCAAGUGCUAGGUGAGAGGUAUGAGCCAUCGCAAGAUGCAUCAGUGAGAGGGAUUUAGUGUUUGAACCCAUUAAAGGGAAGCAUCUGUACCACACCGGUUCGAGAAAUAACUAUAUGUUAAAUCCCUAAUGCGAGGAAAAGAAACAAGUGACCGGAACUUCCUUUUUGUACAAGGAACCUGAGUCUAGUGAUCUAAACUCCAAGAAACACUUUUCUUUGUAAGUAAAAUUAGUUACUAUUUUUGGUUAGUUUAAAACCAACCUUUUCCACCAUAGAUUAUGUUUUCUUUUACAGCUAACCUUGAAAUGAAAAGGCACCAAGUCAGCUUUGAAUUAAUAUCAAUUGUGAAGUGAAAACCCAUCCCAGUGAAUGAUCCUAGAGCCACUAUGCUAUAGUAGCUUUGUCUUUGCUACCCUAGUUAAUGGUGUAAUAGGUUAUAAAUUUUGUUGAUUACUCCCUCAAUCAAGGAGCACUAGCUGGACACGAAUCAGCUGAGACACCAAUUGGGCACGAAUCAAAUGGCGUCGUUGCCGGGGACGAAUCAAAUGGCGCCGUUGCCGGGGAUCAAACGAAUCAUAUAUUAUCUUGUUUAUCUCAACAUAUUGUUUAUUCUUGUUAUAUAUCUUACUUGCUUAUCAUAAUCUUGCCUAGCUUGUGUGUAGAUAUGAGUGAUAUACUUGUUAUUUGCAUGACUGCUUGGUGCAUGACUAUUAUUCUUCUAUGCGAUGCAUGUAUUGCUUGUCUGUGUGGGAUACACAUCUAUUCCCUUACCUCUAACUCCCUAGUCUCGGUCAACCUUGUUUCCCUUGAUCUCGUAUUUGAUAUGAGACUUGUUACUUUGUUUACUCUUCAACCGAGCUAGUGAUUCAAAAUAGGGUUUAGUGAUGGGCAAUAUCUAUGUUUGGAAGCAUUCUAGAGGAGGUCAACACAUUGAUGCUGAUUGGAGUUCGAUCUUUGAAGACGUGUAUAGCUCAGAGCUAGAUUUUAGGAUAUUUGUGUGACCAGUUUGUUUUCUCUGUGUUUAGUUUGAUAAGAUUUUCGGAUGUGCCCACACCAUUCACUAUGAACCUUAGAUUACCACUAAGUGUUGAGAAUUAUGAGAGCUUUCACCAUAGGAAACAUCCCUUGGGAUGUCGAGUAGUGCAUGUGUGGAGGUGAUGACCACCUUGCAUGGAAGCGUCCCAUCUUUUCAGAGAUGUGUAGAGGGUUGUGUACUGCCAAAGGGUAUGAUCGUUUCUGUUAGGGCUCCUUUAAAAUCCACUUUUUCUUUUUAGAGCCGCCUUGACCUUGUGGGUUGAGCCUUAGAUCAUUUGAUUAGGAUUUUCUUUCCUACACAUGGGCGCAUUUGAGAGCCUUCAGGGUUGCUUUAGUCACAACAUGGAUCUAGUACUCCAUCUUUUAGUCUCCAAUCGAGAGUGCUUAUAUAUUGGUGCUAGUUUGAGUAUCAGUUGGACCACCCCUUGUUGUAUGGUUUUGGUUUCUUCUUAUCGCUCGGUGAGUCUAGCACACUUUCUCCCUAGGACUUUAGAUACUUUUUUUUUUCUUAAGUUGACACAUUCUUUCAUUUUGUUGUCACUUUCUGCUUGACAUUUUAGGAUAUGCUCAUUGAUUAUGCUCACAUUUUUACAUUCUUCACGUUUCAUGAGCUUGGUACUUCAUUCUUUGGUCGAUUUACCUAUUUUUAUUUUCAACCCGAUAUUUUCAUUACAGAAAGGUGAAAGAUAUGUUUUCACAUUCACACCAUUUUUAAGAGGUUUGCCUUUAUCACCUAAUCAUUUUUCUUUAUUGAGCUUGGGUUGAAAGUGAAUCAGAGAUAUUUUGUUAUAGAUGGAGUAUCGAUCUCAUGGUAGUGUUGUUUUUCACGCCUCAUUCAUUUUCUGGAUUAUUGAUAAAGAUUCUUUAGUCACAUUGUAGCCAUCUCACAGUGGACACCUUUAUGACCUUAGAGUUUAUGUCAUUUAUCCGGUUUUAGAUUGUCAUCAUAGAACCAUAUAUCAUAUGAUGUGUUGUACUUUUGACUUGGGACAUGUAUUCAUUUGCACAUUGUGGUCUUGAGGCCUAACCUAUCAUGGAGGAUAUUGAACUUAUUAGUCUAGGAUCGGAGAUUUGACCAAGGGAAUUUGAGACUAUGACCCAUCUUCUUAUCAUCAGAGCAAUACCUUACUCACUCCCACACCUAGACUUUGCUUCAACCUACAUCUACCUAUUGUGAAUUUUACACAACAUCACCCUUGACACCAUUACAUGACCUUUCCAUCCCUAGUUGUUCUAGCUUUGCAUAUCCUUUCUUUGAUUCGACCAAGUAGAGUGUGAGGAGUUUGAGCCCAGGGUUGAUCUUUCAUGGUAAGGGAUGACUUAUGAUCUUUGGGUGGCUUACGACGUGAGGAUUGGUCGAUUGUCUGAUGGGAUUGUCACUUAUUCUUCCAUCAGUAUAGAGAUUGAUUUUGUAUGAUGAGAGUUGGCUUGUGAUGAACAGUUGUGCCUUAUGAGAUCUUCAUUUACUUUGCUUUGAGAUGAUUAUCUUUUAGAUUAUUAUGGAGCAUUUGGAGUAAGGUUUGGUACACGAUUCCAGAGGGUUGAUGUGGUUAUAUCAAAUGGACAUUGAUCUUCAGUAUCGAUCAUUUAAGGGUUUGAGAACAUGAUGUUUGAGACCGUGGUUGUAGGAUGGGUGACCUUCAUUUCGGUUAGCUCACACCCUAUUACCUUUAUUGACAUCUAGACCAUUGCUAGCCCUUUGAGUCUCGCAUGAGCAUCAUAACCUUUUCUUUCUUAUAGCCUUACUUACCUUUUACACCGGGGUAGGGGCCCUCUGGUGUAUAUAUGCUUUAUUCGGAAGUCUCAUGAGCCAUGGACUUAUUGACUCAUCUUCUUCACUAUUUUUUUGUUAUCCUACCAUCAUUUUUCAUCAUACCUCUUUGUUUAUAUCCUUUGUCUUUGUCAUCGCAUUUCUCUCUAUGCCAUGAGUGAUGAUCUUUCACAUUUCAGUGCAUGGAUGACGGUCAUGUCCCCUUCCGUUCCUAUGUCAUGGACACUGGUUUGGAGAUCUUUAGUUGAGAAGGUCAUCUUAUCAAAGAGAGUUCAUGUACAUUAUUGUUUGAGAGUAUAUUCAUUUCAUUAUGUAUUCUCAGAGGAUCAUUGUCUUCUCCAUUAUUACAUACAUUAGUGAUUUGACUAUUCUCCAUGAUUUGAUUUGAGUGGAUUAGUGCUCAUUCAUUUUCCUUCGAUCUGUUUGUUCUUCUAAUGAUAUUUCAUUCGCCUUGCUUACAUUGUUCUCUGUUCAUAGUGAUUUACAUUCUAUGUUCGAUAUUUUUCAUACAUCAUUCUUGUACAUCCCAUUAGCAAUUCAAUAUAUUCCUUUCUUCUCUUUCAUCAUUGAUAUAUUCAUCUUUGAUUCUUUCUUCAUCAUUGAUAUAUUCAUAUUGGACAUCCUCAAAUCCAUGAUUUAUGAGACUCUCUGUACAUAUUGCAUUUUACACAUGAGGGUAUAAGGUUUUAUCAUUGGGAUUAUUGAGCCUAGUUUCCCUUCAUUUCUUCACCUUAUUACCCUAGCCUGUCACAUCUUGAGUCUUAAGACCACCCUAAGGCCAUGACAUCACACAUUGCGUUUAAUAGCUCUCACAUGGGCGAUACUUAGGAUCGGUUGGAGAGCAUUUUGAUUAUGAUGGUUCGGGAGUUGUGGUAUGACCCCACACUGGGGCAUAGCCACUUCAGAGAGUUUUUAUCGGGUAUGCGUCCAUUUUGCUUAAUACAUUCUAUUAGGACACACCUUUCUUGGUUCGGGGUUGAUUUUUUAGAUGACCAUUAUGUCGAGGCAUACUCUUCUUAGCUGAUGAUGGAUUUUGAGUCCUGGUCAUCCCUUUUAGGAUAUCAGAUGUCCUUUUUCACAUUGGAGCAUGAGACAUGAUUGGUAUAUUUCAUUUGGUGUACUUUACACAAGGGUAUAUUUCUUAGUUGAUGAUGGUUAGAACUAAUUCUUCUUUAAUCUAUUUUUUUUACCUAAGUAAGUCAUUGGAUAAACAUGUGAAAAUUGGCUUUUACAUGAAUAUAUGAAUGUGAAUCUAUGUCUCUUUGAUUUUGUAUUUUUGGUUAAUGGAUGCUUAUAGCUCACCUUUCACAAUACACACACUUACACUAAUAGAUGAUCACAUGUUUAGGCUUAAUUAGACACUUGCUUAGGACACUUUUGUAUCAUAAUUUGGCACCUAAAAUAGAUCACUAAUAGUUUUGUAUACAGCCGCACUUUAGGUUCACCUUUAGAUUCACAUUAGUUCACAUUCACACACUUUCACUUCUUUUUAUUAUUUGUUGUUUGAUAUCUCAUGUGUUUUAAUGAUUUUAAAAUUGUUUUCAACUCUUUCCAUAAAUAAAUCAAUCCUUCAACCUCAUUCAAAAUUCAUCAUUUGGUUAUUAGGUAUGAAAAUCUAUUUUUCAACAGUCAUGCUACAAAUUUCAAUCGAUAUGCAUUUUUCCAUUAUUUUUUAAAUGAAUUUCGAUUUUGAAAUACAUGAAAUAAAUUCAUGGCUCCACAUCAAUGGGGUAAUUCCUUACCUUGGUGGGCUUAUCUAUGAUCACAUGAGAUUAAGGAAGUAUGGAUAAUUUUCAUGGGCAUUACUUUGGCAAGUGGUAAAUCCCUACAUUCAAGUUUUUCAAGAACAAAUAUUCAAUUGUCUCUUGGGGUAAUUUGUUCAACCUUUGAAAUAAAAAAUUAAAUUAAGAUUAUUUAAAGCCUUCCUAAAAGUUUUAUAAUAAUUGAAUGAUGUUGUAGACUUCCUAAAUGUGUUAAUAUAGUUUUGUUUGAGUUCAAAAUCAUUUUUCAAUUAAUAGAUAUAAAUCAAUCUUUCUAUUGGUUCAUUUUCACUCUAUUCUAAACACUUGGAAUUUUUUUCUAAAAUUAAAUUAUUUAAUUCAUUAAUUCCUUUUUAUAUUUUUCCUUUAAUCUAGACUUCUUAAAUUUAAUCUUAGGCACCUAAAACACUCAAAACUGAUCCCCUAAGUAGGAAUUGUGUUUUUUGUUUUUUUGCUCCUAUUGUACAAGUUCUUUUCUAUAGUUAAGGGGAUGGUUUAUUAAUUCUAAAGAUGUUAUGUGUGUGAUCAUGCUUUGUGACUAUUUUUCAUGUAAACUAGUCAUAUUAAAUAGGUUGUAAAAUUUUUUUUUAAGACUUUCAAGCAUCUCUAAAUUAGUCAAAUAAAUUAACUUUUGCAUGUCAUUGAAAUAUGCUCUAUUCUAAACCAAUUGAAGUUUAUGAAAACUAGUAUUAAACAAAAUAUAAUUAAAUAAUUUGACCUUUUGGAUUGUAAUCUAGACACAUAGGAGAGGUUGCCUAAUUUUUUUCAUGACGAAAUCCCACUUCUAGAUAAUGUUUUAGGAUUUAUUUUAUAAACUCCUAUGUUCUGAUCACAUGAUGAUUAUUUUGUGUAGAAACCCAAUUGUGAUUUAAUUUGGUACUAAUUGGCAUAUAAUUAAUUAAUUUGAACUUGGGGAUUGUGAUAUAGACAUGUUAAAGAUGUUGCACAAUUUUUAUUUUGAUGAAAUAACACCUCCAGAUAUUUACUUGGAAUUUAUUUUGUAAAAACCUCUAUUCUACUUUGUUAAUGGUAUUUUGUAUAUUUUGAUAAUUUGAUCACUUUUGUGCAUUCUUGUGAGCUCUUUUGAUUAUUGAUUCACAUUGUAGAUAUAUUAUACACACUAGCUGAACCUUCCUUUAGAUCAAAAUUCUUUAUUUAAUAUUUUAUACAAACUAAUUUUUGAAAGUGAACACAUGAUUAACUAAUUCUAAAAUUUUAAGCAUGAUUACUAUAUCUUGUUUCCUUGUCAUCUUUUACUUCAUGAUUUGAGAUAUGUUAUAUAUUAUGUUGUGGGAUUUGAUUCAUGCCUAAUUGGUGUGCCAGCUGAUUCGUGUCCAGCUGGUGCUCCUUGUUUGAGGGAGUAAUCAACAAAAUUUAUAACCUAUAACACCAUAUACUAGGGUAGCAAAGAAAAAGCUACUAUAGUAUAGUGACUCUAGGAUCGUUCACUGGGAAGGAUUAACAAGCUAUCAAUGAUACCAAUUCAAAGUGAAUUGGUCUUGUUUCAUUUCAAGGUUAGCUUAAGAAAUAAAACACAAACUUUGAUUGGUAAAGAUUUAGACUUAAACUAACUAACACAACAAGUAAUGGGAAUAACUUAGGAAGAAAAACAUUCCUUGGAGAGUUAGGUUUACUGGGGUGGUUCCUCAUGCAAAAGACAUAGCUCCGGUCAGAUGGUUCAUUUCCUCGCGUUAGAGAUUCAACAUAUAGUCACUUCUCUAACCGGUUUUGUACAGAUACAUCCUUUAAUUAGAUUUCAACUUUAAUUCUCUCACUGAUGCAACUUGCAAUGGUUCAAGCCUCUCACUAAGCCUUAACCAUUCAAGGUGAUCUUUAACCUUGGAAUUCCCUUCUCAAGCUCGCAAGAGAUAACUAAUGGAUGUCUCCUUGGAGUCCAAAAGCUUACCAAGUGUUGGAAAUUCCAAAAAAUCCUACCUUAAAGUCACCUCCCAGAUGCUCGCAAGGGGUAAACUAGUGCAUUUCCAUGGUUGGAAAUCACUUGCCUUACCAAGUGUUGGCCCAGGUGACUCUAAGGUGUUUUAAGUUAACUAAAAACAUAGAAAUCCCUAAAGGAUUUCACUUCCUCUUCAUUACUGGCUGAAACCACAAAGUUUGCAUUCUUGCACUUGGAACCUUCCCCGGCAACCUUAGCUCCAAGGAAUUAGAGGUUUAGUUACUCAUUCUCUUGGGAAAACUCCUCAGAGAGUUCAUAACUUAGUAAGAAAAUAAAAAUACAAAGUGAGAAGGUAAGGCAAUACAAAGAACUGAACUUUACUUGCUUACCCAAAACUUUACAAAAGGAUCUCCUCUCUGAGAACAGGCUCCCGAGAGGUACUUAUAUGAACAUAAUAUAAAACUAAUUAUUACAUAGAUAUUUUCUCUUUUUACUAACUUAAAAGCUAAGGAAUCUUGUAAUUGGUGGCUUACAAGGAGUAUUUUGGGAUUUAGACAACAAAAAUCUGAUGUAAAAUAUCUCCCAAUGUCGGUAGCAAAUAUCGGGAUGCUCCAGGAACCAUUUCGCAAGAGAAAAUGGUGUCUGCGAGAUUUCGCAGACACUCAAGAAGGGCUGCGAAAUCACUUCGCAACAAAAAGCUAUUCUCGCAGGGCUGCGAAGUUGGCUUCCACCUUGAGGUUCUCAGCUCCCAGCUUGCGGCAUAUAUCGGGCAACUUCAGAGGGAAAUACACCCUACUGUACAAAAAGGCUGCGAAAUCACUUCGCAACAAAAGGUUGAUUUCGCAGCACUUUGCAAAAUGCUUCCUUCAGCUUGGAGUGAUUGGCUUCCACUGGCUGCAACUUCUUCGUUUCAACUCUGAAUUGCACACUGUUUGAAGCAUUGGAUUGUUGACUUCUUGAGCUUUGAAAUGGUAUAUAGCAUGUAUCAAUUGGACUCCAAAAAAUGCUCCAAAAGUGGCUGCUACGACUGUCAUCAAGAAUAUGCUUCAUGGCAGAUUCUCUUUACUUUUUCUCCUUGCAUUCUGGAUUCACUCUUGGCAAAUGACUUCCAAGCUUUGCCCAAGAUUCCUCAUAAUUCUCCUCAAUCUUGAAUUGCUUUGGUGAUCAAAAUACUAACAAAAACACCAAAACUUACAUAAAGUGAUUAAAAUUGCUUUCAAGGGUCUUUAACAUGCCAAUUGAGUUAAAAGGCCAAAACUACUACUCAAAAGUGUUUAAAAGGAUUAAUUGUAGGCUAUCAAAUGGCACUUUUUGAGUAGUAAUCACUCCCCCCAACCGACAUAUUGCUAGUCCCUUAGCAAUAUAGGAGAGAAAAAUUGAAAAUAAAAAACAAACUAACCUAUAAUGUACAACAUCAUGCUGAUCAAAAACAAUUCUCAAGUGGCAUGAUGAUCUAAUUCUCUCAUGAAACAUUAAAGAAAUAUAAAAGCAAAUUUCAACAAGAGUUAUAACAAACUAUGCUAAACACUAUCAAACAAGGGAAUGCAUUAUGCAAACUGAAGUUUUAAAAUCAUUUCCACUUUCAAAGAACCAAACGUUAUUCUUCCUCAAAAAUCUAUGUGUAUUGGUUCCUUAGCUUCUGAGAAUAAUAUGCUAAACUAAUCUCUCCCCCCAACCUAUCUCUUUUCAACACUUAGCAAACUGACCAAAAUCAAUAAAGAAAGAACACACUUUCUCUUUUUUUUUUUUUUUAGAAGGGGCUUAAUGGGGUACUCUUUCUGAAUUGUCCAUGUAAUGGGGGUCCAUUGAUGACUCCCAACCAAUUAAGGUUUAGGGCACCAAGCUUUAAGGAUCUUUCAACCACUAACUCCUCGGAUUUUUCCCCGGACUUUUGAGAAUGAAUUUCUAAUACCCAAGCACCUACCACAUGCUAACUCCACCUAUCCACCCUUGUAACGAGCAUUGAGGUCGGUGACUCCCAACCAAUUAAGGCUUAGGGCACCAGGCUUCAAAGAUUUUCACCAUAUACCCCUCAGACCUUGCUCGGGUUUUAAGGCAAGAAAACAACUUUCUUUAUUUCAAAGGCUCAUUGGCCUUUUGCAGGGUGUUUCAAUUUUAUCAAAUGAGGUCAAAUAUACCAAGUCCCAAAAUUAUCCUAAGUCGAGAGGGAAAUAGCUUUUCAUGUUAUAAUCGGAAUCUAAUGUGCACAGUGUGUGAAUAGCUUAAAGUGGAAGAACUAAAUUCAAUUUCAAUAGAAGCUUCAACAAUUGAACCACUUUAGUGAGCAUAAUCCAUACUCUAAGUCAAGUGAAAAGCAACAGUUCAAUUUCUCCUGUUUUAAUUUGAAAAUUUUUCCUCAAGAUUCAUGGAGAAUAGAGUAAAAAGAUUAAAAAGCAAAAACUACAACUAAUUUACCAAAAUAAUUGCAUUACUAAAAAGGCUUAGCAUACUUCCUUUAAUUUAGCAUAACUUCCUUCCUCAUUCCCCCCCAACUGAACUGAGCAUUGUCCUCAAUGUGAUAUGAGUGAUUGUAAUUAAAGAGAGGAAGGGGUACCUCCUGAGUGAUAUCAAAUUCGAAUACUGAUUGGAGAAACCACAUGUUUCAAAAAGAAUAGAAUAUGUGAGAAAAGGAAAUAAGGAUAACUUAAUGCUAAAGGUUAACAAGAAAUAUUAAACUUGUAUUACUUUGAAUCCAUUUAAGUACAAUGUAAAAGAAAAGCAAUACAAGCAAUCCCAAAUAUAGUACCAAAAUAAUGGGAUUUCUUUCCAACUAAAAAAAAAACGAAAUACAUAAAAGAAUAUAUAUAUAUAUAUAUAUAUAUAUAUUCUGAUGAGUGGGUGGUGCUGGGGCUAGGCAGAUGGGUCUGCCUCUUCAGCUGGUGCUUCAGAUGGGGCCUGAGGCUCUGCUGGAUGAGAGUGUGGCACUGCUGUGGUAGAUGUGGAGGGCUCAACAGCUGGUGACAGGUCGAAAUGAAGCUGGAGCUGCCUUAAGAUGGCAGUGUGUUGAGCCUGAGUGGCCAACAUCUGCUCUUGGCAUGCUCUAAUGGCUGCCAUCUCUUGAGCAAGACUGCUCUGAGAUGCUGUGAGGGUCUCCAAUGAAUGGCACAACUCUCUGUAUUCAGAAAUGGGAAUGACCAUCCUCGGUUCAACUGAAGUGGAUGGCUGAGAUGAAGCUGGAGCAGCUGGUGGAGCUCUGGGAAUGGCAGGAGCAGCAACUGUUAUACCCUCAGGUAUGUGUCAUGGGGAUGCUCUCCUAGCAGCUGGCUGUGGCCGCUCAGGCUGGUCAACUCUAUAAGCUGUCAUGUUGUUCCAUUUGUCGAGAGUAAAUAGCUCACGACAAAUGCGUUUGUGCUCCAACUGAGGCUCAAAAGGAUACCCCAAGUGCUCCAGAAUUUGGUAUAGCAGCCUUGGAAAGAGGAGGGGAAUGGUAUCAGCCCUCUGAAGCUUCUUUUUGUGUACUUUCUCUUCGAAAUAGAGAAGGGCUGUCAGAAUUAGAUGAUGAGGCCCAAAGAAAAAUCCCUCAGACAUCUUGUACAGGGCUUCUAAGAGGACUCCUCUUCUUUGAGUCCAAUGCUGCAAUGGAUAGAGGUUAUGACGCAAAAAUGCAUCAAUCAGAAACAUGAUUGGAGGAAGCUCCCCCUCAACAGAUGUGAUCGCGUAGCAGCUCCUCUGGACAGGGUGUGCACCAUCUCUAGUUCAGUAUGACUGGUCCAAGCUUUAAAAUUAUCGAAUUGGCUUGGCUCGUAGGGAAUUUGCAAGGCUUCAGCUAUAUGGCGAGCUCCCAGCAUGCCAUGCCUCCCAUCAAUAGUGAAAUGAAUUAAAGUUGGAUCCCUGACCUGUUUGGUUGUCAUGGAUUGAUAGAAAUCCAUGGCUAUCCUGGGGUAGAAAAAGUCUCUUGGAGUCAGUAGGUGCUCCAUGUGGUAUCUCCUCAGCAAGUUGAAUGACUGUGCAAGCUCCGACUGAAAUCGGAAUGUGGCUAUGUCAAAGCAUAGCUCGGAGUGGAAUAACCGACCUCUACAAUCCAAAUUUCCCUCAAUUGGGGGCUGAGUUAGCAUUGGCCGCCUGAUUACUUCUUCCAGAGCUAUUUCAGAUGGAAUUUGGGGCUCGGGAAGUGGCGGCUGAGGCUCCUGUGGUUCUGCUUGCGGCGCCGGAGAUGGCACCGGAGGCUGAAUUGGCGAGGGAAUCGGCGAGAGAAUUGGAGUUGGAACCGGCGAGGGCUCUGGAGAUUGCUCAGUCAAGUCAAUGGGUUAUGAGCUUUCAACCCUGGGUCUCUUUUGCAGUGGCCGACCCCCUGACUUGGUAAGGUAACGCCUUGCCGGAGGCUUUGGCGGCGCGGACUUCACCGGAGGAGGAACUGCUCUUGGCUGCGAAGGCUCAGAAAUUGGCUCCUUUCGCAAGCUUUUCUUGCGGCUUGAAGGAGAGGAAGACUUGGCCCCUCUGGUUCAGGCCAUUUCGGGUUGCCGAAAUUUGGCCGGAACGGAUGAUCGGGGAAGAUGACUGGAGGCUUGCGCGGUGAGGCUCAAGGAAGGAGAUGAACAGCCUGCGAGAAUGGCGCGCUCUAUUUUGAAACCCUUUUCGCAGCUCAAAUGACCGGUAUAUAUAGUAAUAACGGAAGACUAAGGGUCAGUUUGAGUUUCGCAGAAAAAUGUCAAUUUCGCAGCAAAACGCCAUUUUCGCAGCCACUUCGCAAUGCGUUUCGCAGCUGCGAAAUGAAUGUAACUGUGCUGCGAAGUGGCACACGUGUGCCAAAAUCGCUUUCGCAAUUGCGAAAUACCCUAUGGAAUGGGACUUUUGUUGCGAAAUCUGGGCUUUACCGCUUCGCAACUGCAAAAUGGGGGCUCCUGUGCUGCGAAGUGGCACUCGUGUGCCAAACUCGCCUUUGCAGCUGCGAAAAUUCUCGCAGAGAAUCCCAAAGUGUUGCGGAAUGGUUUGGCAACAAAAUGCUCAAUUCGCAGAAUAUUUCUUUAGGUUGCGAAAUCUCGCAGAGCUCUGUUUUUGCUCUGUUUUUACUCUGUUUUUGCUCCGAUUUCGCUCCGAUUUUUUUCUUUCAAUUUCUUUGCAUUUUCUUCCACCUGGGAUCAUUCAAAAAGAUUAAAACACACAUAAAAACAUGAUUUAAGAUCAAAAACUAAGAUCAAAAGUAUGGAAAAAAACUUGGAAAUUUACAAAAUUUACAAAAAUUUUGGACUGUGGUAAAACCACGUCCACCAAAACCUUCUUUGCUUAGGCUUUUUGUGGUUCAAGGAGGUUUAUUUCCUCCUUUUCUGGUUUGAAUGGCUCCAUGAAUGGCUUGAGACAAUAUCCAUUGACUCUAAAGGUGUCUUUGCCAUUGGAAUUCAAUAAUUCCACCACUCCAUUAGCAAAUAUUCGGUGAAUAAUGAACGGGCCUAUCCACCUUGACUUGAGCUUCCCAGGAAAGAUAUGGAGUCUUGUGUCAUACAGUAAAACUCUUUGCCCUUUCUGAAAUUCCUUGUUGGAGAUUAGUUGAUCAUGCCACUUCUUCAUCCUCUGUUUUGCAACUUUGGAAUUGAUAUAAGCAUUAUUUCUUAAUUCCUCCAUCUCAUUAAGGUCUAGAUAUCUCUUUUCUCCGGCUCUGAUCAAGUCCAUGUUCAGCUUCUUUAUUGCCCACCAAGCUUUGUAUUCAACUUCCAUAGGGAGAUGACACGCUUUGCCAUAGACAAGACGAUAGGGAGACAUGCCAAGAAUAGUCUUAUAAGCUGUUCUAUAUGCCCACAAUGAAUCAUGAAGCUUAAUAGACCAAUCCUUUCUGCUGGAGUUCACUACUUUCAUCAAUAUAUUCUUUAUUUCCCUGUUAGCUAGCUCAACUUGCCCGGAAGUCUGAGGAUGAUAAGGUGUAGCCACCUUAUGCUUCACUCCAUACUUGGAUAACAGAGCUUCAAAAGGUUUGUUGCAAAAAUGAGCACCUCCAUCACUGAUUAUGGCUUUGGGCACCCCAAAUCUUGAGAAAAUGUUCUCUUUAAGAAACUUGAGAACCACCCUGUGAUCAUUUUGUUUACAGGGGAUUGCCUCAACCCAUUUAGAAACAUAAUCCACCCCCACCAAGAUGUAAGAAUUACCAAAAGACAUUGGGAAAGGUCCCAUGAAGUCAAUGCCCCAUACAUCAAAUAACUCAACUAUUAGAAUGGGGUUCAUAGGCAUUUGAUUUCUUUUUGUUAACUUUCCAAGCCGUUGGCAUCUAUCACAACUCCUACACAUGAUGUGGGCAUCUUUAAAAAGAGAUGGCCAAGUAAACCUUGAUUGCAAUACCUUCAUGGCUGUUUUCUGAGAGGCAAAGUGGCCUCCACAUGCAUUCUCAUGACAAUGAGAUAGAAUCCCUUGCUGCUCAUCUUCAGGGACACACUUCCUUAUUAUCUGAUCUGCACAAUACUUAAAAAGAAAGGGCUCUUCCCAAUAAUAAGCAUGAAUUUUGGCAAAGAAGUGUUUCCUGUCCUGUGCAUUCCACUCACUUGGAAUUUCACCAGUUACUAAAUAAUUAGUAAUAUGAGCAUACCAAGGAGUUUUCACUAGGAACAUGAGUGAUUCUUCAGGAAAAUCAUCAUUAAUAGGCAAAGGAUGGGAAUUAUGUGUUAUAACUAACCUCGAAAGGUGGUCAGCUACCACAUUCUCCACUCCUUUCUUAUCUUUGAUUUGGAGAUCGAAUUCUUGUAACAGAAGAAUCUAUCUAAUCAACCUUGCUUUUGCAUCUUGCUUUGUCAAUAAAUACUUCAAGGCUGAAUGGUCAGUGAAGACAAUGAUGAAAGACCCCACUAAAUAAGCACGAAAUUUGUCCAAAGCAAAUACCACAGCUAACAAUUCUUUCUUUGUAGUUGUGUAGUUCCUUUGAGCUUCAUUCAAUGUUUUACUUGCAUAGUAAAUCACAUAGGGCUUCCCGUCUUCUCUUUGGCCAAGCACAGCUCCUAUAGCAAAGUCACUGGCAUCACACAUCAGUUCAAAAGGUAAUUGCCAGUUAGGGGCUCUCACUAUUGGAGUUGUUGUUAAAAAUUUCUUCAAUUGAUCAAAGCUAACAACUCACAAAGAGGUUUUGAAAGACUUGAAAAACCUUUAAUAAAUCUCCUAUAGAACCCUGCAUGGCCAAGGAACUGCCUUACUCCUUUUACAGUUGUUGGGGAUGGUAAUUUGACAAUAAGCUCCACCUUUGAUUUAUCAACUUCAAUGCCUUUUUCAGAGAUGAUAUGGCCAAGGACAAUUCCUUGACGUACCAUAAAAUGACAUUUCUCCCAGUUGAGCACCAGGUCUUUUUCAAUGCAACUGUGAAGAACUGCUUCCAAAUUAACUAAGCAUUCCUCAAAUGUACCUCCAUAUACGAUGAUGUCAUCCAUGAAAACCUCCAUAAUUCGCUCCACCAUAUCACUGAAAAUACUCAACAUACAUCUUUGAAAUGUAGCAGGUGCAUUGCAUAAACCAAAAGGCAUUCUCCUGUAAGCAUAUGUUCCAAAUGGACAUGUAAAAGUGGUCUUUUCCUGAUCUGCCACAUCAAUUUCAAUCUGAAAAUACCCUGAAUACCCAUCCAAGAAGCAAUAGAACGGAUGUCCAGAGACUCUCUCCAGCACUUGGUCAAUAAAUGGCAAUGGAAAAUGAUCUUUCCUGGUUACAACAUUCAACUUUCUAUAAUCAAUACACACCCUCCAACCUGAAGUGAGGCGUGUAGUAAUUUCUUCUCCUUUUUCAUUUUGAACCACUGUGAUCCCUGACUUCUUUGGUACCACUUGAGUAGGACUCACCCAAGGGCUAUCAGAUAUAGGGUAAAUGAUUCCUGCUUGAAGUAGCUUCAGCACCUCAGCUCGCACCACCUCUUGUAGAUGAGGAUUCAAUCUUCUUUGAAGUUGACGAAUUGGCUUUACUUCCUCCUCCAUAUAUAUAUGAUGAGUAAAACUAAAGGACUAAUGCCUUUCAAGUCGGAUAUUUGCCAUCCUAUUGCCUUCUUACACCUCUUGAGAACUUCUAUUAAACAAUUCUCUUGAUGAUUGGUCAGAGAUGAAGAUAUCACAACAGGACAUUGAUUAUUUUCUUCAAGAUAUUUAUAUUUCAGCUCCACAGGUAGAGGCUUCAGAUUGAGUUUUGGAAUUUCUUUUUCAGCAGCUGCCUCUUCUUCUUUAUUGAACAAAGGUAGAAUCUCUUCUAUCUUUCUCCAACUUUGUAGAGUAGCAAGCACAGUAGGAGAUUUAGACAAACCUUCCUCAAAAUCUACAAGACUUUCGUUCAACUUGUCUUGCAUAUUUUGAUUACAGUGCUCCUCCACCAAAGUAUCAAUAAUGAAUAGCUCUUCUGGACCUUCUUCUUCUUCUGGAGUGAUUUGCUUUUUAGACAUAUAGAAAAUAUUGAGAUCCAGUGUCAUGUUGCCAAAAGUGAGUUGCAUCAGCCCAUUCCUGCAAUUGAUGAUUGCAUUUGAGGUAGCAAGAAAUGGCCUUCCAAGGAUGAUAGGAACUAAAUUAGCUUCCUUUACAGUAGGAUCUGUAUCAAGAACAAUAAAAUCUACUGGAUAGUAGAAAUUAUCCACUUGAACCAAGACAUCCUCAAUUACCCCCCUUGGAAUUUUUACUGAUCUAUCUGCUAGAGAUAGAGUGAUUGCUAUUGGCUUCAAUUCCCCAAGUCCCAAUUGCUUAUAGACGGAAUAUGGAAGCAAAUUCACACUUGCCCCCAAAUCUAACAAGGCUUUUUCCACUAUCUUUCUUCCAAUCAUGACUGAAAUGGUAGGACUUCCCAGGUCUUUGUACUUCAAAGGAGACUUACAUUGUAAGAUUGCACUUACUUGCUCAGUCAAGAAGGCUUUCUUGUUUACAGUCAACCCUCUUUUGAUAGUACAUAAGUCCUUAAGGAAUUUUGCAUACGUUGGAACUUGUUUAAUCAUAUCUAGCAGUGGAAUAUUGACUUUCACUUGUCUCAAUACUUCAAGGAUUUCAGCUGCAUUUCUAAUUUCCUUUUUCCCAUGUAAUGCUUGAGGAAAAGGUGGAGAGGUUGAUUUCUUCAGCAUUUCUUCCUUCAGAAGUUCCUUCUCUGGAAUUGCAUUCAUUGUUGAAUCAGAGUCCUUCGUUUCUUCACUAAUCUCAUUCUCUUUAUCUUCCAUUUCCUUCCAUUUCUUUAUCUCUUCCUCUUUCUCCACAUAUGGCUCGGGUGUUGGCUUCUCAAUUUUUUUACCACUCCUUAGAGUGAUCAAGGCUUUGACAUCUUUCGUCUGCGAUGAUUCUCCCUCUUGGAUUUCCACUUCAUAGACACCUUUGGGGUUCUGGUGGGGUUGAGAAGGAAAUCUUCCCUUUUCUUGCAGUGUAUUCAAAUUUGUAAGCCUUGAAAUUGAAUAUUGGAUGUUAUCAAACUUUUGGUUCAUAUCAUUUUGCAUUCCAUCCAUCCUUUUAUUCAACAUACUCUCCACUCUGUCAAUUCUUUGAUAGAUUUGAGCAUUGGUGGCUUCUUGGUUUCCAAUAAAAUCUCCCACUACCUUGCUGAGAUUAGUCAUUGCUUGUUCAAGACUUGAAGAUUGUUGAGAUGGUGGAUCCGACUGUUGGUAUUGAGUUGCUCUGGCCUUCCAUGAGAAAUUUGGAUGAUUCCUCCAACUUGAGUUGUAGGUAUUUCCAUAAGGCGCAUUGUUAUUGGGUCUGAAUUGUCCAACAACAUUUGCUUGAUCUCUAAACAUUUCCCUUUCAGCUGAAAUUGCAGGGCAUUCCUCCACCAAAUGUUCAUAUGAUUGACAAUUAGGACACAACUUCACUUGCACUGAUGCUUCAGCAACAGCUUGCACUUCAUGAAUUCUUUUCAGCUCCAGCUCCUCCAAUCUUCUUGUCAUAGCUGCCAACUUUGCUUUCAUAUCAUCAUCUUCUUUCAAGGUAUACAUCCCAGCCUUUGCAUUGAAAGCACUUAGUUGAGACUUCAUCUUACCCACUUCUCCUUUGGUUGGUUCAUCCCAUCCCCUUGAAACAUCAGCUACAUAGCUCAAGAAAUCCAUAGCUUCCUCUGGAUUUUUGCUCAUGAAAUCUCCUCCACACAUUGUCUCGAGGAGUUGCUUCAUUGAGGAGGACAUACCAUCAUAAAAAUAGCUCACCAGUAACCAAGUAUCAAAGCCAUGGUGAGGGCAAGCAUUUAUAGCUUCCAUAUAUCUUUCCCAACACUCAUAGAAUUUUUCAUUCUCUUUAGCUGAGAAGUUUGAAAUUUGCCUUUUCAAGCCAUUUGUUCUAUGAGUGGGAAAAAAUUUCUUGAGGAAUUCAACUUGUAAGUCAGUCCAAGAACGGAUACUCCUUGGCCUUAAAGAAUUAAGCCAAAUUUUGGCUUUAUCCUUUAAAGUAAAAGGAAAUACAUCAAAUCAAUUGAAGCUCCUCCCUCUUGGAAUGUAUUACAAACAUCUUCAAAUUCCUUGAUGUGUGCAUACGGAUUCUCACUUUCCAUCCCAUGGAAAGUUGGUAGAAGUGGAACAAGAUACGGUCUGAUCACUAGCUGCUCUGUAGGGGGCACUAUACAUGAUGGUGCACUCAUACGAGGUGGAUGCAUGCGGUCCCUCAUUGAUCUGAAUUCAUUGAGAUUGUCUUGAUGACCUUGGUGACUAUGCUGAUCUUCAGGUGUAGCUUCCACGAUAUUCAAGCUCAAUUCGAAUUCGUUGUUAUGAGGUGUAUCACACUUAAAAAGCCUUCCUCCAUUGUCUCGUAUCCACUUUGGCAUACACAACUAGUAUCUAUCUACAACUUAAAUGAAAAUAAAGGACAACAACAGAAACAGGGCUACAACAACAAAAUUAAAAUAGGCUAAAUUUAAAAGAUAAACUUGGAUUAUGAAUAAAUAAAGAAAGAAUGAGAAUUAGUAAAGUGAAAGAAACGUUACCAAACUUGUGAUGGAAAUCACAAGUGCUCAAAAAUGGUAUCACUAUAAAAUUGACACCUUCCUCGGCAACGGCGCCAUUUGAUUCAUGCCUAAUUGGUGUGCCAGCUGAUUCGUGUCCAGCUGGUGCUCCUUGUUUGAGGGAGUAAUCAACAAAAUUUAUAACCUAUAACACCAUAUACUAGGGUAGCAAAGAAAAAGCUACUAUAGUAUAGUGGCUCUGGGAUCGUUCACUGGGAAGGAUUAACAAGCUAUCAAUGUUACCAAUUCAAAGUGAAUUGGUCUUGUUUCAUUUCAAGGUUAGCUUAAGAAAUAAAACACAAACUUUGAUUGGUAAAGAUUUAGACUUAAACUAACUAACACAACAAGUAAUGGGAAUAACUUAGGAAGAAAAACAUUCCUUGGAGAGUUAGGUUUACUGGGGUGGUUCCUCAUGCAAAAGACAUAACUCCGGGCAGAUGGUUCAUUUCCUCGCGUUAGAGAUUCAACAUAUAGUCACUUCUCUAACCGGUUUUGUACAGAUACAUCCUUUAAUUAGAUUUCAACUUUAAUUCUCUCACUGAUGCAACUUGCAAUGGUUCAAGCCUCUCACUAAGCCUUAACCAUUCAAGGUGAUCUUUAACCUUGGACUUCCCUUCUCAAGCUCGCAAGAGAUAACUAAUGGAUGUCUCCUUGGAGUCCAAAAGCUUACCAAGUGUUGGAAAUUCCAGAAAAUCCUACCUUAAAGUCACCUCCCAGAGGCUCGCAAGGGGUAAACUAGUGCAUUUCCAUGGUUGGAAAUCACUUGCCUUACCAAGUGUUGGCCCAGGUGACUCUAAGGUGUUUUAAGUUAACUAAAAACAUAGAAAUCACUAAAGGAUUUCACUUCCUCUUCAUUACUGGCUGAAACCACAAAGUUUGCAUUCUUGCACUUGGAACCUUCCCCGGCAACCUUAGCUCCAAGGAAUUAGAGGUUUAGUUACUCAUUCUCUGGGAAAACUCCUCAGAGAGUUCAUAACUUAGUAAGAAAAUAAAAAUACAAAGUGAGAAGGUAAGGCAAUACAAAGAAUUGAACUUUACUUGCUUACCCAAAACUUUACAAAAGGAUCUCUUCUCUGAGAACAGGCUCCCGAGAGGUACUUAUAUGAGCAUAAUAUAAAACUAAUUAUUACAUAGAUAUUUUCUCUUUUUACUAACUUAAAAGCUAAGGAAUCUUGUAAUUGGUGGCUUACAAGGAGUAUUUUGGGAUUUAGACAACAAAAAUCUGAUGUAAAAUAUCUCCCAAUGUCGGUAGCAAAUAUCGGGAUGCUCCAGGAACCAUUUCGCAAGAGAAAAUGGCGUCUGCUAGAUUUCGCAGACACUCAAGAAGGGCUGCGAAAUCACUUCGCAACAAAAAGCUAUUCUCGCAGGGCUGCGAAGUUGGCUUCCACCUUGAGGUUCUCAGCUCCCAGCUUGCGGCAUAUAUCGGGCAACUUCAGAGGGAAAUACACCCUACUGUACAAAAAGGCUACGAAAUCACUUCGCAACAAAAGGGUGAUUUCGCAGCACUUUGCAAAAUGCUUCCUUCAGCUUUGAGUGAUUGGCUUCCACUAGCUGCAACUUCUUCGUUUCAACUCCGAAUUGUGUACCGUUUGAAGCAUUGGAUUGUUGACUUCUUGAGCUUUGAAAUGGUAUAUAGCAUGCAUCAAUUGGAAUCCAGAAAAUGCUCCAAAAGUGGCUGCUACGACUGUCAUCAAGAAUAUGCUUCAUGGCAGAUUCUCUUUACUUUUUCUCGCAUUCCGGAUUCACUCUUGGCAAAUGACUUCCAAGCUUUGCCCAAGAUUCCUCAUAAUUCUCCUCAAUCUUGAAUUGCUUUGGUGAUCAAAAUACUAACAAAACACCAAAACCUACACAAAGUGAUUAAAAUUGCUUUCAAGGGUCCUUAACAUGCCAAUUGAGUUAAAAGGCCAAAACUACUACUCAAAAGUGUUUAAAAGGAUUAAUUAUAGGCUAUCAAAUAGCACUUUUUGAGUAGUAAUCAGGAUUUAGCCUAUGUUUUUAUAUUCAUUAUCAUUAUUUGUGAAUUAACUCAAUCUUCUUAUGAAAGCGUUUUAUAUGCUAUCAAGGUAUGCUUCCUCUUUUCCCUAUCUCCUUGUUUCUAUUAGUGUGUAUAUUCUAUUCUCGUGAUUGAUCUAUCUUGUCUCACUACUACAAAAAUAAUUUAUGAUGUCACUAUUUAUGGUGUCGCAUUUAUAAAUAAUGACACCAUUGAGCUUAAAAUUUAUAAAGGUGACACAUCAUAUAAAAAAUCUUCAAUUAGGGUAGUUAGAUGAUGCUAAUUUCAUAUUUAUGGUGUCAUUUUUUGGAAGUGACACCAUAUGAAAUAAAAAAAUUUUAAAUUUUAUAACUCAAUGAGCCCUUUUUUAAAAUAGUGAAUAGGAAUAAUUUAUGAAAAGUCCAUUGUUUCCAUAUAUACAUUAACUAAUAUAAAAGAUCUUAUUGCUUAACCCUAACCAUUGUUUUCUUCUCCUUCUUAUCACACCCAUGGUCGGCACACCCAUAAUUGAUAUUCUUUGCUUCGUAAAAUCUCGGGUAAGUCAAAACCCUUAUCUAUCAUCUUCAUUUUUUUUUAUUAAUGCAAAAAUCUUUGUUAAUAUAAUUGUUUUAUAUCUCUUGAUUUAGUAUAUAUAUGAUGUGGGUUUUGUAAAUGGUGUUUUUAUCGAGUUCCAGGGAAGUAAAAACUAGGUUUAACAUUCUAACAUAUUUUUCGUUUCAUUGCUAAUAAGCCCCAAAACAAAUGAAAACAAGAAAAAUGAAUGAUUUUUAAAAUUUUUGUCUAAUUGAGAAUGAGAGAUACACUAGUUUGUAGUAAUUUUUCACAUGAAAUAAUAUUUUAUUGAAGACUUGACUAUAUAGUGUAUUGGUUGUAAUUUUUCACAUGUGAAAAUAUUUUAUUGAAGACUUGACUAUAUUUGAUACCUUUUUCCAUCGUGCUAGGAGCUUUAUGGUGAAGUCUAACAACAGAGAUUGACAUCUACUACAAGAUGAUGCUCAAUUAAUCCAAAAGCACUUAAGCUAUUUAGGGUUUUCUUCGGUUAACCUAAGAAAACAUUCCCACUUUCUUUGUAUUGAGUCACCUAAAUGGAAUAGAAUAUUGAGUAUCAGAGUGGUAAAGGGUAUUAUAAAUAUGACUUUUUUUUUAGAGUCACCUACAUGGAAUGAAUUAUUGGUAGGUGAACAAAAUAUUGGGAUGAUUGUAAUAGUUGAAUUAGUAAAUGGAAGAGAAGUGUAUGUUGCUUUGUUUAUUCUAUAAAAACAAUAAUUUUAGUAGUUGAAAUUUACAUGCUUUGUUGUUUUAUAAAAACAAUAAUUUUAGUAUUUGAAAUUUUAAAAUGUGAAUGAAAUGCCUGAAAAUAUGUUUUGAAAAAUAGGAUAGUAAUAAAUGGAAAAUAGCUCAUUUCCUAAAAAUAUUUUGAUAAAUUAAAAUAAUCUGUGGUUAAAAUAUAUUUUUGUGAAAGUAUUUAAAAAUGAAUCAAAAUAUUAAUAAUUGUUAUUUUGUUUGAAAGUAAUUUAGGAAUAUAAAAUAAUAUUGGGGAUAACUUUUAAGUUUAAAUUGGGUUAUAAAUGGUUAAUUUUUUUAGGACUAUCUUUUUUGAAAAUAAUCCAGUGAUAAUUUUUUAAAAUAAGAAUGUUGAAAAUAAUUUUAAAAAUAAAAUUUUGUUAGCAAUGAUUUUUCUAAAAGUAUUUUAGGCAUAAAUGGAAAUUUCUUGUAUGAAAAUAAGAGAAUUUAUAUAUAUAUAUAUAUAUAUAUAAUAGACAUAAAAAUAUGCAAAUGCGACUCGGAGGUGAACAAGACUCAACUCAAUCUGACAAAACAAUGACCGAUCGAUAUAGGUGUGGUCCCGACUCAAAUUGAACACAAACGGAUAGAAAGAUGGUCGAUCAAUAUGGGUGCGGCCCCAACUCAAACUGACACGACGAAUGACCAAUCGAUAUAGGUGCGGUCCCAACUCAAACUAAAUCGAAACUGACAAGAUGAAUGACCGAUCGAUAUAGGUGUGGUCCCAGAAACUGAACUAACAUGACAAGGAGAUGACCGAUUGAUAUAGGUGUGGCCCCAAACUCAGACUAACACGGAAAAUGACCGAUCGAUAUAGGUGCGGCCCUAAACGCAAACUGACAAGACAGUGACCGAUCGAUAUAGGUGCGGUCCCGACUCGAACUGAACAUAAACUGAUAGAAAGAUAGCCGAUCGAUAUAGGUGCGGCCCCGAAAACUCAAACUGACACGACGAAUGACCGAUUGUUAUAGGUGCGGUCCCAACUCAAACUAAAUUGAAACUGACAAGAUGAAUGACCGAUCGAUAUAGGUGCAGUCCCGACUCAAACUAAACACGAAAAGUGAUAGGAACAUGGCCAAUCGAUAUAGGUGCGGCCCCGAAACUCAAACUGACAUGAAAAUUGACCGAUCGAUAUAGGUGCGGUCCCGACUCAAACUGAACAUGAAAAGUGAUAGGAACAUGGCCGAUCGAUAUAGAUGCGGCCCCAAAACACAAACUGACAUGGAAAAUGACCGAUCGAUAUAGGUGCGGUCCCGACUCAAACCGAACACGAAAAAUGAUAGGAACAUGGCCGAUUGAUAUAGGUGCAGCCUCGAAAUGCAAACUGACAUGGAAAAUGACUGGUCGAUAUAGGUGUGGUCCCGACUCAAACUAAAUACUAAAAGUGAUAGGAACAUGGCCGAUCGAUAUAGGUGCGGCCCUGAAACGCAAACUGGCAUGGAAAAUGACCGAUCGAUAUAGGUGCGGUCUUGACUCAAACUAAACAUGAAAAGUGAUAGGAACAUGGCCAAUCGAUAUAGGUGCGGCCCCGAAAUGCAAACUGACAUGGAAAAUGACCGAUCGAUAUAGGUGCAGUCCCGACUCAAACUGAACACGAAAAGUGAUAAGAACAUGGCUGAUUGAUAUAGGUGUGACCCCGAAAUGCAAACUGUCAUGGAAAAUGACCGAUCGAUAUAGGUGCGGUCCCGACUCAAACUAAACACGAAAAGUAAUAGGAACAUGGUCGAUCGAUAUAGGUGCGGCUCCGAAACGCAAACUGACACGACGAAUGACCAAUCGAUAUAAGUGCAAUCCCAACUUGAAAAUUCAAACAGACAAGAUGAUGAAUGACCUAAUCAAAUGGCCCAAAGCCAAAGGAUAACCUAGAUAACGAUGCAAGAAAACUCGGCCAGAGGGGAUAUGCCCUAGUCUGACAACUCAUGAGGAUCAACAACUAGGUCAAAAGAUAAUGAAGCAUGUGAAAGGUCCUAUGAUCUUAGGGAAGGAGGGUAUGCCCCAGUAUGCAACUCGUGGGGGUCAACAACUAGAUCAGAAGGUGAAUGAAAGUCUACUGAAAGGUCCGAUGCUCUCAGAGAAGGGGGUAUGCCCCAGUAUGACCACUCGGAGGGGUCAACAACUAGAUCGAAAAGUGAAUGAAACCUGUGGAAGGUCCGAUGCUCUUGGAGAGGGGGUAUGCCCUAAUAUGAUGACUCGAAGGAGUCAACAACUAGAUCAGAAGGUGAAUGCAGCCUGUGGAAGGCCCGAUGCUCUUAGGGAAGGAGGAUAUGCCCUAGUAUGCAAUGAUGAACAGACAGAUAUGCAAAAUGCCUCAAAACUAUUGUACUCUGAAAUAUGCUCAUCCAUCAUGUAAUGAAAAUGUCCAAUCUCAGAUAGGUAAUGCCAAACAAGACCAUGUAUCGUGACACCAUGCUGACAAAACAAAACUAAUUAGUGAAUAACAAUAAUAAUGAUCAGUGCUCAAAAUGCAAAAAGCAAGCAAAUCAAUACUUAACAUGCCAACUGUCAAAGUGAAAACAUCGUCACUAAUAAGUCAACAAUCUAUCAGGCCCUGCCAUCAUGGAAGAUAUUGAACCUAAAGUCUGAAAGAUGUAUGAAAACAACACCAAGAUGAUUGAGGAUUGAUCUACAUCUCCUCCUAAUCAAGAGAGGGGUGAGGUCAUGUGUCACGAUGGGAUGUGUAGGAUAAAAGAAGGUGAUGAUCAAGCUCUGGUAUGAUAGAAGGCAUGAGAGUAUCUAGGGUGAAAUGUCUGAGUACGAGAUGAAAGGUAUGUAAGUAUUCGAGAUCAUCCAAGUAUGCCGAGAAGACUAGCCCAAGGCGUCAAUAUCUCCAUAAUCCAUCGAAAGCUGCAGUCACGAACAGAAAAUCAAGUGUCGAUGUCAAAACCUCCAACAAGGUGGCUAUGCCCCAAUAUGCAAUGAGGACAACAUGAAAUAAUCCAAUGAUCUCCAUAUCACUUGUUAGAUACUCCAAUGUCAAGAAUCAAUCUGAUCUCCCUCCAAAAGAUGGAUAUGCCCUAGUGUACAAGAUUCGAUAGGGUGAUUAUGCUCCAAUAAAAAAUACUCUCCAUCUCGUCUAUACCCCAGUGUAAAGUAGUGUAUCCGAACUGCUGAGGAAUACCAUGCCUAGUACGGGUCAACGAAUCAAUCAAUCUCUACUCCUGGUGCUAACAAUGGAAACAUCUCAACAUAAUCCAUAUGAAUCAAAAUCUCCGGGCUCUAUGAAUGUGAAUGAGGUGGCUAUGCCCCAGUAUAAACCAGCUGAAGUGACUAUGCUCUAAUGAAAAAUCAAAGUCCAUCACCAAUGAGAGGGAUACGCCUCAAAAUAAAUCGUCAUCUAAAAAAUCAACCAUCAAUGAGUAGAGUGUGGCCCAAUGCAAAGUAUCGAGUAGAGUGACUGUAUCUCCAAUAAAAGUGCUCUCUGAAAUGGUUGUGCCCCAGUGUAGGGUCAUCCCACAACUCCUGAUCCAUUAUAAUCCAAGUGAAAAAGUGAACUAUCUAUACCUCAGUGCAAGGCAUCAUCCCAAAAGAAAACGUCAUCAAUGAGCGGGGUAUGCCCCAGUGUAGAUAACGUCGCCUAUGAAAAUCCAUCACUAAUAAGAGGGGUAUGCCCCAAUGUAAAUCAUCAUCUCAAUUCCCCAUCCAUCACACUCUAAGAAAUAAUCUCCAACCAAACUAGAGUAUUGCCCACGUGGGAGCUGUCAAACAUAAGGUGAAGUAUUAGCCUUAGGGUGGUCUUCAAACACGGGACAUAACGUAGGCUAAGGUAAUAGGGUGAAAGAAAUGAAAAGAAACUAGGCUCAAAGAUCCCAAUGAUAUAAUCCCCAUACCCCUCGUGCAUGAGAUGCAAUGCGUAGAAAAUGUCAUGAGUCCCGGACCUAGGGGUCCCCACUUAAAAAGUGAUGAUGAAUGAAUGGUCACAUCGAAUAAGCAAGAAUAAAGUGUGGAUGUUAAACCCAUGUCAAACAUCAAACAGGAUGAGAAAAGAAAGAUAAAAGAUGAGGUAGAGUGAAACGAAGGAAUAAAAUAAAGAUAGAAGAAGGCGAAGAGAUAGAAAAAUGAGUGAUGGUCAACCUACAUCAAAGCAUGGAAAGUAGUCACAUCUAAAAUAGAUAGAAUGAUGGAUAGAGCAAGGAUUCGAAGAUACUAAAGAAAAUGUUGCUCGUCUCUCUCACAAAAAUCGAAUGAGCGACUCAUACUAUCACCCAAAACAUAUACCAAGAUAGAAUCUCAGAAAGAAGCUCUCAUAUGAACUCUCUCUAACACAUGAACUCAAUGAAGCAAACUGGCACAUCCAUACACAUGCCCAAUGAAGAAUGAUAAAAUGAACAAUGCGCUAUCCUUUUUUUUUUUUUUUUUUGCGCAUACUCUGAUCAAUAGUGAAUGAUCUCCCAUGAAAUACAUAGCCAAAUGAAUAAACUCUCCCCAUGUACUGAUGUAACAUGAAUCCUCACUAACAAGACAACCACUCAAAAUAAGAUAUCUGAACCACUGCUUAUAAGGCGAACAGAGGGGAAGAACGUGACAAUCUUCCAUGCAGUGACGUGUGAGAAACCACCACUCAAGGUGAAACAAGGAUAAUGUCGAGUAAGUAAUGAUGAAAGAAAAGACAAAGAAUGAAUAUCACAAGUGGUGAUAUGUGAUAUCGGGAAAUAGUGAUGAAAUGAUGUCCAAGUGGAAAAUAUCACAAUGAAGAGUGAGGAAUGAGACAUGAAUAUGUAUGUCAGGUCUAGAACUCAUGACGUAUCCAAUCAUAGCAUGCAAGCACUAUAGGGUCCCCAACCCAGUGUAAUAGGCAAAUGAGGUGAUGAAAGAAAAGGCUACAAUGCUCGUGUAAAGCUCAAAGGGCUAGCAACAGGUAACUCUAUAUGUGAGGGUGAUAUGGUAAACAAGCUCCUGAAAUGAUGGCCACCCAUCCUACGACCACAACCUCGAACAUCGUGCUUUCAAGAUCUCACAUGGUAAAUACUAAAGACUAGCACUCGUCCAACAUAGUCAUGGCGACUCCUCUGAAAUCGUGUGAAAGCUCUCACUGAUGCUCUAUGAUAACCAUCAAUGUCCUCUGAUAAUCAUCUCACUAUAUCAUUAUAUGCCACUCGCCAUCGUCUCGUAAAAUAACUCUCUCUGAUCAUACCAAAACACUUGAAGUCAUGUGUAACGACUCAAAUCUGGAUACUCCCUGAUGAUCCCUCUGCCUCAGCAAUAUCAUCAAGAAUUCAAACCACUCUCUCAUCGUGAUCCAUCCAUCAUCAUGCAAAGCUCACCUCAGGUCUAACCAUCUCGGACUCUACCUGGUCAGAUCAAGGAAAUGAUGGAAAGAAUAGGCAAUGGUACUAUAGUAUACAAAGACGAAUAUGAAUGGUAAGGUCGUAUAAUGGUAUCAAGGGGUGGUGUCAUGUCGAGCUCAAAAUGGGUAGUUCAUCAAGUCCACAAAGUCAGGGUAUGGAUAUGGAUAUGGUACUGCUCUGAUCAGAAAGUGAAAUGAGUCAUAGUCUUGAACUCCCUAGGUCGAUCUCCUGAUCCUAGGUCAAAAGGCUCAAUAUCAUCCAUGAUAGGUCAAGCCAGAGUGAUCAUGAUGUAUAAGUGAAAAGAUGUCUCAUAUUGAAAUCAUAACACACAUCAACACAAGAUAUGUAAAGCACACUCACGAGAAAAAUGUCACAUACUCAGAUAAAAGAUCAUAUCACUAAAUGAACCAAUGAGUACAUCAUGUGUGAAACGAAAAAGGACUACAAACGACUGGACUCUCAACAUGAAAAUAUAAACAAUGACCCUAAACCAAAACCACACUUAACAAAACAAAAACAACUCUGAUGAACCAAAAACUGGACUCGACAAAAUGGAAAUGACUCUGAUGAUGACCAUAAUAAAAAAUGAAAAGUGCUCUGAGUUGAACUGCUACCAAAUGAUGUACCCAAUGUCGACUGAUCCAAGUCCUUAACCCGGGAUGUCCCAAAAUACCAUGCGACAAUCAAUACCAUCAACAUCCAAAUCAAUCUACUGAAGACUAAGAGGAGGAGGAACUACAUGUGUAGAAUGCGUAGGCAGAGGAUUGGUGGUCACACUUGGCCCAGCCAAGUUGACCAACCCUGAAUCGAUCAAGUCCUGUAUCGCAUGCUGGAGUGCCGAACAACGCUCAGUAUCAUGUCCCUGAGUCUGAUGAUACAAGCAAUGCUCAUGGGAGCAAAAAUGUGGAGGAAUAGGAUGUGGCAAAGGGCGUGGCGCCAAAGCAACGAUCAAACCACCAUCUCUGAGCUUCUCAAAAGCUCUAGUCAAAGUCAUGCCCAAUGGGACAAACUGUCUCGCGGGCCUCUGUGCAUAUGGUCUAGGCGGUGGGUGAGUAGCGGCUCUCGGAUGUGAUGGUCGUGGUUGCAUAGUUGAGUCUUGUUGAUUUUGAGUCACCAUCUUUACGUUUUUUUUACGUUCAGAGUCAUUUCUCCUCAACUGUAUCAUUUAGGGUCACAGUUCUUGGUAUUCAUAUUCACUGGCAUUGCACAUCUAACCUUCAUGGUUUUGCACUUGUCCUCAUUCUCCUCACCUCAUUACCCUGUGCUUAUCGCUUAUUCAUCAUUGUUCUUCCAUAUUUUCCCUUCCACUACACAUGACGCAAUCCUUUGAGUUCAGGGCACAUAUUUUGGUCAUGUUGAUGGGCACCCUACGCCUAGCAUUCUCAUGUGAUACACGUAUAAGAGUCUCCUUUGGACGCAUUCUUUCUUGUAUUUCAGGGUGGUUUGACUGUUACUCAUCUUUGAUAUUGAUCCUCGAGUCACUUUUGGAGACGUCUUAGAGGGAGUUUGGGUCUUUAGUGUGGCUUUAGAGGCAUUUUGAGACAUCAUUUUCUCUUAGGAUUAGAGCCUUUUUGUCCAUCUGUUGGCCUGAGUGAAUUCAUGUCUCACUAACAUACUUUUGAGGGUCUCCUUUGUUCUUCGGUAAAGUCCACUUCAUUCCACUCAUUAUUCAUACUUUCUUUUCACUUCAGUGUUCAUAUUCCUUGUACUCAUGAGCUCUACCGAAGAUGGGUAUUUUAGGGAGCAUUCUUUACCACCUUUCCUAUUUUUGGCAACACGUGCAUGAGAGGGUGGAUAGGCAGUGUUAUUUUUUGGAGACAAUCAGCGGAUGACGUGUGGCAUGAGAAUCUUCAAGGCAUUGUGGUGGAGCGGGUCUGUUAUGCAAAAGCUGCAGGGGAGAUAUUGGGAGGGAGGAGGUUUUGCUUGAGAAGGAAGCUACCAGAGGGAAGCUGAGGGGGGUUUUGGUUAGAGAGAGAGAGGUUUUUCUGGAGAGAAACCAGAGGAGAGAGUGGCUUGAGAGAGGAAGAAAGAGUUUGAAAAGCAAGUCUGCUUAAGGAGAAGGACUGGAGAAAACAAGCUAGGUGUCUGAAAAGGGUUGGAGCAGAAAGUAAGUCGUAUCAUCUUCGCUUAAGGGCUCAGGAAUGGCCAUUAUGAGCAUUUUCACUUUGCAUAUCUUAAUUUUCCUCCCUUGACAUUGUUGAUCUUAAGCAUAAUUUGUUGGGUUUUUGUUGACCUGAAGCUCAUAUUAUACUUGCUCUACUUUGUCCUUUCUCGGGUUUCUCUGUUUUCUCUCUUAGAUGACUGAGGUAUGGUUUACUUUCUUUAAGCUUGAUGUUUGAUUAAAUACACAAAAGGUUACUGCGUGUCCCACCAGUUGGCAUCCCGUUCAUCAUUCAUGAAAUGUGGCUUUGCCUGAAUAUUCCUUAGGUUUUAUGAUUUUCAUUUUUUUUUCUUUUAAACAAAUUCAUCCUUCACACCUCUCUGCUCUCAUGAAACUAAUUGUGGAAUGCCUUGAUUUCUGUUUCGUCAUCUGAGAGAAUAUUGGAUGCUUCAGACUUGGUGUAUGAUUAUUGCUUGAAGUCACUUGGCUGGGAUAUUAGAAAUGCCCUGGCUGCCACGAAUGAAGACAUUGGUGAAUUCAAGCGUAUUGACGUUCUAUUAGACAGUGUUCACAGCGGCGGUGCUGGAGUUUUCAGGGGCGUUGCUGUUGGGAAUCCAUGUAACCAUAUAUAUCACUCAGGCUGUACUGUUCUUUGGUUGAUUCAGCACAGUUCAUGCCUUGUUUGUCGUCAGGAGUUGCCUUCAUAAGGUCAACAAAGUUUAGAUGGUGGGUCAUUAACCACUAAUCUACAGUUUUAUGAUCCGCGACACGGAGAUCCUUGCCAAGCACACCGGAAUUUGCAUGGUCCAGCUGCUGGUGCAGCACUUGCAGGCUGUAUGUAUAUAGGCAUGCUUGCUUUCAUUAGGGCAACUGGCACAAGGGACGGUGUUUCUGUGUUAGGUCAUGUAGUGUGUGAGAUUUUUCCACCUCUAGGAUCAGCUAGCAUGGUCUUGCUAAGUGCCACGUCGGGAUUGACGGCUUCCAUGGGAAAAUCUUUAAAAUGCUAUUCCAUUGUUUGUGAUGUUCUUCCUGUCAGCCUUACUAAUUACCAAUUGAUUAAUCAUUUUCUGAGGUGUAUUUGUUGGUUCGCUAGCUGAAAACGGUGAUGCAAAGGGUGAUUUAAGGCUCGCAAACGACGCCGAUAUGCUGACCAGGAUCUGUGAUAGUUGCUGAGGCAGAAGCUGCCAUGAAGCGAACUACACUCGUAGACAACACUUCAAAUAUGCCUGUGGCUGCUCGUGAGGCUUUAAUUUAUACUGGUCACUAUAAGUGAAUACUUCGGAGAUAUGGGCUACAAUGUCAGUAUGAUGGCAGAUUCAACAUCUCGCUGGGCAGAAGCAUUGCGAGCAAUAUUGUGACGGCUGGCUGAGAUGCUUGCGAAUGGCAGAUAUCCUGCUCAUUUGGCAGCGCGUUGAGCUAUCUUUCUAUGAGAGUGUUGGCAAAGACAUGAGAGUCAAAAGGUACAUUUCCCAGAAGGAAUUCAGGCUUGGAAGCACCAGCAACCAGGAUCAGGAUGAUUCUCUACUGUUUACCCUUCUAUGGGAUCUAGUUAUCAGCAAGAAGAAAAGAAAAUAUAGUGAGAAAUCAGCAGUAAAGCCGCGAUCAGGGUCAUUUGGGCCUGUGUCAUCCAUGAGUAUGGGUCGUAGUAUUAGAAGCCCAGGUUCAUGUUCAAUGUAGAAGGAUUGAAUAUCAAUUUAACACGCUACACAUCAAGAAGCAUGGGAUAGAUAACUUACUCAAUAGGCCAAUGGCGGCGUCAGUGGAGGUGGCAUGAUUGAUUGAGCAAAUCUGGCGAAGAGGAUGAGAACAGAUGUCAAUGUUAUCAUCAAAAAGCUUAACAAAGGUUCAUCAACUAUGUUCUAGAGUUUCUUCUGGCAUCAUUAAACUGGCGUGACGGCAAUUUGAGGGAAAUGCUAUAGUUCCCAUGAUGAUUUGGUAUUGAUCUAGACAUAACAUAUCAUGAUGAGGUCAUAUGGAUCUUGCUACUUCAGUUUACCCUGUUGACUGCAUCAGUGGCAUAUAUCAAGGUAAAAACCAGUUUAAUAAGUUGGAGGAAUUAAUCUGGUGUCGUUUGAAUUUUCAAAAAGCUAUAAAACAUCAAGAAUCCUUUGCAUCCAAAAUCCUUUACCUGCUUCCAAACUCCUGUGUUAAGAUGAUUACAGUGGCACCGAGCACGCCACAGGUCUGGACUCUGAGCCCUUAACUCUGAUCUUCACUGGAAACAUUAUUCCUACCCAUGCAUGACAGCAUUCUCACAGAGAAGCAAUAGAUGAGCUGGUCGAGAAGGAAACUGGUGCAGCAUAUGGAUAUUAUGAAUAUAGUAUCAAUCUUUCAAGGAAUCCUAGCUUGGGAAUUGGUAGACCUAGUGAACAAAGACAUGACAAUGGAGAUGAAACAAAUGGGCAGAGAAGGAGCAAUCAACCGAAGAAGGUGUCAAACAGAGAGAGUCCUAACCAUGCAUGAGUAUACCAAGUUCAUCAACUGAAAGUCAUCUUCCAUAUUAUCCACGCCAAUCCUUCAUGCUACCCUCUUGUUUAUUAAGUUGCCUUCCAGAUGAGAAUCCCUCAAAAGACCCUAUUUUCCUCACGUCGUAACCGAGUCCUUCACUUUCUCUCUCUAAAACCCUCGUGCUAUCUCUAAGACUCUCUCGCUAAAACUCUCCAUUCCAUGAAAUUCUAGUUUUUCAACUCCCUAGCCAUAUACUGUCUCGUCACCAGUAUCGCUCCUAAGGUUCAGAUCACUUGGCACAGCACCCAUCAGAUCGGUAGUAGGCUGAACUGGGGCAAGAACCAUACUACUAAAGACAUCGAUUCGGGGUUGAAGUUCGAGCCUUAAUGCUACAGUCAAGAAUAUUUGUGCAAGCCUUGUGAAACAGGUUGCAAAUACCAUUAAUAAUGUGGCAAGAGAUGGUACCGCCUGUGCUACAGUCCUUACCCGAGCAAUGUUUACCAAAGGGUGCAAAUCGGUAGCUGCUGGAAUGAAUGCUAAGGGAUCUCGAACAAGGAUAUCAUGGAACGCCUCUGACCUCAUCUACCAGCUUUGACAGCCACUUCCACCAGUACCUGUGAAAUAUUCUGAAGCUCUGGGCUUUGACUAUAUUGUUCUAAACAGUAGUCAUCUGUAUCUAUUUGGGGAAGAGGAUCCAUUGGAGGAAUAUCUGAGAUGGAUCAGUUCGAAUGAAUAAAGGGUUUAAAGGCGAAUGCACAAGAAGGCAGAGGACUCUCCAUUCAGCUGAAAUCUAUGAUCCUAACAGGAAUGGAUGGAACAAGAAUUGAGAGAUCCUUUAACCUGUCGGGAUGCUGAUAUAGAAGGACCCUACUUUCAUGGAGCAUUUUCCUGAAGAAAAUUCUAGAGUUGACGUCAGCUUUAAUCAAGUAUCAAAAUUCUGGAAGAAGCAAAGAUUGGGAUCAAUCUCCUCCUGUGUUGACUUGUGCAUCACAUAAUUUGUUUGACGAUUUUGAUAGAAGCUUUAAACCUGUAGGGCCCAAGCAGUUCAAGAUGGUAUCGCAUAAAGAAGAUAUUUUCUCCUUGGCCAACCAUACUUAAAUGAGAAUGAUUUGACUGAAGAUGAGCUUGCUACCUUUUUAUGGUGCUAUGGGUUCAGCUGAGUACAAUAUGAUUGAUUUUCCUGAAGGCAAUUGGCAAUGGGCUGAUUCCACUUCCAAAGUUGAUGAAUGAGGCAGUGAUCCUGCAGAAGUAGAUUUAUAUGGCAGGGAUGAUGCAGAUUGAUAUGGUCAAGAUUCAAGUGGGAGCUAGGAAAUUGAGGUUUGAAAAUAAGGAAAUGCAUGUUGAAGCAAGAGAAAGGAAUACAUUAAGGAGUAGCAUGGAACCUUUUAGGCAUGGAUCUGGGCACUAUGGUUGGAUACCUUCAGAUGUCGCUUUAGUCAGUUCUGUGCUUAGCAAAGUGGCUUCAAAAAGCUCAUGGAAUGCUGCCAACACCUUCUCUGUCCCCAUCUCCAUGGUUGUCAUUCCUCAUCUCCUUCCACUUAUGCAUGGACUGGAAGGUCACCUCUAGCAUGGCCACUUUUUGAGCCAUGUCCCCCCCCCCUCCCCCCCCUCAAAUUCUUUCCCUUUGACUUUAAAAUAAUAAUUUCUUAACCCUGUUUUCAAAUGAUUUUCCAACUUCUAUUUUUUUUUAAUGAUUUCAGGUCAUCAAAUUUUCCAUCCUUAGAGUUUUUAGGUACCAACAUCCCAUUUUUAAUAAAAUUUGGUCGCCAUUUUCCUUCUGGCGAGCCAUUUUCGAAUUUUCUUUGAUUUUCAAAAUGUUUUAAAAUAAGUGUGAAUUUAUUUUUCAUAAUUCUUGGUGAUAGAAUUUACGAAAUUGAUUCACUCAAAAAUAAAUGGGCUUUGGUGGGAGCCCCACAUACGUGAUUUUAUGACUGAUUGAUUGAUCGAUUGGUUGUUUUGAUUGCUAUAUAUGAUUGAUUCAUUAUGUUCUAUGUUAUGCACAUGAUUACUCUGAAUUUGUUCACUAACCUUUGCUUCCCAUGAAAUAAAUGAGUUCAUCACUCAGGUACGUCCUUUGCCCCUCUUGUUCAUUCAGUUAUUUUUGUUUUGAGUGACAUUCACUUGGUAUCCAUUUACGGUUAAUCAAUUGCCAUGAUUGCUUCAUUUUAUUAGUAGAGACCUGACUUUAGGGACUUAGAGGGGUGUUACGGUCUUUAUCGUACCUUCCCGAUAAGUAACUUGACUCCCGAACUCGAUCCAGUUUUUCUCAAAUCACCUUUUCCAAAAUCAAGAGUCAUUCUUAGGGCUUUCUUUCUUAUUUUGUUUACCCUUUUAAAAAAUAAAACAAAAACAAGUGGCGACUCCAAGUCAUUUUCUAAUAAAUAAAAAUCAUUUUUCAAAAUAAAAAUCGAGCUCGCCAUCGAGUGGAAAACGCAUGAGCCGAAAUGAUAAUAGUUGAAAAUAUUUUUAUAUUUUGUUACUAAAAUUUUAUUUUAUAUAAUUGAGAUGAAAUUUAAUGGACAUUGUUAUUUCCCAAAAUCAACAUUAAAAAAAUAUUGAAAUUAAAAAAAAUUCUUCCAAGAAAUAUAUAUAUAUAUAUAUAUAUAUAUAUAUAUAUAUAUAAAGAAUUAGAUUUUAAAAAUGAUUUUUAAAAGCAAAAUGAAUUAUAAAAAUAAAUAAAUUUAAAAAGUGCAAAUUUUAAGUAGAAAAUUAGUAUUUUUUUAAUUUUAGAUUUAUAUUUUGAUUUUUUAGUUUUAAUUUAUUUUUUAUUUUCUUGAAUUGUUUUUAUUUGAGUUCAAAUGUGACUACUUUGUUAUGAGAUUCAUUAAAGAAAUAAUUGUUGAUUUUACAGUUAUUGCAUUAAAAGUUUUACUCAUUUAAUGAAUUGUACAUAAUUUCAUACUUCCAAUUAUUGUGAUAUUAAUGUUAUUCUCAUUUGAUUUCAGUUUGAUGACAAAAAGAAAACAUAUUCUCAAGUAGAAUUUGAUGAAAUUAGAGAAGAAUGGAUUACUUUUGUGUUUUAACUAAUCAUGAAUCAUAUUGAUGUAUCAUGAUCAUUCAUGGUGAGUCCCUUAGUUGUUAUAUGAUUGAAUUUUCCAUUGGUAUUGUAUAACAUUACUUAUUAUUUACGAACUAUUUUUAUAUCAAAAAGAGAGAAAGAAAAAAGAAAAAAGAAAAAAGAAAACAUUAGUACUUAGAUUUGUUUAUUGUUUAUAACAUCACAUUUUUAUUUUCAAUAAAAACUCUAAAACUCAUUAAACUAUGAAAUGCAGGUAUACACUCUUGGGAGGACAGUAUGCAGAAUAAAAAGAAAGGAGAAAAAGGCAACAAGAUUUAGGUUUUUAGAUAUGACUCUUAUGCCAUACAUUAUAGGACAUAAACGUUACUUUAUUUGGAAUUGAGAAUUUUGGGUUUUUGGAUGCAACUCUUGUGUCAUUUUAUGGUUAGCCGAUUUUAUGCAUAUGAAAUGUAGGUAUACAUGAAUGUUGGGAAGCUUAACAUUUCUAAAUCAUGUUUUAAUGUGUAUUCCCUUUUCUUUUUUAGUUUUGGUGGGUUUGAUGUACUAUCAUUUUGUGAACAUUUGAUUUACAAAUAUUAUUGGAUGAUGUAAUGUGUUACAAGUUCAUUCAUAAGCAUUAUGAAAAUAUAAGUUAAAUGUAAUAUGAUUAUUAUAUUUAUGGACAAUUUACACAGGUUGGUCUUAUUUAUUAAUAAACAUUACAAAAAUCUACAAACUAAUCAACAAAAAACAACCAUAUCUUCCAUAAUCAUUUACAAUGAUGUGGCACCAUAAAUUAAAGGUGAUACAUUUAACGUGACAGCAUAACUCAAAGAUGAUGCAUUUAAUAUGACACCUUAUAUAUCUCAUAAAACUCUAUAUCAAGUUAAGCAUCACUAAAAAUAUAUGAUGUCGCUUCUGAAUGUGUCACCAUUUAUCUGCUUUGGUGUCGCUUCCAAAUACGCCACCAAUUGAUACCCUCUAUGGUGUCAGUGGAUAAGGUGAUGCUAUGAUGUAGUGACACCCUAUGUUUAUAGUGACUUAUUAUAAAUGUCACCAUAUAUCUUUUUCCUUGUAGUGUGUUACUUGAUUCCUAUGUUGUCAUGUCAUUGCUUCUUGAUUUGAGUGAAACAAAUUAUAUAUAUUACAUGAUCAUUGCUUGUGAACUAACUCUCUUGUUUAUGGAAGCGCUUAACAUGCUAUUAAGGUACAUUCUUUCCUUUCUUUGUUUAUUGAUUCUUUGAGUGUGCAUGGUUUGUUUAAGUAUUCUUGAUUAUGAUUUUAUUAUUGCUUUGAUAUUUUUUUUUAUUCUUGGUAUCCACUGAUUUAUAUAUUAAUUGUCAUAUAUAAUUACCUCAAUUUAAUUAAUAGAGACUUGUUUUAAGGCUUAGAGGGGUGCUACCUUAUGGUACCUUCCCAAUAGGUAACUUGACCCCUAGACUUGGACUCGAUUUUCAAAGUCACAUUUUUCCAAAUAAGGAGUCAUUUGUAGGGUUUUAUUUCUUAUUUUGUUUUUCCUUUAAAAAAUAAACAAAAAUAAAUGGCAACUCCAAUUUUUACAAAAAUAAGUUUUGCACUAAAAGGCGAGUGUUGCCAUUAAGUGGGAAUGUGCGUGAAAAAUGAGGGUCCACACUAUGGUAUACCAUUAGAUUGUUUUUGGUUCUACCCACUAAUAUGUGAGGAACAUCGAAGGCUACCUGCUUCCAUAAGUUUCACUAUCUUGGGCAUUUUUAUUAACAAUGUACCAGAAAUUUGUUAAUAUAUGCACAUUUAUCGAAAAAUAUAUAUGAUUUAUGACUUUAUGAAAAAAUAACACAUGUAAUACAAGUUUAUUUCGUAUGCUCAUAUUACAAACAUUCUCUAUUUCAUUUUUUAAAUAUAAAUAUAUUUGAUCUCUAUCCUUUAUUUGCGUUCAAGUUCACUCCUUUUAUUAAAUAUUUUUAGGUAUACUUGAUUUUGGGAAAAAGUGACAUGGGUAUGAAGGGUUCAAAACCCCGUUUAUUUCUUUAGCUAAGAGACUAAUUUAAAUGGAUAUUUUUUGUAUUAAUGGUUCACUUUACUACUACUUUUUGGGAGAUUUGUCAUAAUUUAAUUUGUGGAUUUUAUUAUGAAAAGAUAAAUUUCUAGUUAAAACUUUUUUGUUAGCUUAAUAACUACUUCUCAUGUCAAACUUUCGGACUACACAUGUGAAAUGAUCGUGCUGUCCUAAACUCCGGGUUUGAGUCACAUCAUUAGCUUGCAUUUCCAUGAGAAGGGUUAUGAUAAAUUAGCAAUGAUGUUUCAUGCUAACGUGCCUUCAAAUUUUAAGGUUGGUGUUUUUCUAGUUGCACUAUAUCUCUUCAACAAGAUACCUUCCACAACUUUGAACUUUGACACUCUACAUAUAAAGUUAAUAUUUCUCAAAAGGUAUAACAAACACAAAUUCACCAAGAAGACCUGCCGUUUUGUCUUCCUAGCCUAUAGCUCUCUUCAAAAGAGAUAUAAAUGCUUGCAUGCAUCCCCAAACAAAUGGAGUUUAUCAAGACAUGUUUCUACUUGCAAACACUGGCUGAAAAUUUAACAGCACUCGAGCCUUCAAGCCAAAUACAGUGUCAUAGACUGAUACAUUGCCUACUAUUGAUAUAACACCUAUCUCUAGUAAUCUGCACCCUGCUACAUUUAAACUGCUUAAUUCUUAAAAUCCAUGUAGAUGCUCUUUAAUUUAGAGCUUGGAUGUAAUAAGUCUAACAGGCUCUUCCUCUUUUGUCAUUUUCUUUAUCUCCUGUUCAAACCUUUCCAUGACUGGCGGAGGCAGGCAUAUAGGUAUAACAUUCCCUUCUUCUCCUUUGCUGUUCCUGAACCGCGCACAGAAGCUAAUAAUAGAUAUAGCCCUAGCAAGCCCACUAUAGACGGGCUUCCCCCACCCGAAGUCGAUCUCUCCAGACCCGUCACGCGUGACAUCUGCAACCAUAUAGUUCCCCGGGUGCAUAAAUGAGGGCCGGCCCUUGAUGACCAUAAGAUCUGCCACUGAUUUAACGUACUCCUGACUCAUUUCCGCCUUGGCUUUCUUCACUAACCUUACCGCAUAUUCCAAUGGAUUUUUACAUAGCAUUCCAGCCUUAGUAAUUGAAGCUGGAGUCACAACAGCAUUUCCAUAGUAUCCUGGAGGCAGUUCGAAACCGCGCUUGCCUCGCAUACUGAUUGAGCAAAUAAUGCGAACAACCUCAUCAGGGUCUACUGCAAAUGCAAUUGUGCGGCAUCUCCAUACACAUGCUGUUAGAACCUCAAAUGUCGUGCUGGCACCGAGGCUUGCAGGAAGUCGGUUCCUAAGUGCUCUUAUCUCCUUGGGGCCAAAGAAGAAUGAUCGAUGAACCAAAUUAUUUUCGUCCAUGGCCAUUAGUGUGCCCUUGGUGUUGGUUACCUCCUCGUAUUCAUGAUGUAUACAGGUUAUUCGUGGUGGAUUUCGGGCAUUUAACAGCUCUCUUUGCCAUAUGGGUAGCAGAGAUGGCACAGACAGACCUUGAGCCAUCUCGCUUAUGGCGUUGAGGAAUUGGACCAAGCCAGGAAUACCACUCAUUGUGUGGUUUAGGCGCAAUGCAAAUAUAAAUCCUCCACACCUCAAUCGGGUCACCUGCAUUGUACCAAGAUUUCUUUAUCAAUAUAUACUUUAGCAACAUCCAAUGAUUUGUCUCAUUAAACUUAAUACUUAUUACUUAAUAACUUAAAUUUAUUAAGUUAAAUUAUUUUUAAAUUGUUAACUUAAAACUUAUUAUCUAAAUAUUAGGUUAUUUGAUAAAAUUUAUUUAAAAUCAUCAAAUUGAUAUAUUUAUCCUCAUUAAUUUUUAUUAGUAUUUAUUCUAAUUGACUUUAAUUUAUAUUUGUUUUCAUUAAUUUUAAAUAAUAAAUAUAUUUAAAAAACAUUCAUAUUUAUUUUAUUAUAGAUAUAUAAAAAUAAUCAUAAAAUAUUUAUUACAAAAAGUGGUUUCAAAAAGUUAUUUUUAGUAUUUUAGAAAACUAAAUGUUUUGACUUUUUCUAUUUAGUUAAAAAAUUAAAAAAUAAGUAAUAAGUAAAAAAAAUUAAAAGCAAAUCAUCUACAAUGUGAAAGUAAAUUACAUUCCACAUUAAGUUUAAUAAAAUAAAUAAAUAAAUCAAAUACCAUCUGAGUUAAGUAUUUUAAUUUAAUACUUAAAAUUAUUUAAAUAAAAAUAACUCUAAGUUGUAAGAUUAAGUUAUUUUACCAAAUAUCAUUGAUAAUGAAGAAUAUUUACCUGAAUUAAGACAACAGGGGAACCCAGAAUUCCCCCGGAGCCAGGGACAUCAUACAGAAGCUCCUCGAAGCAGGGACACAUUGGUUGAAUUGCAUCACCAAGAUUCUCAAGUGUGGUAUCGGCAUCGGCUUCAAUGAACAAGACCCCUUCACCGGUGCAGUCCACCAUGAGUUUUCUAUUAUCCCCUUCAAUCAGCCUGCCUGCAAAUGGGUAGUAGUAUACAAGCGCCUUACCUAGAGCUUCUCUAAUGACCUUUACAGGGUCUUUUCCUUUCAUUAAAGGAUUGUUCGGGUAAAACAUUAUCACAGGAAUUUGAAAGCGAAGGCCUUCUUGAUCAUCUAUAUCAGAAAGCUGCUUCAACUCUCGUGGGGUAGGGUUUGUAGGCCGAACAAACUCUGGAUCACACCGUUUAACCGAGAAUACUAGAGGAGAUGAUGACGACGCCAUGUCCUUCCAGGCAAGGAGUUUGUUGAUGGAAUAUAGAAACAAUGAUAAGAGAAAAUUGCAGGAUUUUAUGUGAUGGUCUGCUUUGAGAAGAAGGUAGCUGAUAUUUGUAGUGUACGACAAUAAUGUGUUUCACGUGUAUUUUUGCUCAACCUACGACACGGUUUAGAUAAGGGGUAGAAUUUUAAUCGUGUUUCACGUGUAUUUUUCUCUCCAGGCCCCUGGAAGCUACAACACCGUCUAGAUAAGAAAUAAUUGGUUAGAAGGGACGAAAUACUCCUCAUAUUUGAGAAUUUAUCCCCUCUUAUGUUUUUGUUCAAAGAGUAAUCUAUUUUUGACAUAAAUGCCCUUAACCAUUUCAAGUAUUUACAUUUAAAAGAAAGGGUUAUUUUCACAAGAAAAAAUAAGGAUAUUUUUAUGAAAAUGAGAUCAAAAAAUGAUAAAGGGUUAGAUUUUCAAAAUUGGGUUCCCAAUGACCCCUUUAAUCAAACAACUCUUUAGAUAAUAGGUAGAAUUUUGGGUGUAUGAUCUUUCGUUAAACGAAGUUCUGAUACCAUAUUAAAAUAUUAAUUUUCUAAAAAAUUUAAGCUUAUAGAGUUGAGUUCACAAUAUAUAUCAUGCUCUUUUGGUACCUUUUAAACAUGUUUUAAAUCUUUUGUUCAAAAUAAUCUUUUUCUCUUUUUUCUAUUCAAAAUUUACGGUCUCAAAUGUAGUUUAUGGCAUUUUCAAAAUUUAUGGUCUCUUUUGGUUAAUUUGAACAAGAUUAUGAAAUUAUGGUUUUUUUUUUUUCUGAUAAAAUGAAAAAAAAAAAAAAAAACUCAAAUGAGCUAUAAGAAAAUGACCAUUUUGACUCAAAAUUCCACGUGGAAAGUAUUUCAUUUACUUAUCUCGGACCACAGGAUAAGGUGGCUGCGUGUGAAACUAUGUGGUCUGUAUUCGAUGAUGUUUGAUAUCAUGGUGUAGGACUUGUCAGCGAUCCGCACCAAGAUAUCAACCAUACACCUGCCAUGCAUUAAUUGAUUAAGAAGGUUUCCCAUUCAAAAACCACAAAAAAUAGAGCGGUUGUUGAUGUUGAGUUAUCAUUUGACAAAACGUGUAUAGCCUGAAUCGCCUUACUUUCUUAAAAGAACAUGUGAAACAUUCACUUGCAGCACGACCAAACGUGUACUAGUUGUAUGCUGUGGCCUGAAUUACCUUACUUUCUUAAAAGAACAUGUGAAACAUUCACUUGCAGCAUAGUAGUGUAAAGCACGACCAAACGUGUACUAGUUGUAUGCUGUGGCCUGAAUUACCUUACUUUCUUAAAAGAACAUGUGAAACACAACAAAAAUUAUUAUUUUUUUUAUCAAUUUUUUUUCUUUUGUUUUUCUUUCCUCUACAUUCUUUUAAGAACCAAACGUAAAAUCAAUUAAUUAUACAUAUAUAUACACACACAAACAGACUCAUUGCAAGAGGAUAGAUCAUCUCAAGCCUCUUUAAUUAUUAUAGAAUAUAUGUAUCAUGCCAAAGACCCCUCUAAGGGCGUGACUAUCAUUUCAAACCUCAAGCUCGAAAACUCAAAGGGCAAAUGACUCAAACAAUUAUCUUGUAACUAGAAGAUCACUAAUUACUAAAUUCUUACUCAGAGUAGUAAAAUAUACUAUAAUUCUCAAAAUUUAAGUCCUAACAACUUCAAACUGAAAUGGUUCAAACAGCAAUUAAUUUCUAACAUUUAAACACUGUUCAAAAAUAAAGUUUAAACCAAAGCCCUAAUAGAGACAAAUUCCUGGCCUAACUAUCACUCCUUGCUUGAAUUGAAAGUAAUUGAAAAAAAUAAUCAGUGGAAGAGAAUGAGUUCAAACCCAAUAAGAAAUAUUAAUAUAGUUUCAUGGUUAAAACAUUUUCAACUAUGAUUACAAAUAGGAGGUAUAAUGUACAAUUUUUUAUUUUUUUAUUUUUAUAAAAACUUUGAAUUCAAACAUGCUAAAGCAUCCAAAACUUUUCAACCAAACAUUUUCAUAUUUAUGUAAAUAACAAUUUCAUAUUAAAUCUAAAUGAAAUGCAUUCAAAAUAUUUUUACUCUAAUUAUCAAAUAACAAAUGUUGCUUGAUUAGGUGAGACUUUGUUGCCCAAUUAGGUGAAACUUUACAAAUUGGAGGCUAUCCUUAAAUUUGUUCUUUUUAAGGUGGAUGGAACCAAAUAUUACUAAUGCUAAUAACCUCUAACCUAAUCCCUAGAGGAUGUGGUUUAAAACAAAUACAUUCCCUACCAAGAAAUAUAAAGGUCGAAUAAUUAUAACCUGUUGAUUAAGGCCAAAAAGGUCAAUAAUUAUAACCCAUUGAUUAUGGCAAAAAAUGUCAACAAUAUAACCCGUUGACUAGAACCAAAUAAACCAAAGUCAAACACCUUGUUUCAUUUAUUAAAACUUACAAAAACAUUAUAUCUUCAUUUUUUUAUUAUAAACAAAAGAAAAUGUUCUUACAUAUUUUUCAUGCAAAAUAUAAUUCAUCCAUGCGUAGAAACAAAAAAUAAUAUUUUACAUAAUUCAAAAUAAAAGAUAAAAAGAAAUUAUUUUCUCUUAGAAAAUCUAUAUUAAUUUCUCCUACCUCAAAAAGCACUCAAAACCCUUAAAAAAAAUUAUUAUUGAAGAAUCUAAUUUUCACCUAAAAAUAAUAUAAGAAAUAACAACUAUUACUACUACCUAUUUAUCUGAAAUUAUAAGUUUGACAAUCUAAAUAAUUUUCUAUGUUAAUAUUAUUACCACUAUUUUUAUUUUCAACUUCUGAAUCAAUAAUAAUUUAAUAAAUGAGUUUCCAAAAUUUCAUAAAAGUUGCUUCAUUUCCAAAAUCCAUUCCCAAGAGUACAUAUAUAAUAUAUAUGUAUAUAUAUCUUCUUUAUUUUUUUGUCCUUCUCAUAUUUUUUUUCUUUUCUUUUCCCAUCUCCUAGUUUCCACAUAGAACUCCCCAUCUCUUCAAUCUUUACACACAACACUACAGAUACCACACUUUCUCUACGUAUCAAAUGCACCAUUUUUUUUUUCUUUCCACUAAACAAAGGAUAUCCCUCUUUAGACCUAGAUUAUGUUUUGGAUUCUUAAUUAGAAAUAAUACAAUAUCUGCAGGGAAUUAUGGUAUCUUUAAGGUGACACAAAAUUUUCGGAAUGCAUAAACUAGGGCAUGCAUCCCAUUGGCGGAUGGUUGAAUUCAACUUCAUCUUGUUUCUGACAUCCUCGUUGGUAAUAUUUAACAGCUCUUCCGUCAUGGUUUUGGAGGUACAAGUACAAAGUUUUUGAAGAUGCAAAUUGGGAUUAGUGCCACACUUUGAGAUGUUUCCUAAGCAAUCCUUGAGAACACUUAUAGAACUCACUAUAUUUGAAGUUGUUAAAUCAACCUUCCUGAACCAAGUUAGCAAUGCUACAUGACACAAAAACUAAAAAUAAUUAAAGAAGGAACACUAGUCCCUUUCACAAUUGUUUCGUUUCUGUUAUUCGAAACAAAAAAAUAGGAAAACACGUUUGACAAUCAGAAAAUUGUUUUAUAUUUUUUGUUCUUAAUAAUAGAAAAUAGGGUGUUUUCAGAUAACAUAUUUUAAUUAUUUUAAGUUGUUUUUAUGUACUUUUUAAUUACUAUUUUAAAAAAUAAUUAUACAAAUUAUGAUUAAAAAUAAAACAUUAGAUUUAGAAAUUAUUUUUAAAACAUAUUUAAAAAAUAUUGAAAACAUGUUAAAAAUAUUUCAAGUUUCUAAAUAAAAUUUUGUUCUAUAAAAUAUUAGAGAACAAUUUUCAAAAACUGUUCUCAAAAAUUGCUUUUCAGAAUUGUCCUUGAUUUUAGCACUAAAUACACUCCCCAUGUUAGAAGAAUAUGCUUAACAUUUCACAAAUUACAACACCUAGGGCUAAAAAAAUUUAUAAUCUUAAAACUUUUUCAACAACAAUGCAAUAGAUUCCAUCUUUCCUAUUCUCUUGACAACCAAACAAAGCCUAAGACUCCUUUUUUUCUUCACUUUAAAAAAGCAAAAUAACUAAUAAAUAAAUAACAUUUUCAAUUGAAGAAAAAAAUAAAAUCACGUAAUAUUAGAGAGAACAGGAAUAAAUUGUGAGUACAAUCAACAACACAAAAUCUUGAAGGAAUUGGCCAAAUUGGAUGACAUAUUUCUCGAAAACAAUGCAUGAAACAAUUUUUAGGCCCAUACAGAAGAAAAUUUCAGCAACAUAGAACUUGAUCCUUCCUAGAAUGAAUAUUUACAAUAUUUGUCUGUUGUAAACUGUAGACAUAAUGCAAUUCACUCACAAUAUGAGAAUGAGCCUUAUUCAAUUCAAAAAAAGCUAUGGGCUUAUAUAAGCCUUAUAAAAGAGAUUAAAGAGGAAACAAACAGCCCAUGUAAGAACGUGGUAAAUGGCUAAGGAAAUAGUCAAAUCCUACCAACAUGUCCCAAGAAAUAGGAACUAUUAACAGAAUGAAAUUCUAACAACUUUGACUACUUUAACUGAACAUCCCAACAAUUCCUCCCCUAAACUGAUUGCAAUAAUGCAUUCAGUUGUUAAAGUUGACUACUUUAACAACUUUCACGUGUAUUUUUGCUCAACCUACGACACGGUUUAGAUAAGGGGUAGAAUUUUAAUCGUGUUUCACGUGUAUUUUUCUCUCCAGCCUCUGGAAGCUACAACAGCGUCUAGAUAAAAAAUAAUUGGUUAGAAGGAACGAAAUACUCCUCAUAUUUGUGAAUUUAUCACCUCCUAUGUUUUUUUCAAAGAGUAAUCUAUUUUUGACAUAAAUGCCUUUAACCAUUUCAAGUAUUUACAUUUAAAAGAAAGGGUUAUUUUUACAAGAAAAAAUAAGGAUAUUUUUACCAAAAUAAGAUCAAAAAAUGAUAAAGGGUUAGAUUUUCAAAAUUGGGUUCCCAAUGACCCCUUUAAUCAAACAACUCUUUAGAUAAUAGGUAGAAUUUUGGGUGUAUGAUCUUUCAUUAAACGAAGUUCUGAUACCAUGUUAAAAUAUUAAUUUUCUAAAAAAUUUAAGCUUAUAAAAUUGAGUUCACAAUAUAUAUCAUGCUCUUUUGGUACCUUUUAAACAUGUUUUAAAUCUUUUGUUCAAAAUAAUCUUUUUCUCUUUUUUCUAUUCAAAAUUUACAGUCUCAAAUGUAGUUUCAUUACAAUUCUAAAACCACAUCACAUUUUCAAAAUUUACGGUCUCUUUUGGUUAAUUUGAACAAGAUUAUGAAACUGAAAAGGAUUAGUUUGAACAACAAUUUGAAAAAAAAAAAAAAAAAAAACUCAAAUGAGCUAUGAGAAAAUGACCAUUUUGACUCAAAAUUCACGUGGAAAGUAUUUCAUUUACAUAUCUCGGACCACAGGAUAAGGUGGCUGCGUGUGAAAGUAUGUGGUCUGUAUUCGAUGAUGUUUGAUAUCAUGGUGUAGGACUUGUCAGCGAUCCGCACCAAGAUAUCAACCAUACACCUGCCAUGCAUUAAUUGAUUAAGAAGGGUUCUCAUUCAAAAACCACAAAAAAUAGAGCGGUUGUUGAUGUUGAGUUAUCAUUUGACUUAAGUUGGAUUAAACUAAUGGGGGGUAAAUAAAUAGAGAAGUGUAAACUUGAGAUCAAAGUUUGGAUUCUAAUUAACAAUUUAACUUAAAAAGUAAUGGACGUAUGAUUUGACUUUUUAAUCACAUAUCUCAAAAGUAUAAAGGUAGUGUUUAUUUUUGACUAAAUAAAAAAAAUCAAAAUAUUGACUUUUUUUUUUAUUAAACUAAAAGUAAUCUAUUGAUAUUAAUCAAUAUAACUAAACUAAACUUAUUGAUAACAAGUUCACUUUAAUUAUUUUGGCUAAUAUAAUUCACUUUAAUUAUGCGGAUUAAUAUGAACAUAUUACUUUUAACAAAAUAGAAAAAAUAAUAUAUUUUUACUUUUUUUAUUCAAUAAAAAAAUAAACACUAUCAAUUUCACAACCAAUAAUUGAAAAUAAACAACUUAUGCCUUAUUUGGUAACUAUUUUUUAAAACGGUUAUUAAAAAAUAGUUUUUAAGAAUAGUUUUUGAAAACUGUUCUCUAAUGUUUUGUAGAAGAACCUAAAAUUGUUUUAAACCUGUUUUUAAUAUUUUAAAUACGUUUUAAAAAUAAUUUUUAUGUCCAUAUCUUUAUUUUUAAUCAUUAUAUAUGUUUAUAUAAUUAUUCUUUAAAAUAACUCUCGAAAAACAACUGAAAAAACUAAAAGAUGUUAUCUAAAAACACCCUAUUUUUUGUUUUUUUGAUAAUAGAAAACAAAAAGAAAAUAGAAAAUAGUUUAUGAUUGUCAAACAUGUUUUUCGGUUUUUUUGUUCUAAAAAAGAAAAAACUGCUCUUGAAAACAGUUGUCAAAUAGAGCCUUAAAGUCUUAAAGCAAAUUGUUUUCAACAAAAAACUAAAAAAACAAACAUCCUCCAACCUUUUUUUUUUUUUUCACUAAUGAACCAAUAGAUUUUUAAAAAGGAAGAAAAAUAAAUGAUGAAUAAUUUUAUCAUUUUUCUCAAUUAUUUAUCACUUUUUAUGUAAUUGUUUGUUUGUUUUCGGUUCUAGUACUCCAAUAAACAAUAACAAGUGAAAAAAAAAAAAAGGCAAGGAAAGUUGAUAGAAUUUUUUUUUUUUUUUUUUUUUUAGGUUUCUAGGAAAAAGUUGAUAAAUAUAAAAAUUAAAUCUUUUAGAAUGCCCUUUCCCCAAACAUUCAUCACCUUUUUUAUAAGAAAAAUGGGAAAGGAAAUCGGUUAACAUUUUCUUCUUUUCUUACAUAUUUUCCAUCUUUGGUUCCUUAAAAGAAUAAAUAAUAUAUAAUAAAUGAAAAAGAUGAGAAAAAUUUAUAAAGUUUUUCAUUUUUUUUUUGUUAUUUAAGGAAAAGUUGAGAGAGAAACUAUUUACUCUCACGUUCAAUAGUUCUGCAAACUUUUCUCACUUUUUUUUAUUGGAAAAUGAGGAUAAUAUUUUAAAUCUGUUUGAUAACUGAUAUUUAUAGUCUAAUGGUGCACUCCAAUAAUGUGGCACAAUAUAUGUCAUGCUCAUUUGAUGGAAUAUAAUUUAUUUAUUUUUUUAAUAAUUUGAGAAAAGGGAUUCCUUUGAACAAUAAUUUGAAAAGAAGAGUAAAACGAGCUAUGAGAAAAUGACCGUUUUGACUCAAAAUUCCAUUCCACGUAGAAAGUAUUUGAUUCACAUAUCUCUGACCACAGGAUAAGGUGGUUGCGCGUGGAAGAUAUCAACCAUGCACCACCUGCCAUGCAUUAAUUGAUUAAGAGGGGUUCCACUUCAAAAACCACAUAGAGCGGUUGUGGAUGUUAAGUUGUCAUUUGACUUAAAUUAGAUUAAACUAAUGGAGGACAAAGAAAUAGAGAAGUGUAACUUGAGAUCAAAGUUUGGAUUCUAGUUAACAAUUUAUAUAAAACAUAUUAUAAUAAUGUUUGUUUUAUAUAAAUGUAUUUUAAGGGCUAUUAAUUAUUUAUAUAACUCUUAACAAAUAUUCAUUAUAAAAAUAGUUAGGGAAGAUUUAGGAAUUAUUUAGAAAAUAUUUUGAGGUGAUCACGUUUGAAAAAGUAAAAGAAAAAAAAAAGGUAAUGGGGUGUCCAGGCUUGAAAGUCUGAAUGCUUUUAAUGAUGUUCAAAACUAUAAAGUCGAAUGGAUAUUCGAAGGUAUAAUUUCAUAUAUUUUAAAAGCCAUCCAACCCUACAUAUAUUUUUAUUCAUUUUCCAUUUUCAAGUGCUAAAAAAUAAAUAUAAUAAUUGAUAAAAGUAUCUAUAAUUUUAUAAAUUUUACAUACUUUUAAAACAUGUGAUAUUAUACCUUUAGAUAUCCUUAAAAGUGUUCGACUUUGUAAUAUAUAUAUAUAUAUAUAUAUAUAUAAAUUCUUCCAUUUUCCAGUGCUAAAAAAUGAAAAAAAAAAUUAUAAAGAUGGUAAAUAUGCACUUUUAACAUCAUCAAAUAUUAUUUAUUACAAAUGUUUUAAAAUAUUUAUUAGGAUUACUAAGAGAUUGAAAAGAAAAAAUGGGAGAAGAAAAACAAGAAGAUGAGUAUGCAUUAAUUUGAAAUGGGGUGUUUAGUCUUUCACUAAUGGAUCCUUGUAUUUAAAAAAAAAAAAAAAAGUGAUACUUAAAGAAAUUAGUGGAUACAAAUAUAAAUCAAAAAGAAAAAAAAAAUCCCAAGAUUCUAAAAUGUCAAAAUCACCUUUAUGCUCAUUUUGUUCAAAAGUCUAUAAAGUCAUCUAAUUAUCUAAUUUCCCAAUACCCCCUCCAAGGGCGUGACUAUCAUUUCAAACCUCAAGUCCUAAGACUUAAAAGUGCAAAUGACUCAAACAAUUAUCUUGUAACUAGAAGAUCACUAAUUACCAAAUCUUAUUUAGAGUAGUAAAAUAUACUAUAAUCCUCAAAAUUUAACUUCAGAAAAGCUAACACAUCAACUACUUUGCUAUUGUCCUAACAACUUCAAACCCAAAUGAUUCAAACAUAAUUAAUUUUUAACAUUUAAACAAUGUCCAAAAAUAAAGUUUAAACCAAAGCCCUAAUAAAGACAAAUUCUUAGCCUAACUAUUAGUCUUCGCUUGAACUGAGAGUAUCUGAAAAAAAGAGAACGAGUCCAAAUCUAAUAAAAAAUAUUAAUAUUGUUUCAUGGAUCGAACAUUUUCAAUUAUGAUUAUAAAUAAGAGAUAUAAUGUACAAUUUUUUUUUUCAUAAAAACUUUGAAUUCAAACAUGUUAAAACAUCCAAAACUUUUCAACCAAAUAUUUUCAUAUGUAUAUCAAUAACAAUUUCAUAUCAAAUCUAAAUGAAAUGCAUUCAAAAUAUUUUUACUUUGAUUAUCAAAUAACAAAUAGUGUCUAAUUAGGUGGGAUUUUGUUGCCCAAAUAAGCAAAACUUUACAAAUGGGAGGUUACCCUCAAAUUUGUUCUUUUUAAAGUGGAUGGAACCCAAAUACUAUUAGUAUUAGUAACCUUUAACCAAACCCCUAGAGGCUGACAUUUAAAACAAUUACAUUUCCACUAAGAAAUGUAAAAGUCAAACAAUUAUAACCCAUUUAUUAGGGUAAAAAAAGUCAACAAUUAUAACCCAUUAAUUAGGACAUAAAAUGUCAACAAUAUAACCCAUUGACUAGGGCUAAAUAAACCAAAGUCAAACACUUUCUUUUAUUUAUUGAAACUUACAAAAACAUAAUGUUUUCAUUUUUUUUAUUAUAAACAAAAGAAAAUGUUCUUAUAUAUUUUUCAUGCAAAAUAUAUUUGACCCAUGCAUAGAAACAAAAAUAUCAUUUUAUAUAAUUCAAAAUAACAUAUAAAAAGAAAUUAUUUUCUUUUAAAAAAUUUGUAUUAAUUUCUCCUAUCUCAAAAAGCACUCAAAACUCUUAAGGAAUUUAUUGUUGAAGAAUCUAAUUCUCACCUAAAAAUAACAUAAGAAAUAACAACUAAGGUUUAUUACACUUUAUCCCCCAACCUAUAACGUGUUUUGCACAUUGCUCCUUUGAGUUCAAAAUUGAGUAAUAUACCCGUCAUCCUUUAUAAUUGCAUACAAUGUGCAUUUUUUAAGAGACGACGUUAUUAUUAUUAUUAUUAUUAUUGAUAGAAAGGCAUGUGCUCUCCACGUGAUUGAGUGCAAAAAUGUAGUUUUCUUUUUAAGUGAGGGUAAAAGGGUCAUUGUCAUUUUAAAACCCUAAACUCCAAUCCCUCUUCUUCCCUGUCGAUCAUUUUUCCCCGUUGCUGCUGUUGAAUCCCCAACCCAAAGCCCUAGAAUCCUAAGGAAGCUAAUGUAGGCUUUUCUUUCUCCAUUGUAUUCACCUCUCUCAUCUCUUUGCUUUAUUCGAUUUGUGGAAUUUUCUUGAUUGAAGGUCAUGACGGUGUGGAUUGAUGUUAUUUUAUUUUAUUUUAUUUUAUUGAAUUGCUUGUUUUGGAUGUGAGUGUGUUAAUUGAUUGGGGAAUUCACCAGCUUUCAAAAGAGUUGAGAUUGGAUUAUCUGCAUGUUGUUGGUUUGAAUUGUUUUUUGUUUUGGAUUGGGUUUUGAUAAUGUUAUGUUUGGUUGUGAAGACAAAAGUGAGGUUAUAAGAGGGAAAGAGAAUUUUGUGAAUUUAGGUUAGGUUUUGAAUUUUUUAUGCUCAACUUAGUUGAAUGAUUGUGCGAAUUUUUGUUUGAGUUUGUUGCUAUGUUUUUUCUCUGGAAAAUGGCAAGAGUAAAUCCUAUAGGAUUUCAAAAUUGAUUUUUUUUUCAUUUCUUUUGGUAAAUUUCAAUUCGGAUGAAUUGAUGUUGAAUUUAGAUAUAUAGGAUUAGAACUUGGGUGAGUUUUCAAAUUAUUUUUAUUGAAUUCAAAUUUUGUUGAAUUGAAGAAACAAAGUUCUCAUGGGGAUGACACUUUGCAUACAUCUCGAGUUGUUAUGACUUCAAAUGAAUUUCAUGCCUGAUUGAACAAGCUACUGAACUCUCAUUUGAAAAACCCUACUUUAACACCUAAGGAGACUGCAAAAGCAUCAAGAUCAACUGCCAAAGUGUAGUUAACGUGGUUGGGGUUGCUACUAAGGAGAAGACUACAAUUAUAUAAAGAAAAUGAUCCUUUUGCCCUCGAUCACGUGAAGAGCACAUGUGCCUUCCGUAAAAAAAUGUAACACCGUCAUUAAAAAAUGUACAUUGCAUGUAAUUAUAAAGCAUGAGGGGUACAUUACUCGAUUUUAAACUUAAGGGGGAAAUAUGCAAAACACUCUAUAGGUUGGGGGAGGGGGGGGGGGGGGAAAAGGUAAAAAAACCCAAAAACCAUUACUAUUAAUUAUUUUUUUAAAAAUUUCGGGUUUAAAAACCCAAAAAAUUUCCAUGUUAAAAUUAUUUUCCCCCAAAUUUUUUUUUCACCUCCUAUAAAAAAAAACUUUUUUAAUUUUGAUUUAAAAAAAAAAACCAAAAAUAGAAAAUUUUUUUUUAACAUAUUUUAAAAAAAAUUAAAAAAAUGUUAAAAAAAUUUUAAGGUUCCCAAAAAAAUUUUUUUUCUUUAAAAAAAAUUUAAAAAAAAUUUNNNNNNNNNNNNNNNNNNNNNNNNNNNNNNNNNNNNNNNNNNNNNNNNNNNNNNNNNNNNNNNNNNNNNNNNNNNNNNNNNNNNNNNNNNNNNNNNNNNNUAACAACUAUUACUAUUAGUUAUUUAUCUAAAAUUAUCGGUUUGACAAUCCUAAUAAUUUCCUAUGUUAAUAUUAUUAUCACCAAAUUUUAUUUUCGACUUCUAAUAAAAAAUAACUAUAUAAAUUAUGAUUAAAAAUAAAACACUAAAUAUAGAAAUUAUUUUUUAAACAUAUUUAAAAAAAUAUUAAAAAUAUGUUAAAAAUAUUUUAGGCUUCCAAACAAACUUUUAUUCUGUAAAAAAAAUUAUAGAACAAUUUUCAUAAACUAUUCUCAAAAAUUGUUUUUCAAAACUGUUCUUGAAAACAAUUAUCCUAUUAUAAGCUCUUAAAAGCUCUCAAGUUCUUUGAUUGAUAUCAUAUAUGGAUGAAAACAAAAAUCACAUCUUAUAUUCGAUUUUAACAUUAAAUGCACUCCCCAACUAGCUAACUAUAUGCUACAUCACAUAUGCCACAUAUGCCUAGCUUUCUUAGAUUUCCCCUUUAUUCCUUAAUGUUUCCAGCUAUUUCAAUGAGUAAGGAUGGUCAUGAAAACCAUUGAGACUUCCAAGAUGCACUUCAAAAAAAAUUUAACCAAAAGAAAAAACUUGUCAAUCAAGAAAAGAAAAAGAAAAUAGUCCAGUGAAAAUACAUAAAGUCAUUUUUUUUUUCCAAAUUCAAGGAACCAAACCUAAAAGAAACUACAAAAUAUCAAACCAAAAUUGAAGAAGUUGUAAAUCAAGAUAACCUUUUAAAAAUCAAUUAGUAUAUAUUGAUUAUAUUAUAGUACUUAAUGACUUUAUUAUUGUCAAAAAAUUAACUUAAAGCAUAUCCAACAAUCUCUCAAUUUAAAUUAACAAAAUCAAUCAAAACAAAUAGCAAAAGUAGGCAUCUGGGAAAGUCAUGCAUAUGAGUGAAGGUCUCUUCAAGAUUUAAACCUCCACUUAGUAUAAACAAAUCAAAUUUGUCAAGGAACUUAUUAGGUAAAUCAGAUAUGUCACACACAUGCCUUCUAGAGGUUAUCGGUCCUUUAAAGCUAACACCUUUGAAGUCUAUGAUUAAUCCCAUUUUAAUGAGUGAUCUAAAGAGGAUCUAUAGUCUCCUGCAACAUGACUAGUUUCAAUGCUCAAAACGGUAAAGCCAAUGAAGAGUGUAGCAUGUUUCACUCCUACCAUAAGUAUAUAGAUUGAUGAAAAUGUAAUAAUCCUCAUCUUCACAAAUAAUAUGACUUAUUUGCAAGAAGUCAACCAUUGGAUUAACACUAAUUUAUCAUAGGAAGGGAUAUUCAUAUAUAAUAUGAAUGCAUUACAUCACAACUAUUUCUUUGCCUCUUUUUUCAUUGAACAUGAGAAAUCUCAUCAAAUUGAGUUCCCAUUGACCAUAACUUAACUAUAGAUUUUCAAUCUCAUUCCCCUUGAUGAAAUUCUCUCUGGACUUGACAUAUUGUGUAGCCAUGAUCCCAUGAAGCCUUACAUGAUUAUGUCUCACAUAAACAAGUCUAAAAUUCCCAUUAUCGAUCUCAUUAUAUGACUUAAGCAUUGUAACAAGAUUAUCACUACAAAUAGUGAUUGAUUACAUUGGCUUAUUUCAUAUAGACGUGUCUACCAAUAUAUUCCUUAGCCGCUUACCUACCUUUCUCACAAAUGAGAGGGGAAUGAAUUCAUUUCAUUGUGUAAUGAGAUAAACAUGCUAAGGCUAAGGUUGGGUUAGGUUAAGAACAAGGUUAUUUUUCAUAUGUUUAUUUUUGCCUUGAUUUUAGAUAGAGAGGUCCUUAUGUUUUUUUGUGAGUUUGAUGUAAAUUUUUACGUUUGUUCUAUUUCACCAUAGUUUUAAAUAUCAAUUACCUUGUUAGAUUUCAAUUUUUUAUUUUAUUUAUUUAUUUUUGGCUUCUCUUUCAUAUGGGCCCCAUCUUUAUUGUUAUUUCCAUGAUUUUAAUUUCAUUCUUUGUUUCUAUUCCACUUGGUGUUGGCAUCUUGUUGUCUGAGGUUUCUAUAAGAAUUUUUAAAUUUCCAUAGUAGAGUACAACACUCAUCCUUUGCAUCGUUUUUAUCAUACUUCUAUAAGAUAAGAGGAGAAUGAUUGAUCAUUUUCAAGAAAAGGUUUUAUUUUAAGUCUUUGCACUACUUACGCUAUCUCUCCUUAUUCAUGCAUCUAGAAUUUAAUACAUUAAUGACACUUCAUUUUUAUUUCACAAAAUGUGUAUGGGAAAAAAUAGAAAAUAAGAAAACAUACUUAGCAAGCUUGAAGAACAAUCAAGGUAGAUUGCCUUAGUGAAACAAAACUCAUGUGAGAAGAAAAUAGAGUUCUCAAUAUAAUGCCCACUAGGAAGGUGGCCCAAUUCUCUACCAACUAGUGUUAAGGUUGAAUAUGUGAAAGUGGAACAAGUUGUGAUGUUUACUAAAGGUUAAAGAUAAGUGGGUUUUGUAUUAAGAUAGAUACUAUAAUAUCUAUUUAUAUUAAUUCAGUUUUCCUAUUUUAGUUAAUUAUAUUGUAAAAAUCUACAAACACAAAUACAUGUAGACUACUGGGAACAUAAAUAAUUAUGAUAAGUUAAAUUGAAUAAUAAUUAAGUUUCCAAAAUUCUCCAUUGUACAUACAAACACAACUAUUUAGUGAACCAUAUGUUAUUAUUUUCAUAGUUUAUGUAAUUGGACAUAGGUUGACCAUUGUUUAUCUUUCAUUGCAACCAUGAAAUCAUACCUUAACAUUCAGUACUACAAAUGAUAAUAUUUCAUAUACAAUUGCUAAUAAAACAUACAUAUAAUGGUGAUAAAUAAUUGUCACUAAAACCUUUCUUUUAGUUGCAAUAUAAACUUGCCACUAAAAGCAUAAUAUUAGUGAUAAAAUAUUAUUGCGGCUAAAAGUUCACAUUAAUGAUAAUAAAUAAUUGUCACUAAAUUUCAUUAUUUAGUGACAAAUUUGUGUUCUUUUUAUUGUAAUUAUAAUUUGAAAUAGUGGUAACAAGUAUUGCCACUAAAAACAAAAUUUUACAUACAAAAAAUCUAUUGUGGCUAAAGUUGUAAUAAUUAGUGGCAAUAUUUUAAACUUGUGGCUACAACAAUUAGUGACAAUACUUAUAGUGAUGGUCUUGUGGCAACCAAAAUAUUAUCACUAAAUCUUUUAGUGACAAUUUUUAAACUAUUAGCUACAAUUUUAUUCGCGGAUAAAAGUGUAAUUUUUUGUAGUGGCUUAUAUAUAUAUUUAUAUAAUUGUUUGGAUUGGAUAUUUAGAUAAUAUUGGGUGAUAUAUGAGUGUAUACAAAAUGAUUAUAUUUACAAAUGUACAUUAUUUUAUAUAUAUCACCCGAAUUUACCAUCUUACAUUGUUCAUGGCACCUCCUCAUAGGAUAGCUUUUGCACUUUAAUCCUUCUUAUUUCUUUGUGAACUACUAGAGGGAAUAUCAAUGAUAUGUCUAUAUUAUAGUUAUGUUUCACCAGUACUGAUAAUCAAUAACAAUAUAGAACAUUUUCUAUACUACUAGUUCACAUGUGGUAUGAAGAAAAUACUAUGAUCCAGUUUUUCAAAUAAUGUCAUUUUCCUUGCACCAUUUACUUCUAACAACUAUCAACAACUAUAGGCAUUUAAAAAAUUGAAUGUUUAAUUUUGGAUCAAAAGGCCGGGGUUUCAUAGAUAGACACUAGAUAAGAAAUUCUUUCAAUGAAAAAAUUAUUUGAAUCAUCAAUUUCUUCAAGAAAUCUUCAUAUGUUAAUUAGUACUUGAAGAGAUCUUCAAAUUUUCAUCUUUUCACGACAUCUUGAAUCUUGAUGGAAUUUCUUCAACAACUGUAAAAAUUUUGGUCGGUGUUUGAUGUGUGCUUUGAAAUGAGAGGAGACCUCCACUUAUUGGGUUGGAAAAUUUAUUUUAAUAUUAUCUCUUUCUUUCCUAGAGACAAUCAUCUUAUUUAUUGUGAUAAUUAUCAUUUAUUUUAAUGAUCAUAAUUAAUUAAUUAAGAUAAUUAUAAUAUUCUUUUUCUUUCUCACAAUUAAUUGAUUUCUUAUUAUUUUUAAUUUAUCAAUUUUUUUAGCAAGAUCCAUUUGAUAAGUGUCAACUAUUAGGACAUUGAGUCUUAUUUAUAUGUUGGUAAUUUUGUUCCAAUUUAUGUUUGAUCAUAGAAGUCUUUUUAGAUAGUGAAUUGCUCUCCAUUGAAGAUCAAGGGUUACUUUUCAUCCAAUUGGGAAGUCACAAGUACAUUUUAAAAGAUUUAGGUUGUGACAUAUGAGGCUUCGUUGAGGUAUAAAAAGGUUCAGUAUCAAUUUUGGACUUAUAAUUUUUUUUAAAUAAUUUUUCAAAAAAUAGAGGAUGCUCAAGUGGUUAAUCCCACUUAUAUGGUCAGCCUGCUCAAGUGGCAAUGAACCCUCAAGUGGUCCAAGUCCACUAAAGUGGUCAUGUUAGUCCUUCCAAGUUUAGAAAUGUAUUUUGGUUGAAUUUUACUCAAGCUCUAAUUUGGAAACUUAAGAUGUCGGGACUCUUUUGACUUGUGCAUAUAUAUAUAUAUAUAUAUAUAUAUAUAUCUCAAAUAAACCCUUGAGGGUUAGAGAUUCGGGCUAAGAGAUUGUAGAGAUCUAAGAGUUUAGAGAUCUCUUAUUCUUUAGGGGGACUUCUUGAGAGAAAGCCUUAUUGCCAUGCCACUUUUUAUCUCUCAUUCAAGGAUUGGAUCUUUGAAUUGUUGGUUGAUGACUUAAAUCCCUUCGGAGGGACUAAAUGAUCUACUAUGGAGCAAAAGGGAGUUGUUGCGUUGUAGAUGUGGAUCAAGUUAUAGGUACUAAAAAGUAAGCCUUUAGGGUAAAGCGGUUAGGUAAAUCUAUGUAACUUGAUUUCAAAUAGUGGAUUUAGAUUGGUACGUCUUAGACCUCAUGAUUUUUUAUCUCCACAAGUUUGUAAGGGUUUUCCACUUAAAAAAUCUCAUGCCUCAUUGUCUAUUUCUUUAUAUUUGUUAUUAUGUUUAAAGUGCCUAUAUUAAGCUAAUUUGAUUAAUCCUAAUAUAUUACAGGGCUUUCCUAAAAAGUGCAUAUCUAUUUAUUCCUACUCAUUUUCUAGUUGAUAACUUUGAUUGGUUAAUUGAUUAUUGAGUUAAUUGAUUUGUUAUCUUGGUGGUUGUGGUGGUUAUACCCAUAACUAAUUAUUGAUUAAUUUGUUGAUAUUAUUGUUGAGUUUGAUAGGUUGGUUAUUCUGGUAGUAAUUAUUAAUAUCCUUAACAUAUCUUAACAUACAUCCUUAAUCUUUGGAUAUCAAUUAACCAUAAAAAAUCAGUUGUUUAUUUGGGGCGAAUUAUUGAGAUAAAGUUUAGACAUAUUUUAUAAAUAAUUUAUUUAAAAUUUUUUAAAUCACCCAUUCACACCUCUCUGGGUGUUCCUUACUAGACUUUCAAUUAUUAUUUGAGUGGUAUUUGAGCAAUACCCAUUUUUCAUCAACAAAUUAUUAAUUAUUGACGCUUGACUUUUAAUAAGUGGACAAAAUUUGUCUUUGUACAUAUUUCUUUCAAUAUUAAUCAUUGUUAGUUAGUGGCAACCAUCUACUCAAACCGGUAGGGAGUUCUUCAUAUAUUUAAUGAUUUCUUGAAACAUCAGAAAAUUCUUUCAAUGCUUAGGUUUAUUUUUCACUAAUGGCCAGUGUUAAGGCUAUGGUUAGGUUAGAUUAAGAACAAAGUUAUGUUUCAUAAGUUUCUUUUUGCUUUGAUUUUAGAUAGAGAGGUCCAAAUGUUUCUCUAUGAGUUUGAUGUAAAUUUUUGCGCUUGUUCUAUUAUACCAUAGUUUUAAAUAUCAACUACCUUGUUAGAUUCAUUUUUUUUUCUUUUUUGGCUUCUGUUUCAUAUGGGCCCCAUCUUCUUUAUUGUUGUUUCCACGAUUUUAAUUUCAUUCUUUGUUUCCAUUCCACUUACUGUCGGCAUCUUAUUGUCUACGGUUUUGGUAAGAAUUUUUAAAUUUCCAUAGUAGAGUACGACACUCAUCAUUUGCAUCAUUUUUAUUAUACUUCUAUAAGAUAAGAGGAGAAUGAUUGGUCAUUUUCAAGGAAAGGUUUUAUUUUAAGUCUUUGUACUUAUGCUAUCUCUUGUUAUUCAUGCAUCUCGAAUUUAGUACAUUAAUGCCACUGAUUCGUCCCUAGCAGCGGCAGUGGCAAUGGCACCAUUUGAUUCGGGGUUCGAUCCCCAGCAACGGCGCCAUUUGAUUCGUCCCUAGUAGCGGCAGUGGCAAUGGCACCAUUUGAUUCGGGGUUUGAUCCCCGGCAACGGCGCCAUUUGAUUCGUCCCUAGCAGCGGCAGUGGCAAUGACACCAUUUGAUUCGGGGUUCGAUCCCCGGCAACGGCGCCAUUUGAUUCGUGCCCAAUUGGUGUCUCAGCUGAUUCGUGUCCAGCUGGUGCUCCUUGAUUGAGGGAGUAAUCAACAAAAUUUAUAACCUAUUACACCAUAUACUAGGGUAGCAAAGACAAAGCUACUAUAGAAUAGUGGCUCUAGGAUCGUUCACUGGGAUGGGUUUUCACUUUGCAAAUGAUAUUAAUUCAAAGCUGAAUUGGUGUCUUUUCAUUUUAAGGUUAGCUUUAAAAGAAAACAUAAAGAUGUUUGAAUGAAAAAGGUUUAGAUUUAAACUAACCAAAAAUAGUAACUGAUUUUACUUACAAAGAAAAAUGUUUCUUGGAGUUUAGAUCACUAGGCUCAGGUUCCUCAUACAAAAAGGAGAGUUCCGGUCACUUGUUUCUUUUCCUCGCAUUAGAGAAUUAACAUAUAGUUCAUUCUCCAACCGGUGUUGUACAGAUGCUUCCCAUUAAUGGGUUCAAACACUAAAUCCCUCUCACUGAUGCAUCUUGCAAUGACUCAUACCUCUCACCUAGCACUUGCCAUUCAAGGUGAUCUUUAACCUUGGAUUACCCAUCAAAAGCUCGCAAGAGAUAACUAAUGGAUGUCUCCUUGGAGUCCAAAAGCUUACCAAGUGUUGGCUAUUCUAGAAAAUCCUACCUUCAAGUCACCUCCCAUAAGCUCGCAAGAGAUAAACUAGUGAAUCUCCAUGGACGGAGAUCACUUUCCUUACCAAGUGUUGGCCCAAGUGACUUCAAGGCGUUUUAAGUUAACUAAAAAGAUAAAAACCAUUAACGGGUCACACUUUCUCUUCAUUAAAAACUAAAACAACAAAACUUCCAAUUUAUGCAUGUGGAAACUUACCCGGCUUUCCUCACUCCAAGAGACAAAGAGCCUAGCCUCUCAUCCUCUGAGGAAAAAUCCUCAGAGUUUGGUUGGCUAGAAAUAAAAAGAAAUGAAAAAUGAAAGAGAAGGAAAAACAGAGCAAGGCUCUGUAUAUUCUAUAUAUUGAUCGAUAUUACAUAUAUGAUUCUCUUACAGUGGAUGCAAGGGAAUAUAUAUAGAGACGUUUUUCCAACCUUCCUAACUAAGAAAUCUUAUGGUUGGUGGAUUACAAGGAGAAGAAUGGAAAUUCAUACAAAAAUAUCUGAAGAAAAAUAUCCCAAAGUGUCGGUCACAAAUAUCGGGGUACUUCAGGAACCAUUUCGCAAGAGAAAAUGGUGUCUGCGAGAUUUCGCAGGUACUCAAGAAGGGCUGCGAAAUCACUUCGCAGCAACAAGCUAUCCUCGCAGGGCUGCGAAGUUGGCUUCCACCUUGAGGUUCUCAGCUUCCAGCUUGCGGCAUAUAUAGGGUAACUUCAGGAGGAAAUCCACAACACUGUGCAAAAAGGCUGCGAAAUUCUCGCAACAAAAGGCUGAUUUCGCAACACUUUGCAAAUUUCUUCCUUCAACUUAGAGUGAUCGACUUGCAGUGGCUGUAACUUCUUCAUUUCAACUCCAAAUUGCGCACCGUUUAAAGCAUUGGAUUCUUGACUUCCUGAGAUUUGAAAUGGUAUAUAUUAUGUAGAAAUUGGACUUCAAGAAGUGCUCCAAAAGUGGCUGACAUGACUGUCAUCAAGAAUGCUUCAUGGCAGAUUUCUCUUUGCUUUCCCUCCUUGCAUUCCGGAUUUGCUUAUGGCAAAGGACUUCAAAGCUUUGGUUCUUCAUGAAUUUGAGCUUCCAAAAGCUUUGCCAUAACUUGUCCAAGUAGCUCCUCCAUCAUUUGGCAUGCUUGAAUUGAUUCAUAAGCUGAUAAAAACAUGUAAACUUGCCACAAAAUGGUUAAAACCAAUUACUAAGGAUCUUAAUGAAUUAAUUGGGUUAAAUGAAUAUGAUUACUACUCAAAGGUGCUUAAAACCAUUAUAAUUAGGUCUACAAAAUAGCACUUUUUGGUAGUAAUCAGCCACUUUAUUUUCAUUUCACAAAAUGUAUAUAGGAAAAAAAAAUAGAAAAUAAGAAAACAUACUUAGCAAGAUUGAAGGAACAGUCAAGGUAAAUUGCCUUAACGGAACAAAACUGAUAUGAGAAGAAAAUCGAGUCCUCAAUAUUAUGCCCACUAGGAAGGUGGCACAAUUCUCAACUAAUUAGUGUUAAGAAUGGAUGUGUAAAGUGGAACAAGAUGUGAUAUUUAUUAAAGGUUAAAGAUAAGUGGGUUUUGUAUUAAGAUAGAUAGUAUUUAUAAUAUCUAAAAUUAUUCUCAAUCAUUAAGAUAUAUUAAUUUAAUUUAUAUUUAUUUUCCUGCUUUGGUUAAUUAUAUGGUUAAAAUCUAUAAAAACAAAUACAUUUAGACUAUUGAGAACGUAAAUAAUUUUGAUGAGUUAAAUUGAAAAAUAAUUAAGUUGCCAAAAUUCUCCAUUGUACAUACAAAUAUAACUAUUUUGUGAACCAUAUGUUGUUAUUUUCAUAGUCUAUUUAAUUGGACAUAGGUUCACCAUUGCUUGGCUAUCAUUGCAACCAUGAAAUCAUACCUCAACAUUCAAUACUACAAAUGAGAAUAUUUUCAUUUUCAAGGAAUCAUACCUCAACAUAGGAGAAUGAUUGCUCAUUUUCAAGGAACGAUUUUAUUUUUAGUCUUUAUACUUAUGUUGUCUCUCUUUAUUCAUGCGUCUUGAAUUUAAUACAUUAAUGCCACUUUAUUUUCAAUUUACAAAAUGCGUAUAGGAAAAAAAAAAUAGAAAAUAAGAAAACAUACUUAGCAAGCUUGAAGGAACAGUCAAGGUAGAUUGCCUUAACAGAACGAAAUCAUAUGAGAAGAAAAUUGAGUUCUUAAUAUUAUGCCUAGUAGGAAGGUGGCACAAUUUUCAACUAAUUAGUGUCAAUGUUGAAUAUGUAAAGUGGAACAAGAUGUGAUGCUUACUAAAGGUUAAAGAUAAGUGGGUUUUGUAUUAAGAUAGAUACUAUAAUAUCUAAAAUCAUUCUCAAUCAUUAAGAUAUAUUAAUUUAAUUUAUAUUUAUUUUCCUACUUCGGUUAAUUAUAUGGUAAAAAUCUAUAAAAGCAAGUACAUUUAGACUAUUGGGAACAUAAAUAAUUUUGAUGAGUUAAAUUGAAUAAUAAUUAAGUUGCCAAAAUUCUCCGUUGUACAUACAAACACAACUAUUUAGUGAACCAUAUGUUGUUAUUUUCAUAGUCUAUGUAAAUGGACAUAGGUUCACCAUUGCUUAGCUCUCAUUACAACCAUGAAAUCAUACCUCAACAUUCAAUACUACAAAUGAGCAUUUUCUCAGCCUCGAAUUCAAGCAACACCAAGCCAUGGAUUGGGCCUUAAUCUAACCAUAGAGUAAACCCUUCUUGUGUUGUUUCAUUGCCUAUGGUGGUGUGCACUGAAGGCCCCUCCCAUAGGUGCUUAGAAGCACAUUAUCUUAAUUUCUUUUUCAUAUCUUUGAUCAUACAUUAGGCUAGUUUCUUAAGUUGGAGUGUGAGACUGUUUGGUGCUAAAAUACUUUAUUUUGAUGUUAAAAAAAAAAAAAAAGGUAGAGCUAUUGAUAGCUUCAAUAAACAUAAAACAUCUUGUUUUUAGUUAUGUAAAAAAAAAUUAAAUUAUUCCAAUUUUAUUAAACAUGAAUCAUCUUACACACAAUACUAAAAUAAGGUAUUUUUCUGGAAAAAAAAAAAAAGGAUUCCUUGUGUGUGAAAACUCUUUCCAAAGAGAGAAACCCUUUAGAAAAAAAUAUUAAAAUUCAAGUAAAAUCUCUUAAUGAGUGGAUGCAAUUUGGCGUUACGUUGUAAAAAACCAAUCACACAUAUUACUUGAGAAUAGUAGUCCCAUUCUAUAUAAUGGUAGCUAGGGUGGAACCCACUCUUUUUAAAAACCUAAUACACAUUGAUUCAUUGAACCUUAGCCUUCAAAUAUAUAAACAACGAUAAGGCUCAAGUUGGCAUAGGUGUUCGAGGAUUACUAUAAAAAAUGACUCUAUUCUUGUAUUAAACAUAAAUAUAUGAUUAUGCUUGUAACAUUGUGUUGACAAUAUUAACACAUAGAAAGUGCUUAUAUAUAUGCAAUAUCGUUUGGAUCCAAUAUUUGGAUAAUAUUGGGUAACAUAUGAGUGUGUAAAAAGUCAUUAUAUAUACAAAUUUACAUUAUUUUAUAAAAAUCACCUGAAUUUGUCAUCUUAGAUUGUUCAUGGCACCUUCUCAUGGGACAUCUUUCGUACUCAAAUGCUUUAUACUCCUUUGUGAACUGCUAGAGGGAGUAUGAAUGAUAUGUCUAUAUUAUAAUUAUGUUUGACUAGAAUUGAUAAUCAAUAGCAAUAUAGCAUCUUUGCUCUACUAUUGGUUCACUUGUUUUAUGAAGGAAAAUACUAUAUGAUCCAGUUUUUCAAACAAUGUCAUUUACAUCUAACAACUGUCAACAAUUAUAAACAUUUAGCAACCGUUGGUGACAUCAUCAUUGGUAAUCUGGUUCUUUAGUAGGCUAGGGUUAAUGAUUUUUUACAUGUAAAUUUUCUAAAAUAAGAAAAUUGUUGGCAAAAUUUUAUGUUGAUUUAUUUAUACUCUAUUGUCUUUAAUAUGCCCUUUGAUUCUUCAUAUCAAGACACAAACACCCUUUUAAACAAUUUAAUGUUUGAUUUUGGAUCAAAAAAUUGGGGUUUCAUAAAAACCAUUAGAUAAUAAAUUCUUCCAAUGAAAAAAAUCUUAAAACCAUUAAUUUCUUCAAGAAAUCUUCUUAUAUUCUUUAAUUGUUCAAGAGAUCCAAGUAUUCAUCUUUUCAUGAAAUCUUGAAUCUUUAAGGAAUUUCAUUAAUAACUGUAAAAAUUUUCAUUAGUGUUCAAUGUUUGCUUUGAAAUGAGAGAGAACCCUCUACUUGUUGGGUUGGAUUUUUUUUUUUUUUUUUUGGCUUCUUUUGAAGAACAUAAACUAUUUUUUAAAAGGUUGAAUUUCACCACACUUUACUGAUUGUUUUCUAAAGAAUAAAUAAACAAUACAUACUUUCUUUACACAGAAAAUGGAAUAUUACACAGAAUAGGUAAGUAAGAUUUCCUUCCAGCCUUGAUUUUCCACAUUACAAAUAUGGAGAGGCAGAUUGCGUUAUCAGCUGGCUGAUUUUCCACAGUACAAAUAUGGAGAGGAAGAUUGCGUUAUCAGUUGGCUAUGGAGAGACAGAUUGCGUUAUCAGCAGCAGCUGGCUGAGUUGGAGUUUCCUUUAUCAGCCCCCCGCAAGCUAGUGAGUGGUAACUUGUGCACUCCUAGCUUGAAUCGAAAUAAUUGGAAUGAAGUCUUAGGGAGUGCCUUUGUGAAUUUAUCAGCUACUUGUAAGGACGAUGGAAGGAAACGAGUAAUCAAAACUCCUCUUGCAACUUUUUCCCGAACAAAAUGAUAGUCCAACUCAAUAUGCUUGGAACGUGCAUGGAAAAUAGGAUUUACUGUCAUGUGAAGGGCACUGAGAUUAUCGCAUAGCAAUUGAGGAGGUUCACGUAGUUGAAUGCCAAUAUCACGGAGAAGGAAAGUAAGCCAAGUUAUUUCUGCGGCACUGGAUGCAAGGGAUCGAUAUUCGGCCUCAGCGCUUGAUCUAGAAACUGUAGGUUGUCGCUUUGAGGACCAUGAGAUACAAUUGGCUCCCAGAAAAAUACAAUACCCAGAUGUGCUUCUUCUUGUGUUUGUGCAUCCCGCCCAAUCAGCAUCACAAAAACCAGUGAGACGAAGAGAACUUUGCUUGAAAAACCUAAUUCCAUGCUCCAUUGUUCCUUUCAAAUAUCUAAGAAUGCGUUUGACAGCUCGCAAGUCAGCUUUAGUGGGUGCUUGGAAAUGUUGGCAAGCCUUGUUUACUGCAUGCACAAUAUCAGGCCUUGUGAAAGUUAAAUAUUGAAAGGAUCCAACAAGUUGCCUAUAUUGUGUAGGAUCAAUAGGUUGUUCAUCAAAAGAUGUGAUGAUGGACUUAAGAGCCAUGGGUGUGUUGAUAGGAGUACACUCCAUCAUUUUUGUGUGCUCUAGGAGAUCUCUAAUGUACUUUAUUUGAGAAACUAACAACCCAUUAGGAAGAUAUUUAACCUCCAAUCCCAAAAAAUAAUGCAAAGAUCCUAAGUCCUUGAGAGAAAAUUCACUACUCAGGGUGCUGAUGAGGUCACUAAUGAUGUUGUUAUCAUUGCCUGUGACUAUAAUAUCAUCAACAUAGAUAAGUAGCAAAACAAUAGACUGACCUUUGCGAAGAAUAAAUAGAGACGAGUCUGCUUUACCACAACAAAACCCCAGAUGAAGAAGACAUUGGGAUAGUCUAUCAAACCAGGCCCUUGGAGCUUGCUUAAGGCCAUAAAGAGAGCGAUUCAAUUUGCAGACAUGAUUCGGAAGGUCCUCAUUUAUAAAUCCUGGAGGUUGUUCCAUGAAUACUUCUUCCUUUAGAAACCCAUGUAGAAAGGCAUUCUUAACAUCCAAUUGCCUCAUUUUCCACCCCAAGGUUACUGCUAGUGAAAAGAUCAUUCUGAUUGUAGUAUGCUUUAUAACUGGACUGAAGGUCUCUCCAAAGUCCAAACCCGGUAUUUGAGAAAAACCUCGAGCAACUAAUCGUGCUUUGUAUCUAUCUAUGGUUCCAUCUUCCUUCAGCUUUGUUUUAAACACCCAUUUAGAACCCACAAUAUUUGUAGUUGGAGGCCUAGGAACCAAAUCCCAUGUUCGAUUUUGGAUUAAAGCCUUGAUUUCCUCUUGCAUUGCUUUGAGCCAAUGGGGAAUUUUCAAUGCUGUACGAUAUUUUUUUGGCUCACUAAUAUCACUUCUUGUGGCAGCAAAAGUAACCAUUUGAGAUUUUAAACUGGGAUCAUUCUUGAGUUUACUUCUGGUGAUCAUAUGAGUUCCUUUGUUAUCUGUGUGUUGGCCUUGAGGAGGAGAGAUGUCAACAACAAUUUGCUUGCUACUAUCAGGAACUUCAUCAUCAGCACUAUAACUAGUUGAUUUGUUUUGCAGAGAUGGAUCUACAUGCUCAUUUUUCUGCCAUUUUUGAGGAAAAGAUAGAUCAACUACUAGGUGCUUACUGAUAUCAGGAAAAUUACUAACCUUGGCAGGCUUGUAGCUAUUAGUAGACUCAAUCUGGGAGAGUGUUCCAGUAGUAGUAGCAGUGUGGGAAUUGUGGUCACUGGCACCAAGAGCAACAUCAGUGGGAGUUUCAGUAGUAACGACAGUAUUAUGGUCAUUUUUACUAGCAGCAACAGUGGAAAUUUCGGUAGCAACAGCAGUGGGAGUUCCAGUCGAAUUAACACAUGAUGCUUCUGUAUUUUGGUUAGUAUUGCAACGAGCAGAAAUUCUUCCUUCAACACUGAACUGGUUUCUUUGCUCAGUAGUGCAUGGGCAAUGGCUGCACUUCUUAGAGUUGCUUGAUUGGUUAGCAGUGUUCUCCUUCCAAGACUUAGUUUGGUGAUCUAUUUUUGAAGUCUCACAAGAAGCAUCUGAAGUUGAGAAUGAUACCAUUUCUAUAGGAAUCUAUAAAUGAUUUUCCUUAACAAGAGAGUUAUCAUAAGGAAAACAAUUUUCAUUGAAAAUGACAUGACGAGAUAUGUAAACUCUUUUAGUUGAAGGAUGCAAGCAUCUAUAACCCUUGUGUAGAGAGCUAUAUCCAAUAAAAACACAUGGAUAUGUCUUAGGUGAGAAUUUAUUCUUCCCGUAGUCUCUAAGGUAUGGAAAACAUUGACAGCCAAAAAUUCUUAAGCUCCUAUACUCUGGAUAUUGUUUGAAAAGCAUAAAGAAUGGACUUUCCAUUUUCAACACCGUGGAAGGCAGCCGAUUAAUGAGAUAUACGGCAGUAAGGAAUGCAUCUACCCAUAGACUCAAUGGUAGUUUGGCAUUGAAAAGCAUUGUUAGACCCAUUUCAACAAUGUGUCUAUGCUUUCUCUCUGCAACCCCAUUUUGUUCUGGAGUUCGUGGACAUGAGACUUGUUGCAAAAUUCCACACUUGCUCAAGUGAUUUUGAAAUUUAAUUGAUUGAAACUCACCUCCACCAUCACUUUGGAAGAUUUUUAUCCGUCUUUCAAGUUGAUUCUCAACCAGAAUUUGAAACUUCAAAAAACAUUCAAAGAAAUCUGAUUUUCUUCUCAAGGGAUAAAGCCAUGUAUAGCGAGUAUGAUCAUCAAUAAAGACAGCAUAAUACUUGUAUCCUUGAGUUGAAUUAUUUGGUGCAGGUCCCCAUAAGUCACAAUGAAUUUUGUCAAGAGGAUUGCUAGAAAUUUUAUUUCUUAAGCCAAAAGGAAGUUUACAGCUUUUUCCUAACUGACAACUAACACAUACCGUUGCUGAUUUCAUCCAACUGGAUACCUCAAUGAAUUUCUUAUCUUGCAGAAGCUUUAUAGAUUUUGUUUGCGGAUGCCCCAUGCAUUGAUGCCACACUUCUGAUGAUGCCUUGCUAGACCUAGUAACAGUCAUGGCUUGAAUCACAUUUUCCUCCAAUGCAUAGAGACCUUCCUUCUUAGUUCCUCUGGCUAGCACUUGCUGAAGUUGAUCCUUAAUGACAAAACCAGUUGAUGAGAAUUCUAUGGAGCAUGCGUUAUCAGAGGUAAGUUGUCCAAUGGAUAACAAAUUUUUCUUAAUUUCUGGAACAACCAAUAAUUUUUUAAGCUUUAGAUCUCUAUGUUUAGUUUUUAGUCUGGCUUCACCAAUAUGUGAGAUUCUUAAAGCUUCUCCAUUUCCAACAAAAAUUGCAUCAUGCCCUUUAUAUGGAAUUACUUGGGACAUCUUACCUGGGUCAUUUGUUAUAUGGGCUGUUGCUCCAGAGUCCACAUAAAAAUUAGGAUCCUUUUCUUCUUCAUGUAGAGCCAUAGCAGCCAAAGCUUGAGGAAUCUCUUCUGAUUGAUACGAAUAGUCAAAUCUGUUCCAGCAAUCCAAAGCUGAAUGGUUAGUUUUACUACAAAUUUGACAAAUAAGAGUACCUUCAGAUUUUUGAAGUUUCUGUUGUGGUGGAAACUGGUUGUUGAAGCUAUUUCUUGGAUUUCUGGUGCUGAUCUAUUGUGGUGGAAACUGGUUGUUGAAGCUAUUUCUUGGAUUUCUGGUGCUGGAAUGAACAUUCUGCCUUUGGUCACUGGUAGCAUUGUUAUUGAAUCGUCCUGCUGGAGUGAAGCCACGACCUUUAGAAAGAAAUCUUCCUCCUCGAUUUCUUCCUCUUCCUCGUUGGGUAAAAUAGGCUUGUUCAUGGUUUAUUGACUCCUUGUUCUCUUCAUUUUCUAUCAUAAUCAUUUGUUCAUGCCCUUGUAGAGCCAGAACAAAUUGAUUGUAAGAAGGAUACGGUGGCUUUGAUAACAUGGCCACUCGAAAAUCCAUGUAUUUAGUUCCGAGACCUUGAGCUAGUUGAAAAACUUUGUCUAGGUCACUUACUGGUUUUCUAACUGCAGCUAAUGCAUCACAAAUGCCUUUAAACUCCCUUAGAUAUUCAUCAAGGGACCUUGUGCCUUUCUUUACCCCUCGGAGUCUGUUGGUCAAUUGUACUUCCUUCUCUUUCGUCAUUGGAAGGAGCUUUUCUCCUAGAGAGUUCCAGACAUCAUAGGCAGUCUCUGUUCCAUCCAACAAAAGCAUCACUUCUUUUGUCAUGAGUCCAAGAAGCCAGGAGGUAAGUAGACCAUCAUUGUGAGACCAUGUCUCGAUUGACUGAUCAUGGGUCUCCUUUGUUUCAGUACCCAUUGUCUCCUCUGAUGCGUGUCUAUUUUCAGAGAGAUGAUGGAUUAAUCCAAGGCUUCGCACAAGAGGAAGAACUUGUGAGCGCCACAAAAGGAGAUUGGACAUAUUCAGUUUGAUGGAGACGAGGCUUGAGCAUUGAUGAAAAGCUUGAAUGCUAAGAACAUUUUCUGGGUUUGCCAUGGAAGCUUUGGAUUGUUUUAGGUUAACCCGCUCUGAUACCAUGAAGAACAGAAACUAUUUUUUGAAAGGUUGAAUUUCACCACACUUUACUGAUUGUUUUCUAAAGAAUAAAUAAACAAUACAUACUUUCUUUACACAGAAAAUGGAAUAUUACACAGAAUAGGUAAGUAAGAUUUCCUUCCAGCCUUGAUUUUCCACAUUACAAAUAUGGAGAGGCAGAUUGCGUUAUUAGCUGGCUGAUUUUCCAUAGUACAAAUAUGGAGAGGAAGAUUGCGUUAUCAGCUGGCUAUGGAGAGGCAGAUUGCGUUAUCAGCUGCAGCUGGCUGAGUUGGAGUUUCCUUUAUCAGAGUUUCCUUUAUCAUCUUUCUCAUAUGGGCUCCAUCUUCUUUAUAGUUGUUUCCAUGAUUUUAGUUUCAUUCUUUGUUUCCAUUUCAUUUGGUGUAAUAAGGAAAGAGGGUAAUUCUUCUACAGUUUGGCAUCAACGACUUGGACAUCCUUAUUCAAAAAUAUUGUCUUUGUUAAAAGAGCAGAAUAUUAUUGAUUUGUCUCAUUGGAUAUCUAAGCCUAAUAUUUGCAUUAGUUGUCAAAUGGGAAAAAGUUGCAAACUUCUUUUCAAAAGCAAUAAUAAAAUCUCCAAGUUUCCCUUUCAAAAAAUUCAUUGUGAUAUUUGGGGACCAACUCCUAUAGCUUCAAACCAAGGUUUUCGAUAUUAUGCCAUUUUUAUUGAUGAUUUUAGCAGAUUCACUUGGUUAUACCCUCUCAAGUGAAAGUCUGAUUUCUUUAGUUGUUUCAUCUAGUUUCAAAAACUUGUUGAAAAAAAAUUGGAUUCAAAAAUUAAGAUUUUCCAAUGUGAUGGAGGAGAAGAGUUCAGUUCAAUUGAAUUUAUUAACCAUGUUCAAUGUUGUGGCAUUGAACUCCAUGCGUCUUGUCCAGGAACUACUCAACAAAACGGUGUAGCAGAACGAAAACAUCAACAUAUAGGUGAAAUUGGGCUUACAAUGUCAUUUCAUGCUAAUAUGCCCUAUCUUUAUGGGUAGAAGGCUUUUUCCACGGCUGUGUUUGAUUAAUCAUUUACCAUCUUUAGUCUUGCAGAAUGAAAGCUCAUAUAAAAAACUUUACAAAAGACAUCUAGACUAUAGUGGUUUGCAGGUAUUAGGAUGCCUAUGUUUUCCUUCUCUUCGAAAUCAAGGGGGUUCAAAAUUGGGUUCAAAAUUUGUCAUAAAAACAUAUCCGAAUUUCCAAGUUUGGACGAAUGGAUUGGCAAAAUUGAUGACUCAUACAAAAUCCUUUCAAACAAGGAGAUUUCUAGAAAGGAAAAAUCAACAGCCUUGCCUAUUUCUGACUUUACAAAUUGUUGCGACUUUAAUGCUGAUUCUCCACAAAAUAAUGUUUCAGUCCCGAAUGCUCUAAUCUUUGAAAGUCAAGCAAAUCAAGAUGCAAUAUUUCCAUCAUCUACUCCAGUAGAUUCUCUCCCAAACAUGGAAGGCAUCUCCACACACCUUGACAUCCAUGACGUGAAAUGCUCAGAUUCAAGCUCUCACAUUUCCCUUCAGGAAGCCUUGAAAGAUCCUUGCUGGAUAGCUGCUAUGGAAGAGGAACUUUCUGCCCUCAACACUAAUGAUACUUGAACUUAGUUCCAAGGCCGCCUAGUAUUAAUAUUGUCGGCUCCAACUGGAUUUAUCACAUUAAAACAAAGGAAGAUGGAACCAUAGAUCGCUUCAAGGCUCGUUUGGUUGCAAGGGGAUUCACUCAAAUUUCUAGAGUUGAUUAUGAUGAAACCUUCAGUCCAGUAGUUUGACCAACAACCAUUAGGUUAGUGAUUGCUCUCUCCCUAUCCUUCAAAUGGAAGAUAAGGCAACUUGAUGUUAAAAAUGCAUUCUUGCAUUGUAACCUCAAAGAAAUUGUCUACAUGGAGCAGCCACCAGGGUAUAUUCAUCCAACUAAGAAAGAUCAUGUUUGCUUACUUAAAAAAUCACUCCAUGGAUUGAAAUAGGCACCUCGUGCCUGGUUUGAUAGACUCUCUAAAUAUCUUCUGCACCUUGGAGCACGUGUGAUGCCUCUUUUUUUAUAUAUUACAUCCAUUACUCUCAUUUAUGUAGAUGAUAUUCUCCUUACAAGGAAUAACGAUGAGUUUCUCCAACAUCUAAUCUUCAGGUUGAGUCAUGAGUUUAUAAUCAAGGAUCUCAGAUCAUUGCACUAUUUUCUUGGAAUAGAAAUGAAGCCAUUUCCUAGUGGAGUGUUCUUGUCUCAACACAAAUACACACAAGACAUUCUUCACAAAACAAAAAUGUUGGAGAGUGCUCCCCUUGCUACACCAAUGGCUGUAAAAGACAACUCUUCGAACUCAGAACCCGUUGAUGCUACCCUUUUCCGCAGCAUAGUAGGGGCUCUCCAAUAUCUCACUUUCACAAGACCCAACAUCACCUUUGUAGUAAAUAAAGUGUCUCAAUUCCUUAGCAGCCCCACUUUUAGCUAUUUGAAGGUUGUAAAAUGGAUAUUGCGAUACUUAAAUGGGACACAACAUUUUGGUCUUCGUUAUAUUGCCCAAAGCCCUACCAACCUUUAUGCGUUGAGUGAUGCAGAUUGGGCUAGUUGCACCACAACAAGGAAGUGCAUCACUAGUUUCUGCACAUUCCUUGGUACCAAUUGUAUUUCUUGGUGUGCUAAGAAACAACCCACUAUGUUUCACUCCAGCAUUGAAGCCGAAUAUCGUUCUAUGGCCUCCACCAUAACUGAGAUAACAGGGCUCGCAUUUCUUCUUCAAGAUAUUGGUGUUCCCUUGGCACAACCCCCAUAAUUAUUUUGUGAUAAUAUCAGUGCCCUUUACAUGUCACUUAACCCUUUGUUUCAUUCAAGAUGAAAGCACAUUGAGCUUGACUACCACUUUGUCCGAGAAAAGGUUGCAGUGAUUCAUCUUAUCACACGACACAUCCCUUCAUCAUCUUAGCUCUCUGAUAUCUUCACCAUGCCAUUACCCAAGGCUACCUUUCAGGUGUUCAGGAACAAACUGGGUGUUCAACCUCAACCACACACUAGUUUGAGGGGGCAUGUUAAGAAUCUAGUCAAGAAGAUUCUAAUACAGCUCAAGAGAAUAAAAUCUCCAAGCUCUAGGCUGUAACUCUAGAGAAUAAAGUCACAGAGAAUAAAAUUUCCAAGUUGCAGGCUGCAAAGGAAGGAAAAUAAACAGUGUGUAUAUUAAAACCUGCUAGUCAAUGAAAAUAGCAUCAACUUCAUCCAUUCCUUUCUAAACUUUCUUUAGAAAGCAUAGGUUGUAUCAUUUUUCUUUUCAAGAAAACAACCUUUAACUCCCCAUUGGAUCACUUUGAAAUGAAUUUGAAGGUGAUAUCAAAAUAUUCUACUCAUCUUAAGCUUUUUUAUGUAAUAUUUUGUCAACGUUUUAGGUAAAAUUAAUGAAGAAAAUAUGAUUUUUUUUUUCUCUUGCAAAUAUAAGGAUCCAUCUUAGAAAAGAGUGUUUUUUUACCAUGAACUUCAAGACACCAAAAUUAGAAAACAGGUAGACUAAUGAAAUCCCAAGUCCAAAUGGAGAAGAUUGAUUGCAAUUGGGAGGCCUACAACAAUCAGGAAAGGAUCGCAUGGAACCCACAUACCAAGAAGGCAUAAUAACAAAGUGGAUUGUUAUAGGGCAUGUGUUAGCCAUGCUCAUGUGUACAACCAAUGCGUGAUAGUGCUAUCCUAUGUCCUUUCUUGACACUGACUGCAUGUGAUAUAUCCCCUCAUUUUUCUUUGUAUUUGUUUGAUUUUUUAAAAGUAAAAAGUACACUUCUUUUUUAGUAAGUAGGAAAGCGCUUGGGGUUCAUUGACCAUGGUUUUUAGGACAAAAAAGUUCCAAGAUAUAUAUAUUUUUUUUAUGUGAUGACCUCUCAUAUUUUUCCAUGAUUAUUUAGAUUUUUUUUUAUUUUAUUAAUUUUUAAUUAUUAAAUUUGUGUUUCAAGAAAACAAAAACCACAAGAAAAUUCUUGUCUAAGUUUUUUAGAAUAUUUUUGAGAUUAUUAGAGAACAUUCUAUUCUACAAGAAAUUUUUUAUUAUUUUAUUGUUUUUAGAUUUUUUUUCUCAUGCAUUUUAUUUAAGUGGAUUAUUAUUGUAAUAAUUAUUUUUGAGGCAUGAAAAAUAGAAAAUAAUUUUCUGUGGCAGAUUUUUUUUUCUUUUUUUUUGCAAAUUUUAAUUGCUUAGUAGCUAAGACAUGUCUAGAUCUUGUUUACAAUCCUCGUAACAAGUCUAUAACCAUCAACAUCAAUAUCAAGUUGAGAGUUUCAUCUUUAAAACUGACCACUCUAACCAAAUAUAACUAGUUUAUGCAAAUGAAACUCAAUUUCUCUUAUACCCUACCUUUACCCACUUUUAUAGCCAACAUCAAAAUGAGGUGAUAGAUUUGCCAAAUCUCUCUCCCACUAAUUUUUUCAUAAUUGAAAGCUUCUUUGAUUUUAUUUCCAAGACCUCUUUAAUUAUGAAAACCUUUCUUGUAUGGUCCUCGAUUAGUGGGAGUUUAAAAAAUAAUUCCAUCAUCCCACCAUCCUAACGCCAACACCCCCAUCCCCAAAUCCAACUUGCCUUUUUAAGAACCUUUGAAGAAUCUAAGUCUUAUCCAUGCAAGGAAAGUGCAAUUUUACUUUCAUAGUCAACCAGUUAGUCUUACAAUCCUAGCUUCAUAUGAAAACAACUUGUACAAUUAUUUCCAAAAGAAAAUACAAGUUAGAAGAGAUAUCCUCAUCCCAAAAGGAAGUUCAUCACUUUUAAACUAAAAAUUUCAAAUUUCAAAUAAUUAUGAAAGGAUGACCUCUAAAUAUUCCAGCCCACAAGUCUACCAAAUCUUAAAAAUAAAUGGAAGAUGUUCAUAAUUAUGUCGAGUAAAAUAAAAUCCUUCCUUUAUGUUAUAAAACUUUCUAACCAAUUGCUUAUUUAAAUAAAAAUUUGCUGGAAAAAUUCCAGCCCCCAAGUCUAUCAAAUUGGACAUGGGUUAGCCAUCGAUUAGCUCACAUUGCAACCUUGAAAUCUCCAUUCAUCAGCUCUCAUUGCAACCUUGAAAUCAUACCUCAACUUUCAAUUCCACAAAUUAGCAAAUUCUCAGCCUCAAAUUUAAGCAACUCCCAGCCAUGGAUUUUGCCUUAAACCAGCCACUCAUUAGACUCCUUCUUGGGUUGUUUUGCUGCCCAUGGUGGUGUGCACCCAAGGCCCCUACCAUAGGUGCUUUGAAGCACAUUAUGCUUACUUCUUUUCCAUAUUACAAAUUUCAUUAAACAUGAAACAUCUUGCAUAGCAAACUAAAAUAAGGCUUUUCUAAAAACAAUUUUAUAAUUCCUUGUGUGUGAAAACUCUUUCCAAAAAGAAAGGCCUUAAAAAAAAAUAAAUAAAAUUCAAGUAAAAUCUCUUAAUGAGUCCAAAAAAUGUGGUUUUAAAUUAUAAAAGUCUAAUAUAAAAAUAUAAUUGAAUAUAGUAGUCCCAUUAAUUAUAAUUGUAGCUAGGAUGGGCUUCACACUCUUCUUAAAAAUCUAAUACACAUUGAUUCAUUGAACCCAAGCCUUCAAAUACUUAAAGGCCUAAUACAUAUUGGUUCGUUGAACCCUAGCAGUUAAAUAAUGAUCUAUGAAAUUCCUUCAACAGUCAAAUAAUCAUUUAAGAAAUUCUCAAUUCUCUCAUAUGAAGAAGAAGAAGAUUCCAAACAUGAGUCUAUUUUUUAUUAAUAGCAUGCAAAAUUGGAUCAAAGAUUUAGCAUAUGGUAAGCUAAUUCAUGUUUGAUUUGUAUUACUUUGGGAUUUCUUUAACUUUCAAUCAUUUGAAAGUAGAUGAAGUCAUAUUUUUAAAUUUUUAUGGUUCCUCUAUUUUCUUCUUGUUUUUAUUUUGAUAUUUGAUGUUAUUCUAAAUCUAAGACAUUCUUCCUCAUUUUCUUACAUAUUCUUUUAGGUUUCCAUGGUUGAAUACUAGUUAGUAUGCUCUUUGAUGCAUAACAUCUACGGGAUGUAAGUCAAGUGUGAGUUUUGUAUUGAUCCUAAACUUACAUAUACUUUCCAUAAUCUUAUUUCAUAAUUAAUUCUAAAAUGUGAAUUAUAUUGACUCUAAUUUUACACUUACUUCUCCUACUAUUUAUAUUUGAUUGUGAAUUCUAAAAUUCUUUAUUAUUACAACUCUAAAAGAAUUCAUUAAACAAAUAUACCUCACUAUUAUCUUUGGGCUAUUAUUGCUCAUAAGAUAUUGAUCACUAUGUCCUUUUACUAUUGCCAUUUUAAAUGUAAGAUAGAUACUAGUACCAUCUUCAAGUUUUAAAAAGUUGUGCUUAUUUAGAGCAUGACCAUAGUAGGGAGAGUUCCAUCGAUGUAAUCCUCAACCCGAUUGACAAUGAUUACAUUCAGAAACUAAUUUUUCUAGAUGAGGUAAUUGCUUUAAUCCAAUUUGAUUGUGAGUGGUUGGCUAAGAGUUGGAAGAGAUUGAUGAAUGAACUGAGUAGGGUAAGAUGUUUUGAAUCAAAAACUGGUUUCUGGAAAAUUUUGUUACAUGUUUGGAAUCUGUGGAGGAAUUUCAAUAUUAGAUGAGGGAUUUGUAGCAUAAGAGGUUCCAAGAGGGGUUGAUGAAGAUGAAUCCAUUUUGGAUUGAAGCAACUUUGAUACCAAAUUGGAUCUGGAAAAGAUAGCACAAAGGAAAAGAAUUCAAAGAGAAGAAAGGAAAAUAGUGUAAAGAGGCUCAAUUCAUUACUGAGCAGAGCAAGAAACAUUCUUUAUAUAAGCAGUUAUGUACACAUAGAGGGAAAUCUCACCCUACAUAGUAAUUAUUUACAAUUACUUACAGUGGUUAAAAAAAUUGAAUAUAUCUCCCCCCACACUUGCAAUGAGAAUAUCAACGACGACAACGAUCAGAGCGGUAUGGUUUCUAUAGCCACAGAUUUGGCAAGGACCACGGGGUCGAUUUCCAUUCCAAUUCGAAGAUUUCUUGUGAUUAUUAUUCUGAGAUGAAGUGGGAAGCAAUGGAACAGAAUUAGACUGACUAGCCCCCAUGUUUGCUUAAGGAAAAUCAGUAGAGCUCUUAAGUAAAAUUNNNNNNNNNNNNNNNNNNNNNNNNNNNNNNNNNNNNNNNNNNNNNNNNNNNNNNNNNNNNNNNNNNNCCCUAUGGGGGAAAUUCCCCCCCCCAAAUAUUAUUUUUUAAAAAUUUUUCCACGGGUUAAAAAAAAAAAAAAUUUGGUUAAAAAAAAAGAAAAUAUUUUCCCCCCCCCCCCCCCCCCCCCCCCCCCCCCCCCCAAAAAAAAAAAGAAUAUAAAAACUUAUGUCAUUCAUCAUCAUUUAAGAAAAAAGCUUAUCAAAUAACCUAUUAGAUAUUUAAACAUAUUGAGGGUUAACAUUGUUCAACUUUAUAUUGACAUAAUUAUUAUUUAUUAAAAAAACAUGAUCAUUUUAAAUACAAAUCAACUUAAAUUAGCUCGGUAUAUUGUUAAACUUAUUACCUAUCAGUUUUAGCUUUUAGGUUAAAUUUGUAGCUUAAUAUGGUAUUAACAAUAACAUUGAGAAUCACCAUUUCCUUCAUUUGAUAUCUCAUAUCUCGUUCACAUGUGAAGGAGAAAUAUUAACUUAAUAUAUAUUAUUGGGAUCCCAUGAGUAGCUUAACAGUUCUUUUAAUCUAUGCUGCAAACUACUAUCCACCACAAGUUGUACAAGCAAUAUAAUAUACUCUUGAUACUUUUAUUACAAUUAAGACUCUACAUUGAUGAAUUUCCUGAUUAAUCUUUGGAUAUCAAUUAACCAUUAAAAUUAUUAUUUGGGAGAAAAUCUUAAGAUAAAGUUUAGACAUAUUUUAUAAAUCCCCCCCCCCCCCCGCUAGGUGUUCCCUAUCAAACUUUCGGUUAUUAUUCGAGUGGUAUUGGAGCAAUACCUAUUUUUCAAUUGGUAUCAGAGCAAGAUAACAAACUGAUUCUUUAUCCUAUUGAUUAAAAAUUCAAUUUAUUAUUUUUUACAUUGUUUAAAAAUCAAAUUUUUAUUAAUCAUAUUAGAUAAAAAUCAAAUUUUUAUUAAUCUUAUUAAAUAAAAAUCAAACUUUUAUUGAUCUUGUAAGUCUGAUAUGGAAUAGUCAAAAAGUGGUGCUCCUUUGAAUAGUCUACUCUAUUAUGAUGGGCGUAAUUACUCCCAUUGGAAAGCAUGAAUGAUGUUUUUCCUCAAAAUGCAAGAUGAAAGAGUAUGAGACACAAUUGAAUAUGGUUAGGGACCAUCAUUAAUUCUUAAUGCUCAAGGAAGAUCAACAGGAGAACUUAAACCUAAACAUGAAAGGACAAAGCCGACACUGAAGGUAGUGAAGCCAAUGCUAGAACUUUAUUUAGUAUUCUUAAUUGAGUUUGUUUAGAUGAGUUUCACAUGAUAGCUGUUAGAGCAACAAUCAGAUAUAGUUUGUUUUAUUUGUAUCUAUCUUAUUGUUGUAACUAUCAUCCUUUAAUCAUGUAAGUAGUUAGCUGAUUUUAUGUUAUUUCAAACUCUGUAAUUUAGCUAAAGCUGCUCUUGUAUUCAUUAUUAACACAACAAUAUAAUACAAACAUUCAUUCUCAUAUUAUCUUUACAUGGUAUCAAAGCCCUCAUUCUAAUUUUUUGAUCAAUCAUGACUUCUUCUCAAAUGAUCCCUUCAAAUUCAAUCUCUUCUUCUACUCAUCAUACCUUCUUUGUCAAGCUUACUUCAAGAAAUUAUCUUGCUUGGAAAACUCAAUUUAAUCCUCUUCUUAAUUACCAAAAUCUGACUGGGUUUGUUGAUGGUUCAACUGUUGCUCCAUCGAAAACAAUUAAAGAUUCUUCUACUCUUCCUACUAAGAUUCCAAAUCCAGAAUAUGAAACAUGGUAUAAAAAGGAUCAUAUGUUUCAUUCCUGGAUCCUUUCUUAUCUUUCAGAAGAGAUAUUUCCUUAUGUUAUUGGGUUAUCUUCAUCUUAUGAAGUAUGGCAGGCUCUCUCUCAAGCUUUUGGUUCAAUUUCUCAAAACCGACAACUACAAUUGCACAUUGAACUCCAAGAAUUGAAGAAAAAUGAUCUCUUUGUCUUAGCAUAUUUGCAACGUGCUAAAGCUCUAGCUGAUGAGCUAAAUGUGGCAUGUCGUCCUCUUGCCCUAGCAGAAUUUAAUGCAAUAAUUUAUCGCAAUAUUGGCAGUGACUAUCAUGCCAUUAUCACUGCCUUAAAUCUUCGUUCUGAACCAGUGUCAUUUCAUGAACUCCAUGUUCAACUUAUUGCUCAUGAAAUUUUACUUAAGAGCUCUACUGAUCUUCCUUAAGCAAACAUGGUGGCUAGUCAGUCUAAUUCUGCUCCAUUGCUUCCCACUUCAUCUCAGAAUAAUAAUCACAAGAAAUCUUCGAAUUGGAAUGGAAAUCGACCCCGUGGUCCUUGCCAAAUCUGUGGCUAUAGAAACCAUACCGCUCUGAUCGUUGUCGUCGUUGAUAUUCUCAUUACAACUCUCACAACCAAAAUGCAACUUCUCAUGCUAAUUACUCUUCAGCUGGUCAUUCUCAAAAUAAUUGUGCAAGUUCUCAAGUUCCUGUUGCCAACUACACUCAUGGAGGUUCCACUAUGCCAUGGUAUCCUAACACAACAGUGAACUAUCACAUCACCCCUGAUUUAGCCAAUCUCAGCAUUGCUUAUGAAUAUAACGGACAUGACCAACUCCAUGUUGGUAAUGGACAAUGUUUGCAAAUAACUCAUAUUGGUAUCACAUCCCUUCCUUCAUAUUCUGGUUCUCUCUCUUUAAAAAAUGUUCUUUGUGUUCCUCAAAUUGUCAAAAACUUACUUUCAGUUCAAAAAUUUACCAUUGAUAAUUCCUGCUUCUUUGAAUUUUGGUCCUCUUAUUUUCUUGUCAAGGAUCAAGUGUUCAUGAAAAUCCUCCUGCAGGGCCUAAGUGAAGAUGGAGUGUACACUUUUCGCCCUAAUGUCAAGCAAGCAUUUACACCUGAAGCACCAACCAUGGAUGAAUGGCAUGCUACUUUGGGACAUCCUCAACGGCGUAUCUUGUCUAGUUUAAUCAAGCAAUUUCAUUUACCUUGUUCCAGUAAUUCUAGUUCUCUUUGUUCUUCUUGCAUUUUGGGCAAACAUGCUAGACUAUCUUUAGGAUCAGUUCAACAUAAAAGUACUGCUCCCUUUCAACUUAUUUACUCUGAUGUUUGGGGCCCCGCUCCUUUGUUGUCCAGUCUUGGCCAUCGCUAUGCUCUUAUUUUCAUUGAUGAUUAUUCCCGUUACACAUGGGUUUAUUUGAUUAAAAAUGAAACUGAUGUUUAUUAUGUCUUUCUUCAAUUUGAGCAAUUCAUUCAUCGUCAAUUUAAUCAGAAAAUUUUGGCAUUCCAUUAGGACGGGGGAGGGGAAUACCGAAAACUAAACACCUAUUUUAAACAAGUUGGCAUUGUUCACAGACUUGCAUGUCCUCAUACUCAUGAACAAAAUGGUGUUGUAGAACGGAAAAUUCGCCAUCUUGUUGAUACUAGUCUUGCACUUCUUGCUCAUGCUAAUUUACCACUACGGUAUUGGAAUUAUGCAUUUGAAAUGAGCUGUUCUUCUAUUAAUAAUUUGCCCACUCCAGUUCUUAAUAAUUCUUCCCCAUACUUUGUUUUAUUUCACAAACACUACUCAAAAGCCUUUUGGGUGCACUAUUUUUCCUCUAUUACGUCCAUAUAAUAACCAUAAGUUUGCAUUUCGGAGCACUCCUUGUGUCUAUCUUGGUCCAAGUCCCUCUCACUUGGGUAGUCGUUGUCUUAAUUUAUCAAAUGAUAGGGUCUAUAUUGCUAGGCAUGUUGUUUUUAAUCCUAGCCUCUUUUUGUAUCGUUCUCAUAUUGCAGCAUCUCAAGCUCCAAAGGACUAUUCAAAUUUCCCAUGGCUUCAUAUUAAAAGUGUACCUCCAUCAUCCACGAGUUCUGUUAGAAAUUCAGGUCAGACCUCUACUCCCUCUAAUAUUCCUUUAUUUUCUACCACUGAUCAAUCUUCAAAUAAUUCCUUAUUGUCAACUUAGUCCCCACCUUUGACCACGCCACCCUCCUCUCACUCUUCUAUCCCACAACAAUCACCUUCAUCAGAUUCAACCACUAAUCCUCCACUAUCUCUUAUUGUUGAUCUCACCCAUUAACUAGCUCAACUAAAUGUUGCGUCUUCUACCUCAACCUCUCCUCCUCAAAUUCACCCCACGCAGCUUCGUUCUUCCACCAUGCAAAAACGACAUGCUUGUCUUUCCACCAAAGCUAAAAAUUACCUUAUCACAGAACCACAAACCUUCACUCAAGCCAAACCAUACGCUGAAUGGUGUGAUUCAAUGCAAAGUGAAAUUAAUGCCUUGCUUCAGAAUCACACAUGGGUUCUUGUUCCUUGACCUCCAAUUGCCAAUAUCAUUGGUAGUAAAUGGGUUUAUUGAAUUAAAAGGAAAACUAAUGGGAAGAUAGAUCGAUUUAAGGCUCGGCUCGUUGCGAAGGGUUACUUGCAGCAGCCUGGUAUUGACUACACUGAGACCUUUAGUCCUAUGGUUAAAGCUACUACAAUUUGGACUAUUUUAUCAAUUGCUACUUCUUCACAUUGGUCAAUCCGCCAACUUGAUAUCUCAAAUGCGUUUUUACAUGGUUUUAUUGAUUCAGAUAUUUAUAUGGAGUAGCUCAUUGGCUUUCAAGACUCUUCACAUCCAAACUAUGUGUGUAAGUUCUCUAAGUCGUUGUAUGGUCUCAAACAGGCCCCUAGGGACUGGUUUCACAGACUCACUUCCUUUCUGUAGGACCUUGGUUUUCAAGCUUCAAAGGCUAAUUCUUCUUUUUUUAUUCUUCAUCAAGGUGCUCUUAAAUUCUAUGUUCUAAUUUAUGUGGAUGAUAUCGUCCUUACUUGCUCUGAUUCUACAAAACUGGAUUGGUUUUUAAGUAAGAUCAAAUCAACCUUUCCAGUUCGAGACCUUGGAUCCCUUCAUUUCUUCUUGGGUAUUGAGGCACAAUUUUCGGCUGAUGGUCUUCUCAUCACCCAACAAAAGUACAUUACUGAUUUGGUGGCCAAUUCUAACAUGUCUGACUGCAAGCCUUGUUAUACACCUAUGUCGACCAGCCCUCCACUUUCCAAACUCUUUAGUGAUCCUUCAUAAAAUGCAGAGCAAUAUCGCCAAGUGGUUGGAUCCUUGCAAUACAUUACUCUGACUAGACCUGAUAUCUCAUUCUCGGUCAAUACAUUAUCUCAAUUUAUGCAUCAGCCCACUCAAGAGCAUUGGACAAUAGCUAAGAGGCUGUUGCGUUAUCUUAAGGCUACUGUUGGUUUCGGUUUGUUUUUCUCCAAGCAUUCCACUCUUGAUUUGCAAUGCUUCACUGACAGUGAUUGGGGUGGUUGCCCUAAUGAUCGUUGAUCAACAAAUGGUUAUGCAGUCUAUCUAGGCAAAAAUCUCAUUUCAUGGACUUCGAAGAAAUAACCAACCAUUGCCCGGUCUUCCACCGAGAGUGAAUAUCGUGCUCUUGCUAACUCUACUGCUGAAAUUAUGUGGCUUCGAUCACUUCUCUCUUAACUUGGCUUCUCUUCCUCAAAUCCAACUACAUUGUGGUGUGAUAAUGUGGGAGCUAUUUAUCUAUGUUCGAAUCCUAUCUUUCAUGCCCGAACAAAACAUAUCAAACUUGGCUAUCAUUUCAUUUAAGAACAAGUCCAACAACAAAUCAUUCAGGUUCGUUUUAUUUCUUCAGAUGACUAGAUUGCUGAUAUUCUUACCAAACCACUUGGUCAGCGUCUAUUUGUUAAGCAUCGAGACAAGCUUCAACUUUGUUCUUCUCCACCUUCAGCUUGACGGGGGGUGUUAGAGCAACAACCAGAUAUAGUUUGUUUUAUUUGUAUCUAUCUUAUUGUUGUAACUAUCAUCCUUUAAUCAUGUAAGUAGUUAGCUGAUUUUAUGCUAUUUCAAACUCUAUAAUUCAGCUAUAUAAGCUGCUCUUGUAUUCAUUAUUAACACAACAAUAUAUUACAAACAUUCAUUCUCAUAUUAUCAUUAAAAUAGCAAAUUGUAAACAUGCAAAGGAAUCAUGGGAUAUUCUUCAAGUCACUCAUGAAGGUACAUCUACUGUAAGGAUUUUAAAAUUGCAAAUGCUUACUACUAAGUUUGAGAAUAUUAAGGUGCAUGAAAAUCAAACUUUUUCUUCCUUUUAUUGUAAAUUAAGUGAUAUUGUAAAUUCUUCAUUCAACCUUGGAGAACCUAUUCCUAAUUCUAAGGUAGAAAAUAUUGAGAUCCCUUCUAAAGAGAUUUAGACCUAAAGUAGCUGCCAUAGAGGAGAGUAAGGACAUCGAUUCCAUGAGAGUUGAUGAACUUGUAAGCUCUAUUCAAACAUACGAGAUGACCUUACCUAGUUCCGAAAAGCCUAAAGACUCUACUUUUAAGGCUUUUGAGGAUGAGGUAAACGAUAAUGAAAUGUCAUAUGAUAUAACGAGUGAUGAAUUGACUCAUAUGGCUAGAAGGAUUAAAAGGGUCAUCAAAUUCAAUAAAAGGUUCUAAAAGAACCAAGAAUCUGGAAAAGGAAAAAAACCUAAUGAACAAUCAUCCAAUGGGAAAAGAAAAGGUUCCUCCAAAGGUAAGAAUGUUGAAUGCAUUAACUAUGGAGGUUUGGGACAUUAUGCUCAAGAUUGUCCUAGCCCCAAAGACGCCAAAAAGUCUAUGCAAGGAAAAUGGAGUGAUACUAAUUUUGAAGAGAGUGGUUCCACAACUUUUAAAAUGUAAGGUACGAUCCCAAUGAUUUGUUAGCUUUUAUUGCAUCUGUUGAAUCUAUGCAUGAUAGUGAUUGUAAUAGUGAUAAUGAUGAUGAUGAGUUUACUAAUGAACAAAGGGUUGAAUUCUUGAGUAAUCUUGUUGUUGAGCAUGAAAGACUAAUAAAGAGUUGUAUGAAAAAUAAUGUUGUUUUGAAGCUCAUAAAAAUAAGAUUGAUGUGCUUAAUGCUAAAAAGACUAAUCUACUUGAGAAAGUUAGAUUAAAUAAUAUAAAAGCGUAUAAGUUUCCAACUAAUUUAAUUUUUUUCCUUAUUUCAAUGGAAAAAUCAAACACUAGAAGUUUUUUUUUUUUAUCAUUUUUUCUUUCUUCAAUUUUUUUUUUUUCUAAGAACCAAACAUAAAAUUAUAUAUAUAUAUAUAUAUAUAUAUAUAUAUAUAUAAACACAAACAGACCCAUUUCAAGAGGAUAGAUCGUCUCAAGCCUCUUGAUUACAGAAUAUAUGUGUCAUGCCAAAGACCCCCUCCAAGGACGUGACUAUCAUUUCAAACCUCAAGUUUGAAGAUUCAAAGUGCAAAUGACUCAAAACAAUUAUCUUGUAACUGUAAGAUCACUAAUUACCAAUUCUUAUUUAGAGUAGUAAAAUAUAUUGUAAUCCUCAAAAUUUAACUUAAAAAAACUAACACAUCAAUCACUUUGCUAUUGUCCUAACAACUUCAAACCGAAAUGGUUCAAACAGUAAUUAAUUUCUAACAUUUAAACAUUGUCCAAAGAUAAAGUUUAAACCAAUGGCCUAAUAAUGACAAAUUUCUAGCCUAAUUAUCACUCCUCGCUUGAAUUGAGAGUAUUUGAAAAAAAAUUAUCAAUGGAUGAGAGUGAAAUUAACUCAUAAAAUUAUUGUUCCCAUAAAUAUUUUUAUAUGUUUAACUACAACUCAGUUGCAAUUAGUAUAGAAGGUUUUUCUAAGUUGAGUGGUUAUGCCUCAUGCAAGGUUCUAUUUAUCUAAAUUAUAAAAUUUGAGUCCUAAAAGUUGGUCAAGAUAGACAAACUCCUAUGACACCAAGCCCUUUGUAUAUUUUCUCCCUUGUUCUAAUUUUUUUUAUCUAGUCAAGUGUUUUGAUUGACUAUAGAUGAGAGGAGUUCAAGUUUAAUAUUCUACUAGGUUUGCUUCGUCAGUGUUUAUACAAGAGAGAGCUCUUCUUUUCUCUACACUCACUACAUAAAAAUGCGUACCUUUCUAUAGAGGUGUAUAGGUACAGACACAAACAACUCUCUUUCUUUGUCUCUCUCUCCACGUCUUGAGUAAGACUUUGGAUUUUGGAUGUUAGGUGUAUGCUCAUGUAACAUUCACUACCAUGGGAUUCUUUUUUCACUACGUCAUAAGGGUAUCAUGAGAGUACUAAGAUAUGCCUAGAUCUAGGUCUUUCACUAUUUGUUAAUAUGUUUUUGAGGUUCUACUAUUAUUAUUACUAUUGAGUGUAUUAUGUUUAUAUUUCAACAUUAGCUUUAAAGCACAGGUUGUAUCAUUUUUUUUUCAAGAAAACAACUUUAACUCCCCAUUGGAUCAUUUUUUAAAUGAAUUUGAAGGUGAUAUCAAAAUACUCUACUCAUCUUAAGCUCUUUUUAUGUAAUAUUUUAUCAACAUUUUAGGUAAAAUUAAUAAAUAAAAAAAUAUGGUUUUUUUUUUCUCUUGCUUUAUAAGUAUCCAUCUUAGGAAAUAGUGUUUUUCUAACAUGAACUUCAAGACACCAAAACUAGAAAAUAAGUAGACUAAUGGAAUCCCCGGACCAAAAAGAGGAGAUUGAUUGCAAUUGGGAGGCCUACAACAAUCAGGAAAGCAUCGCAUGGAACCCACAUACCAAGAAGGCAUAACAACGUGGAUUGCUAUAUAUAGGGCAUGCGUUAGCCAUGCUUGUGUGCACAACCAAUGUGUGAUAGUGCUGUAGUAUGUCCUUUCUUGACACCAACUGCAAGUGAUAUAUCCCCAGUUUUUCUUUGUAUUCGAAGAUUUUUUUUUCAAUUUUUGUGUAGCCCACCUUGUAUUUUAAAAGUAAAAAAGUACACUUUUUAUUUUUAUAGUAAGUGGGAAAGCAUUUAGGGUUUAUUGACCAUGUUGUUUGGACAAAAAUGUUUCAAAAUAUUUUUUUUUAUGUGAUGACCUCUCAUAUCUUUCCGUGAUUACUUAGAUUUUUUUUUUUUAUUAAUUUAUUAAUUAUUAAAUUUGUGUUUCAACAAAAAAAAAAAAAAAAAAAAAAUCACAAGAAAAUUGUUGUCUAAGGUGGUGUUUGGUUUUCGUCUGAAUAGAAAAAACCAAAAUAUUUGAUUUUUUUUAUUCAGUUAAAAGUAACCUAUUGAUAUCAACUAAUAUGAUUAAAGUGGACUUAUUACUAAUAAGUUACACAAUUCUCCAUUGGUUGCCUGCUUCCACAAGUUUCACCAUGUUGGGCACUUCUGUUAACAAUGUACUAAUUUUUUUUAAUAUAUUCACAUUUAUCGGAAAACAUAUAUGAUUUGAGACUUUAUGAAAAUAACACAUGUAAUACAAGUUUAUUUAAUAUAAUUGGGCUCAUAUUACAAACAUUCCCUAUAUCAUUUUUUGAAAAUAAAUAUAUUUAGUCUCUAUCCUUUAUUUACAUUCAAGUUCACUCCUUUUGUUAAAUAUUUUUAGGUAUACUUGAUUUUGGGGAUAAGCAUGGGUAUGAAGGGUUCAAAAGCCCCUUUAUUUCUUUAACUAAGAGACUAAUUAAUUAGAUAAUUUUUUGUAUUAAUGGUUCACUUUACUACUACUUUUCAGGACAUUUGUCAUAAUUUAAUAUAUGGAUUUUUGUAUGAAAAGGUAAAUUUCUAGUUAAAACUUGUUUGUUAGCUUAAUUACUACUUCUUGUGUCUAGCCUUCGUACUGCACAUGUCAAAUGAUCGCGGUGCCCUAACCUUUGGCUUUGGGUCAUCACAUCAUUAGCUCACAUUUCCAUGAGAAGGGUUAUGAUAAAUUGACAAUGAUGUUUCAUUUUAACAUUCCUUCAAAUUUUUAGGUUGAUGUUUUUCUUGUUGCACUAAAUCUCAUCAACAAGAUAUAAAGUAAAUAUUUCUCAAAAGGUAUAGCAAACACAAAUUCACGAAGAAGACCUACCCUUUUGUCUUCAAAAGAGAUAUAAAUGCUUGCAUACAUGUUUUUACUUGCAAACACUAAUGCUAUGCAUGGAAAUCCAUAGCUCAGUUCCUUUCCUAAGAAGAUGAAUGGCUCACACCACUGGCCGAAAUAAGCAUUCAACAGCACUCGAGCCUUCAAGCCAAAUACAGUGUCAUAGACUGAUACAUUGCCUACUAUUGAUAUAACACCUAUCACUAGUAAUCUCCACCCUGCUACAUUUAAAUUGUGAACUUUUUUAAAGAGAUCCUAACUUAAAAUCCAUGUAGAUUCUCUUUAAUUUAGAGCAUGGAUUUAAUAAGUCUAACAGGCUCUGCCUCUUUUGUCAUUCUCUUUAGCUCCUGUUCAAACCUUUCCGUGACUGGCGGAGGCAGGCAUAUAGGUAUAACAUUCCCUUCUUCUCCUUUGCUGUUCCUGAACCGCAUACAGAAGCUAAUAUUAGAUAAAGCCCUAGCAAUCCCACCAUAGACUGGCUUUCCCCACCCGAAGUCGAUCUCUCCAAACCCGGCACGUGUGAGAUCUGAAAUAAGAUAGUUCCCCGGCUGCGUAAAUGAGGGACGGCCCUUGAUGACCAUAAGAUCUGCCACUGAUUUCACAUACUCUUGGCUCAUUUCCGCCUUGGCUUUCUUCAGUAACCUUAUCGCAUAUUCCAAUGGGUUUUUAC
rnacentral:lncRNA from 1 species